AACCCUACUGUGCUGUGGCCUCAUCAACCACCUCAUCUUCCCUACACCUCAAGGCAAGAAAGCAAGGGACUCACAUAUUCUCUGCUGGUUUCUUCACCUUCAAGCCUCUCAAGCAACCCAGCUUAUGCAACCAGAAACCCAGCAUUCAGAAUUCCAAGAAAUUAAAUUCCCAGAAGUUCUCAGAGAUGGCAUUCCCGUCCUCCUCUCAGGUGGACCCCAAAAUGCAUGAUCCCUCUCUCAAUCAAUCUGAUCUCCUAGGUCUCCCAAUCAAUCUCCCAGGACUCCCAGGUCUCCCAGGACUCCCAGGCCUCCCAGGCCUCCCAGGACUUCCAAUAUCCCUUGCUGCUGAAAAAACUUCAUCUAAGUCCUCCAACUCCAAAACUUCAAAGAAUGGGCAACUAGGUGAUAAUAGAGAAGUAGCCCAUCCAGAUUCUCCACCAGCAGGUUCAGCACCAUGAUUCCCAACCUGCCACCUAUCCUGGUUUCUGUUGGGUUCCUAUCCUAUUGGGCGUAACCCGUUUAAGUAUAAUAAGCCCAUUUAGGUCUUCUGAGUUGUGGUUUCCUGAACUUCUAUGUAUAUGGUCUCUUCCUUCUCCUUGAGAACUAUGUGAAAUAUUAAGAGAACUAUGUGAAAUAUUGAAUAUUUAAGUUUUAUCUUCUUUUCCCAUUUUCUCUGUAAUUUUCCCUCUUUCUUCUCUAACGAGAAUGUGUCAUGCAUAGACAGCUAGUCAGCUACGAGUACGGUAAUAUAAUACGAUUCAAUUAUUAGUUAAAUACAAUGAUUAUCGUUGAAACUCAAAAUUUCAGGACAAGGGAGUCGCAUGGAUUCAGAUAUAAAAAUUAUAUAUAUAUAUAUAUAUAUAUAUAUAUAUAUAUAUAUAUAUAUAUAUAUAUAUAUAUAUAUAGGGAAUUGUUAUUGGCACUUCAAAAAUCUCAUUCUACACUCCAAAUUUUCUAUGUUUGGAAAGAAAAAAACAUUUGUGAGGUGUGUAGAAUUAGAUUUUUGGAGUGACAAUAACAAUUCCCUAUAUAUAUAUAAAUUAUUAUUGAAUAUUACCCAAGGAUGAAAUAUGUGAUGUUUAUUAACUAAUGAAAUGUGCUUGAAAACUUUGAGUUUUAAUGAUAAGGACAAAAUAAAGGGUAAAGUGAAUAGUACCAGGAUUGACUUUUUAAUGUAAAAAUGUAGUUUUUCGUUAAAAUGAACAGUACCAGGAACUUUUCGUUAAAGUUCCCUUAUUAAUAAGCAUUUUAGGAAUAUCUCUGACUAUGUUUAUUAACAAUUCCCUAUUAUUGAAUAUUAUUGAAUAUAACCUUUUUCAUCCUUGGGUAAUAUUCAAUAAUAAUUUAUAUAUAUAAUAUUAUAAUAAUUUAUAUAUAUAUAUAUAUAUAUAUAUAUAUAUAUAUAUAUAUAUAUAUAUAUAUAUAGGGAAUUGUUAUUGUCACUCCAAAAAUCUAAUUCAGGGACGUCGUCGUUCUGUAAAUUAUUAAACCAUUCAAAUAUGCGAUGUUUAUUAAUAAGCAUUUUAGGAAUAUCUCUGACUAUGUUUUUAGAUUAACAUGCGCUUAGCAACAGAAAAUUGUCAUGGAGAAGCGGUUGCCCAAACUUAAGGCUGCAAUUUUGAGUGCUCAGAAGUGCUUGGAAGAUUGCAACUAUGUUAGGGGAUUGGUGAGUGACCAUCAUACGCGGAGUUGUUCUGCAUUUUUUAGUUGUACAGUAGUUGUAUAGACAGUCCAUUUUUCUACGUUAGCAGUACAAUUUCUUUUUGUUUUCAUCUUGUUUUUCCUCUCUUUAAUUGUCUGAACUGCAAUACGUUUCUGCAGCUUGAUGAAUGGUGGGACUCCCACCCACCAUAACCGUUGCUCAUCCCUAGAUAGGAGCAACCAGCAACAAUUGUUGUUGACUGGGUCUGAGUCGAUGGAUUAAAUGUUGCUGCCUGGCAUGAUCAUGUGAAGCAGCUCCUUGAAUUUUAUGAUCAGGAGCACUUGUGAGUAUUAUUCGAGUACUCAGCAAACAAGAUUUUAUGGGGAUCUAACUGGUCUUCCUGUUGGCAGUCCCACAUUGAUGGGGGAAGUCAACAAGGGUGGCUAUAAAUAUGAUUACGCUACUCUAACUAAUACCAAGGUUUUUUUUGGUAAAACCCCACACUUGACGGAUUGGGCAGGUGAUAAAGUUGGGGACUGUAUCGGUCUUAUUAGAGUGGCCAGUUGGGGACUCUAUAGGUCUUGUUAGAGUGGUCCCUGGGUCCGUCGAUCUCUACGAAGCCCCUUGUUUCAUUCAUUCUCGCAUUGCUAAAAACACAUUUUCAUUCAUUCUCGCAUCGUUAAAAACACCUACAAAGGCUUGGUAGAAACUCAAGCUCGACUUUAUGCUUGGAAGGUGAAUUCAUUAUCUCUGGCUGGUCGCGCCACUUUUGUUCAGUCUAUGACCUCCGCUGUCCAGUAUAUGCUUUGCAGACAAUAUUACCAAUUACCAUUACAGAUAACCCCGAGUGUCAAAGAUUUUCCCAAGGCAAGAGAAGUUUGGCAAAAGUUGGAAAGUAUAACCAAUAGUCAGACCACAUUAAUUUUCAUGAUUGGCUUCAUUUUAAUUUCACCACUAAAUCACUCAUAUUGGGGGGUUUAGAGUAGAUGUUAGUAUUUUCUGUUGCUUGUUGGUUUAUUUGGUAUUGGCGAAAUACAUUUAUUUUCGAGCAAGAUUUUGCAAUGUUAGAUGAGCCUACCGUCGAUAUUUGUGCAUAUUUUCAUGAAUUGUUAGCCUUCUAAUACUCACAAAAUUGAUAAAUGCCGAAAGACUGAAUCUUUGCUCCACUGGGAAGCUCUUCAUUCAAAAUUGAUUUACACUUGAUGGAAAAUAAUGCUCCUUACAUAACUAACCGGCAGCCGUGCCGGAGGCAAUGUGUGUAUGGAAUCAUAUACUGAGGAUAUUGUCACUUCUAUGUUACGAUUUGAGGAGAGAAAGGCGGAGUAGGGAAGCCGGCCGAGAGGAACAGCUCCUGAUCUUAAGAAGGAUAUGUUGUAUCAUAAACUUAUAACUUGGUCCCUUAUUGAAUGAAAGGGCAGGCUUCUGCUUUGAAUAAUACCACUUCAGACUUCAGUCCAAUUAUGUCUUCCUGUUCUGAAAAUUGACAACUCCAUGUGAUAACAAAACAUCUCAUGUAUUAUUGUACGGUUGAAAAUUGCUGCUUUACACUAUACAUUUAACGUGAUUAGAAAUUCCAUGAAAAUUUACAAACAAUACCAGGGAUGUGUCAUAGGCUGAAAAGGAGUAAGGAUGUUUGUACAUAGGCUGAAAAGGAGUAGGGAUGUUUGUACGUUCCUUCCCCACAGCAAAACCACAUAGCAAAAGGAUUACAAACACAGCUAACAAAUCAAUAAACACAAAAUCAUCAUUAGGUCAACGAUCAUAUGAUUAUAUCAGAUGCACGUCAAUUAAAUAAUUCUCAUGUUCAACUAAGGUCACUAAAAGCCCCCUAUUUGGCCUAAUUAGAUAUGGUCUUCGUGGUGAUAGGAUAUUUGUAAUAUAGCUCAUGACUUAAAAAAAAAAAUUCGGAUUUAAACCCUUGUGGUGAUAGGGUAUUUAGAAGACAAUCCAUUUCUAUUGAGCCACAAUGAAGGGAGUGCAGAAAUUCACAGUUUUGUUUUUGGGAUUAACAAAGAAAUAACAGAAAUUUGGUUUUUGGGCUUAAAUCACAACGGACUUCACCACAAGAAUAUAAAUCUGAUUUUUUUUACCACAUGGGCUAUCUUCCGAAUACUCUAUCAUCACGAGGACUAUUUAUACAAUUAGGUCAAUGUUUUUUUAAGGUGAAUAUCACAUGCUAAAACGGAGAAGGAUUCUCUCAUCUUCUAAUCUCUCUCCCAUUCCCUCCUCUCCUACUUGAACAAUUAUGAUUAAGUUAUGUCAAUAUUUUAUAUUGAUAUUUUUAUAAAGAUAAUAAGACAAAAAACAAUGUGUUGAUGCACAAAAUCAGCGAGGACUUUGGUACAACAGAAAGUGUCAGGUUUGUGACAUUCGCUUGGUUGCUUCGAUCACUAGUGAAGAUAAGUACGUAAAUGAAUAGGGACAGGGAAGCAAACACAAGAUGUACGUGGUUCACCCAAAUCGACUACGUCCACGGAGUAGAGGAGUUCUCAUUAAUUGUGAAGGGUUUACACAAAUACAUAGGUUCAAGCUCUCAUUUUUUGAGUUCUAGUGAAUAGUUUAGUACAAAAUGACAUUAGAUAUUAUUGUGGGAGAAUGAUCCCUAUUUAUAGAAGAAAGUUUCUAGUUUUGUUCUAACAUUGACACGUGUCGUGUUGUGAUUGGCUUCUGAUGUUGACACGUGUCGCGCUGUGAUUGGCUUCUGAUGUCGACACGUGUUGCAUUGUGAUUGGCCUCCUGGUUGAAGGGAAGCUCUUCUGGGUCCUUGACGUAUAACGUUGACCGGUGCUCAGUAGUUUCGGGAUUGGUCAAGUAUGGUACAAACAGUGCUCCCCUAAGUUCCCGAGUGAGGGAAGCUCCUCGGUUGGGGACUUGCAAGAUCCAAGCCACUGAGUAAUCACGAAACUUCUAAGUACCGAAGUGUGGUAUCAUUUUCACGCGCCUUAUCUGUCUCAUAUGUAGAUGUGGCAUCUUCUUUGGAAGUACUUUUCCUUCAUCCAUGGGUGGUAUCUUUAACCGAUGAAGAUGCACAAGGUAAUGUAUCAAUUUCACUUGAAGCUUACUUAUAGUUUCGGGCUUGGUCAAGUGCGAUACAAACCCUAUAGUAGGAGUCCCCCAAGUCGCCGAGCUAGGAGAUCUGCCGAAAGAGGUGACAGACAAGGUAAGCAGUCAAACUUCCAAGCAAGCAACCCAGGAUCAGAGGUUCGACUUCGGCUUCCGGUUGAUUGUUCUCCUUCUCCUUGUCUCUCAUUCAGCUGCCGGGAUAAGGAGAGGCAAAUGGAGAAGAGAUGAUAUGAGAUACUUUUGCUUUUGAAGAAGUAACUUUCCACAGGCUUAUUCUUGAACUGUGCUGGAGGGUUUUCUGGUUCCCUUCAGAGUAUAAGGCCGACUCAAGAAUUUGAGGGUCAAAACAAGUCCAUCAAAUCUAGAGUACGUUCGACCUUGAUGAUAUGGGAUACUUUUGCUGUUGACGGAAUAGUGAAUGUGGUAUGGAAAAGUGUCGUGCUGUAGUGAUCUGUUUCAGCUCACCGUUAAACCUUCUGCUUUAAUCUUUUGCAUGGCAGAAGUGGUGUGCAACCUUUGCAUUUAAAUGGUCCUUCAGAACAUUCCUUCAUAGUGACUCAUCCACGCUUGGCAGCUUCAGUGUAAAGAGCCAAUAUCUGAUCAACUGUCAUGAGGUAUGUGCCGGUGGAAUUCAUGACCUUGACAGCAGUUGAGGAUGAGUUCUCGAGAGCAAUGCUAAGUAAGCAACCAGGCAAAGGUCUCAGGCAGUCAGUUCCAGAUUGGAGGUUUGAUUUCAGGUUCCGACUGACUGCUCUCUUUCUCUUGUCCUGCAGGUGUGGACAAGGACGAAGACAAGGACAGGGAGAAAGCAUAAUAUGAGAUACUCUUACUUUCGACCCUGAUGAUAUGAGAUACUCUUGUUCUUGGUGUGGCUUAUUUGCUGAGGUAUUAUCGGGGGGAAAUAAAGCUGAGUAUUUCGAGAGGUUAUGUUGAGGGUGCAUUCUCGAAUGUGAGAAAGGGUUGAGCAUUUUUGUAGGUUUGCCUGUCCGUUGAGGAUGGAGGUCGAUGUAUAUAGGGAUUUCCCAAUAACAAGUAGUAAUGCUAUUCCUUUAUCCUUCUUGGUCACAACAAUGUAGUGGGAGCUGCCAGCUUCACGUGUUUUAACUUUGUCAGAGCACUUUGAAAAAUUGGUAUGUGGUAUCUGGAAAGCUGAUGUUGCGUGUGAAGAUUACAGACAAGCUUUAUCUAAGGAAAUCUGGCUCUCGAAGUUCUGAGAGCUGUGCCUCUUCGGUUUUCGAACAAGCAAUCCCGUCGGGGAUCUAGCUCUCGAGAUUCGGAAAGCGGUGCAGCUUCGGUUUUUGAGAAAGUAAUUAUGUUAGGAGUCUUUUCUCGAAGGUGAGUAAAGGUUGGACGUUCUUGCCAGCCUGUCUUGCCACAGAACACGGAGGUCGACACACAUAGGGGCUUUCCAGUUGUCAAGCAGUGGUGCUGUUCCUUUACCCUUGUGGGUAAUAGUAGGGUAGCUGGAACUUCUAAAUUCUCGUGCCUAAACUUUGUCAGAGAUCUUUGGCAAAGUUAUAUGUGGUACCCGAGGAGUUGAUGGUGCGUGUGGAGAGUGGUGAUUGAACAGUAAGAUUCACGUGCUUUUUAUUUCACCAGAAAUCUUCGACAGAUUGCCCAUAAUUUCCGCAAAGCUGAGUGUGCAUGUGACAGGUGCUGACGAGGCUGAAAAAGCAGGUGCUUCUUCGAUUUCUGAGAUCGGCCCUCGUGGUCUCUGAGCAACUCAGCUUUCGAGAAAGCAAACGCCUCUUCGAUUUCUGAAGCUCUGUCAAGUGUAGAUUUUUAUAGAGGUUGGCAUUAAGUUCCACAUCACACUUGAAUCUCCACCAGUAGAAGCUCCCUUCUUGCACUUCUAAGAUCUUGAUUUGUCUGACCUCUUCCCUCUUCAACACCUUUGAAAAUGUCUAGCUCCUCUGACCGUCGUUUUGACUUGAACCUUGGAGAAGAGACAGCCACGCCUUCUCCAGACAACAUAUGGCGCCCAUCCUUCAUAUCCCCUACUGGUCCUCUUACCGUUGGGGAUUCUGUGAUGAAGAAUGAUAUGACCGCUGCAGUGGUGGCCAAGAACCUUUUCACUCCCAAAGAUAACAUACUACUUUCCAAACGGUCUGAUGAGUUGGCUGUUAAGGAUUCUUUGGCUCUUAGUGUUCAGUGUGCAGGUUCUGUGUCUAAUAUGGCCCAACGCCUAUUUGCUAGAACCCGCCAAGUUGAAUCAUUGGCUGCUGAAGUGAUGAGUUUCAAACAGGAGAUUAGAGGGCUCAAGCAUGAGAAUAAACAGUUGCACCAGCUUGCACAUGACUAUGCUACAAACAUGAAGAGGAAGCUUGACCAGAUGAAGGAAUCUGAUGGUCAGGUUUUACUUGAUCAUCAGCGGUUUGUGGGUUUGUUCUAAAGGCAUUUAUUACCGUCGUCUUCUGAGGCUGUACUGCGUAAUGAAGCUCCAAAUGAUCAACCUCCGAUGCCUCCUCCUUCUGGGGUUCUGUCCAGUACUGAGGCUCCGGAUAACCACCCUUCGGUGCUUUCUCUUUCUGGGGCUCUACCGACUGCUGAGACUUCCCCUGAGCAACCUUUGUGAAGGCUCCCUCUUGUUUGUUUAUUUUGAUUCAUGUAUAUGUACAUAUUUGUAACUUAUCGGAAAUAUCAAUAAACAAGAUUAUCUUCAUUUCAACGUAUUGUGUUAAAUACACCAAGGCAUUCUUCACUAAGUUCUUUGAAUUUUUCCUUUUGUUGAAGCUUGUAUGUUGAAACUUUGUGAGUGAAGCAUGUAGGUUGAGGUAGUGCUCCCUUAAUUUCCCGAGUGAGGAAAACUUCUCGUUUGGAGACUUGAAAAAUCCAAGUCACUGAGUGGUCGUGAGACUUCCGAGUAUCAAGGUGCAGUAGCAUAUGGUAGGAGUCCCCCAAGUCUCUGGUCGAGGGAGUUGACAAAUGAGGCAUUUCCUUUCGAAGUGGUAGCCCAAAACUCCUUCUUCAUAUAUAUUUGUUAUGAAAGUUGUUAGGCCCAAAGAAGAGGAGGCCUAGGCAAAUUUUUUUUUUUUUGAAUUUUCAAAUUUCCGGAUUUUUGAAUUUUCGAAUUUCCGAAAAAUAAAAAAUAAAAAUAAUAUAUAUAUAUUUAAAAGCUUUGUAGGUGAAGCUUUGGUGUUGAAGAUUUGUAGGUGAAGCUUUGAGGUUGAAGCUUUGUUGGGCACCAUGAAUUGAUUUUGCUUCACACUAUCUUGAUGAAGAGUGUGUGAAGCUUUUAUAUGUUUUGGUGUUGAAAUUUUGUAUUGUAGGUGAAACUUUGGGGUUGAAGCUUGAUAGGUGAAGCUUUGGUGUUGAAGCUUUAUAGGUGAAGCUUUGGUGUUGAAAGCUUUAUAGGUGAAAGCUUUGGUGUUGAAGCUUUAUGAAGCUUUAUGUGAAGCUUUGGUGUUGAAGCUUUAUAGGUGAAGCUUUUGUUGGCACCAUAAAUUAAUUUUGCUUCACACUAUCUUGAUGAAGAUAGUGCGAAGUUUUGGAGAUUGAUAUUUGUCCUCCAUUGAUGAAGCUUUUGUUGGCACCAUAAAUUGAUCUUGCUUCACACUAUCUUGAUGAAGAUAGUGCGAAGCUUUUGAGAUUGAUAUUUGUCCUCCAUUGAUGAAGCUUUUGUUGGCACCAUAAAUUGAUUUUGCUUCACAGUAUCUUGAUGAAGAUAGUGCAAAGCUUUUGAGAUUGAUAUUUGUCCUCCAUUGAUGAAGCUUUUGUUGGCACCAUAAAUUGAUCUUGCUUCACACUAUCUUGAUGAAGAUAGUGCGAAGUUUUGGAGAUUGAUAUUUGUCCUCCAUUGAUGAAGCUUUUGUUGGCACCAUAAAUUGAUCUUGCUUCACACUAUCUUGAUGAAGAUAGUGCGAAGCUUUUGAGAUUGAUAUUUGUCCUCCAUUGAUGAAGCUUUUGUUGGCACCAUAAAUUGAUUUUGCUUCACACUAUCUUGAUGAAGAUAGUGCAAAGCUUUUGAGAUUGAUAUUUGUCCUCCAUUGAUGAAGCUUUUGUUGGCACCAUAAAUUGAUUUUGCUUCACACUAUCUUGAUGAAGAUAGUACGAAGCUUUUGAGGAUUGUAGUUGUGUUCCAUUGUUGAAGCUUUGUUUUUCCUUUUUUUUUUUUUUUUUUUUUUUUUUUUUUGGGAAAACUAGAAAUUUGAAAAUGUGGGAGAGACAACAUAUACAAAUUUUGCUUCCAUACUGUUAAGCGAGAGAUUGUGAUGCAAGCCACAUCUUGUAGUAGUCGAAGGUUUGGAUGAACCAUAUAAAUUGAAUUUGCUUCGAACAGUCUUGAUCAAGAGCGUGUGAAGCUUUCUAUGAGUUGUAGUGUUUGCAUUGUUACAGAGGAGAAAUGUCUGAAGCAGAUGCAAGAGGGCUGAAGAGCUUGAUCUUCGUAUACCAUGCACUGAAGCCAUUGUUGGCUUGCAAUAAGACUUUGUUGGUGACUAUAGCUCUUGUUAGGCAUAAGUGCUCCCUUAGUUGAGUUGUAAAGCUUGAUGGUUUUUGAUUAUUUGUGAAUGCUAGGAGUUCACAUGUACAAGUUGUACCACUCGUCUUCUGGUUAGUGGAAUGAAGGGUGGGUUGCUUUCAUCACUUGGUUGGUGGUACGAAUGUGAAUUCCUUAAUCACCUUUCAUCACAUUUCAUCACCUGGUUGGUGACAUGAAGGAGAGUACGCGUUGUACAUUUCAUCACCUGGUUGGUGGCAUGAAGAUGAGUUCCUUCUUCACCUGAUUGGUGAUAAGGGUGGCAAGUUUCCAAAUAAUAUUAGAGUACGGGUUGUACAUUUCAUCACCUAGUUGGUGGUACGAAGGUGAGUUCCUUCAUCACCUAGUUGGUGAGAAUAAGGGCAAGGUGUCGAGGCACAUUGUGGCAAAUGUCGAAUGACACAAAGUGUGUUGAACCCUUUCGAAGCACAGUUGGCUUAUGUAUGGAUGUGUUGGAAUGUAUGAUGUUUAUGCAUGAAUGUGUUGGAAUGUAUGAUGUUUAUGUAUGAAUGUAUUGGAAUGUAUGAUGUUUAUGUAUGAAUGUGUUGGAAUGUAUGAUGUUUAUCCUUUGUAUAGUCUUGUUGACACAUACUUAGAUUUUGUUUUGUAUUAGAAACAUUUGCGUUGAAGCUUCAACACUUGAGUGUUUCAUUGCUCAGAAUGUAAAAGAGUUUAGGGCCGAGUUGGCUAAAUCACCUUUUUAUUGAAUUCAUACCAAAUGGUUUUGUUACAUAGGAUGCCGAACGGCUGUAGCUUAACACUUGUACAAUGUGAGUCUAUUUGUAAUAGUACUUCAAGUCGUCAGCAUUCCAUGGAUGGCCAAAAGUCUUGCUGUCGGAGCUUCUGAGCUUGUAGGAGCCAGGGCGGCUGAUGCUGACGACCUCGAACGGUCCAUCCCAGUUAGGACUGAGUGUUCCUUCAUUCGGGACUCUAUCACAGAGUAAUCUUUUCUUCAGUACCCAGUCUCCACUUUGAAUGAGCGAGGUUUGACCCUUGAGUCGUAGUAGUUGGAGAUGCGCUGCUUGUAGGCGACAUUCCUCAGAUGAGCCUGAUUUCUAUGUUCCUCGACUAGAUCCAGGUUGAGGGUGAGUUGUUUGUCGUUUUCACUCUGCAUGUAGUUCUGGAUUCGGUAUGUUGCUUGCUCAAGCUCAACCGGGACAACUGCUUCUGUACCAAAAGCAAGUGAGAAUGGAGUUUCUCCUGUGGAAGUCCGAUAUGAAGUGCGGUAUGACCAAAGAACUUGGGGUACGAAUUCUGGCCAACAACCUUUAGCUUUGUCCAAGCUAGUUUUCAGAGUGCGCUUGAUUAUUUUGUUAACGGCCUCGACUUGUCUAUUAGACUGGGGAUGGGCUGGAGAGGCAAAACAUAAGUUGAUGUUAAACUUAGAGCAGAACAUCCUGAAGUUCUUGUUAUCGAAUUGUCACCCAUUGUCCGUGACUAUCGCAUUGGGAAUGCCGAAUCUGCAAAGGAUGUUCUUCCAUACGAAGUCUUCUAUUUUUGCCUCAGUAAUGGUUGCCAAGGGUUCUACUUCAGUCCACUUUGUGAAGUAGCCAACUGCAACGAUUGCAUAGCGGACCUUGCCCUUCCCUGCAGGCAUUGGGCCGAUCAAAUCAAGUCCUCAUUGGGCGAAGGGCCAAGGGCUGAUCAUAGGAGUGAGCGGCUCGGGAGGGGAGUGAGGGAUAGUUGCGUAGCGUUGACACUUAUCACAUGAGCGAGAUAUUCUGAUGGCAUCUUGGUGGAGUGUUGGCCAAUAGUAUCAUUGGCGAAAAGUCUUGUGUGCUAGGGAUCGAGACCCAGCAUGAUCUCCGCAGACUCCUUCAUGUAUUUCCCGAAGGACAAUUUCCGCCUCCGCAGGUGUAAGGCAUCUUAGGUAAGGCAGGGUAAAACCUCGCUUGUAGAGUUGGUCAUUAAUGAUCAGGUAGCGAGCAGACUUGUAUCGAAUCUGCUUAGCUUGGACUUUGUCAUUUGGGAGGGUGCCAUGGGCAAGGAAUUUAUAAAUUGGGGUGAUCCAACUAUCUCCUUGUUGUAAAUUGCACACUUCUGCGACCAUGGUGCUUGGUGCUGCCAACAAUUCGACAUGAAUUUUUCUCCCAAUCUUGUCUUCCACUGCCGAGGCGAGGCGGGCCAAAGCGUCUGCAUGACUAUUUGCCGCUCGAGGAACUUGGGUGAUCUGGUAGUGGAAGUGCUUGAGCAAAAGUCGUGUUUGCGCAAGAUAUGUUGCCAUGGAGCUAUCCUUAGCAUCAAAGUUGUUCGUGACUUGGUUGACCACUGAUUGAAAGUCACUGAAGAUAUCAAUUUGUUUAACUCCAAGAUGCUUGGCCAAACGUAAGCCUGCUAGAAGGGCUUCGUAUUCGGCCUCGUUGUUCGAUGCCUUGAAUUUGAAACGAAGAGCGUAUUCUAUCGCCACUUUGUCAGGGGUAGUGAGGACUAAUCCUGCUCCGCAGCCCUGUUGGUUGGAUGAGCUAUCAACAUACAGACUCCAUGCUGGGGUUGUUGAUUUUGUCUUCUGAGCUUCCGAUGGUAAUGAAGCUAUUGCUUCAGGUGUAGAAGCUAUUGCUUCAGGUGUAGAAGCAAUGUCAACAGGAUAUGUGAAGUCGGCGAUGAAAUCUGCUACUGCUUGACCCUUUUCGGCUGGUUUUGGUUGGUAGGAGAUGUCAAACUCACCCAAUGCUAUUGCCCAUUUGAUCAUUCGCCCAUACGUGUCAGGACUCUAGAGUACCUGUCGAAGAGGGUGAUUGGUAAGCACGAUGAUGGCGUGUGCUUGGAAAUAAGGGCGAAGUUUUCCAGCAGACAUGACCAAUGCUAGAGCUAAUUUCUCAAUGUUGGAAUAUCGUGUCUCCGCAUCUUGUAGGGCCUUGCUAGCAUAGUAGACGGGCCGUUCGACACCACUGUCCUUUCGGAUAAGAACAGAACUGACUGCUGAAGCCGAGACCGAUAGAUAGAUAAUGAGAGUGUCACCAACUUCUGGUUUGGAGAGCAGAGGGGCUUUACUCAUGUACUCUUUGAGGUUCCUGAAUGCCUUGGCACAUUCCUCCGUCCAUGUAAUGUACUUCUUAUUUCCCUUGAGUGCUUUGAAGAAAGGAGCACAUCUGUCUGUGGCCUUAGAGAUGAAUCUGGUUAAGGCUGCCACAUUGCCAGUAAGGCUUUGGAUGUCUUUUGAAGUUACUGGCUCUUUCAUGUCGAGGAUUGCUUUGAUCUUUUCGGGGUUAGCUUCAAUGCCUCGUUGGCUAAUCAUGAAGCCUAAGAAUUUGCCAGAUCCCACGCCGAAGGCACAUUUGUUGGGGUUCAACCUCAUUCGAUACCUCUUUAGAAUGGUGAAAGUUUCAGAUAGGUUGGUGAUGUGUUGGUCAGCAUGUUUGCUUUUGACUAGCAUAUCAUCAACGUAAACUUCCAUGCUCUUCCCAAUCUAUUCGGCAAACAUUGAAUUGACCAGUCUCUGAUAAGUUGCUCCUGCAUUCUUUAGGCCGAAAGGCAUGACUUUGUAGCAAUAUAGUCCCUUGUCAGUAGUGAAGGCUGUGUUCUUGGUCUGAGGGGUUCAUGAGGAUUUGGUUGUAUCCUGAAUAAGCGUCCAUGAAGCUCAAGAGCUCACACCCUGCCGUAAAGUUUAUAAGUCUAUCAAUGAGAGGAAGGGGGAAACUAUCAUUCGGGCAUCCUUUGUUUAGGUCGGUGUAGUCGACACACAUUAUCCACAAGACCUUUUGAAGCAGAAGACUUUCUUUGGUCAGAUUUUUCUUAACAAGGACAACAUUUACUACCCAUGUUGGGUAAUUGACUUCACGGACGAAGCCUAUGUCCUUGAGUUUUUCAACUUCUGCUUUCAUCGCCUCGUAUCGUUCAACAUCAUAAGAUCUUCGCUUCUGUUUUACUGGUUUGGUCUUGGGAUCAAUACUCAAGUGGUGACAGAUGAUAUCGGGAGAGAUGCCCGGCAUAUCUUUAUAUGACCAAGCGAAGACCUCGGCGUUCUCUUGCAAAAAGGAGAUCAGCGACAACCGAAGGGGUGGUGACAAAGUGGUGCCAAUCUUCACCAUGCGAUCUGGAUGGUCUUUGGAGAUAGAGACAUUCUCUAACUCUUCAGCGGGUUGUGCUUGCUGGGUGAAUGAGUCAUCUCGAGGGUCGUCGGGUUGACUGUUGCCAUCAUGAAGAUCCGAGUUGGCUUCAUCUGGACUGGUCUUUACUACCUGGUUAUGUAUAGAGAGGGUCUCCUUGAGGACAUGCAGGUGUUGUUGCUUAACUGAAGUGUUGUAACAUGAUCGAGCACUAAGUUGAUCUCCCAUGAUGUAUCCAUUGCCGAAAGGGGUUGGAAACUUCAUCAACAACAUAUGUGUGGAUACCAUGGCCUUGAGAUCAUUGAUGCCUGUGCGCCCAAAGAUGACAUUAUAUGCCGUCGGGCAAUUGACCACUAGGAAGUUAGUGGUAAUAGUAGCUGUGUAGGGGCCUGUACCAAUGGUGAGGGGUAAGUGUAUACUCCCUAAAGGUUGCACGAUAUCGCCAGAGAAGCUUAUCAGAGGAGAAAUCGAGCGAUCGAGCAAGUGUUCAGCUACAUUAAGUGCCUUGAAAGCUUCAGCAAACAUGAUAUUGACUGAAGCACCUGUGUCUAUCAGGAUUCGUUUCACAUCAAAAUUUGCUAUGUGAGCCUCCACGAUCAGCGGGUCGUUGUGAGGGUAGAUGAUACCUCUUUCUUCCUCAGGGUAGAAACAUAUUGGAUCCCAGUUAGGUUUUUGAUACUUGCCUCCCCUGAUGUCUUCCACGUGAAACACUUGAUGGCCAUGUCUCAAAGUUCGUUCACUGUUUUUCAUGGCCCUAUUGGAAGAUUCAGACAUGGGUGUGCCGCCGCUUAUGGAGUAUAUCACAUUCACCUGGCGUUGGUUACGGUUAUCCCUUGGAGGAUGAAGGAGGAACUGAUCAAUUUUUCCUUCACGUGCCAAAGCUUCGAUAUGAUCAUGGAGGAUGAUGCAUUUCUCGCCGUCAUGGCCAUUAUACGUGGUAGCAGCAAAACACGCUCGUGUUCUUCGUGGACUUGUAAUUUGGCUGUCUUGGCUUUGGCUUUGGUAUCAGGUAAGCUAUACUGGGGUAGAUGGCCGCGCAUGUAGCGUUCAAAGGUGUGUAUGUCUCAUACCUCGGGGUAUGGCCUGUCUUGACACGCGAUUGGCCCACUGCGUUGACUGCAUGGGGAUGGGUGUUAUUGUGACGAUAUACUGAGUUAUCGUGAUAGUGCCCCUUAUUCUUUUUAUUAAAAUGAGAUUGGUGAGGAUGGAAAUCUUUCCUUUUGCCCUGGGAUUGAUAUGUCUGCUGACUUGGCGAAGCAUUAAAUGAGGCCGGGGGGUGUGCUGCUACCGUUUGGAAGGUUGAGGUCUUUUCAUUCGGUUGGAUCUGGCCUCCACUCCUACUUGCUGAUAAGGGGUGACUGUAGGGGGUUUCCCUUGAUAUGUCCUUGCCUCGGCAGAGGCAUGGUUGUAAGCUUGUGCCAUCACUUCAGAGUAAGUCUUCCAAGUGUUGGCAUUGAUCAUGUACUUGAAGAAACAGUCACGUAAGCCUGCCGUGAAGGCCUUGAGGGCGGUCUUGUCAUCUGCCUCAGCGCAGCGGGAAUACUCAUGGCUGAAGCGACCAGCAUACUUUCGUAAUGACUCGUCCGGCUUCUGGUGAAUAGUGUACAAGUCAUCUGCGGAAUGCAAGCGAUCGGUCUAGAAGAUGUGUUGAGAGACAAACAACUUCCUCAACUCUUCAAAUGAGUCUACCGUCUCGGGUAGAAGACGACAAUACAGUUUAAAGCUCCGCCAGAAAGGGUGGAGGGGAAGAGAAGGCACCGUUCUUCAUCGGUGUGUCUCCGGUAUACCAUGGUGGACUCAAAGAGGUUAAUGUGUUCAAUCGGGUCUUCCCUUCCAGUAUAGAGUUGUAAGUCAAGCUUCUGCUUUGUCUUCGCUUGGAGGGGGGUGUUGAGGAUCCUUCUUGUGAGGGGGCCAGGCCUGGGUUGGUUCCAGUCAGGUAUCUCGGCUUGACGUUCAGCCUUCAACUUGUUUACUUCCUCCAGGAGCUGUAGGACGAGGGGGUCCUGAGUGGAGUCGUGCAUCACUGGAGUUUUCUUCCGUAAGUCCCCAUCGCCUCUUGGAAGUAGGAAAGUUUGAUCAAGAUAGCAUGAUUUUUCCUUGGACUCGUCACACUGACUCCUAGAGUGAGUAUGUCGGAACAUUUCCGAGUCCCCUGUACCUUCAUGUUCUUCUGGGACUUGUUGCCCAUUCCCUAGAUUAACUGCUGGCCUGGGUCGUGGGAAAGGACCGAGUCUUUCAGAAACUCUUGGGUCAUUGAUCUUCGAGCUUAUGUGGAUGGGAUUCUCUCGACGUUGCUUUAGGAAGUCUCGACAAUCGCGAUAGACAGCUUUUGAUCCUUCCACUCCUUCUGUGAGGAGGUGCUUUCCUCUACUCUUUCUGCUUCGGGUUGAAGCAGCUGGGUUGAGAGAAGUCUCAUGUUGAUUAUCACAUUGAUGUGUAGCUCGAUCCCUAUCAGGGAUGUCCGUGUUGGAUAUUGGUGACCCUCCGUGUUGGGGGGCAUUCAGAUGAUUGUUGACCUCAGCAGGGGCGACGAGCUUGUGUGCUUGAGCAUGCCUAGCCUCGUGAAGCAUCUCGAAAAGUUUUUCAUACUGCUCCUGGAGGACCUCGUUCCUCAUCACUAUCUUGUUGUUCUGAGCUUCUAACUCAUCGACUUUAGCUUGAAGAGUAACUCUAUUUCCUUCCUGCUUUCGUUGCUUCAUACUAGGUCCAAUGGGGGUGUCAUUCUGUGUGCUAUGGCUUCUUUCGCUCCCCAUGUUGGAGAGAGAUGUUUGGCCAAAAGAAAGUGUACGGGCGGUGGAAACCAGCUUAACAAAGCUGAAGAGAGUGGGAGUAAGUGUCUUUCCCACAGACGGCGCCAAAUGUUGAUGCACAAAAUCAGCGAGGACUUUGGUACAACAGAAAGUGUCAGGUUUGUGACCUUCGCUUGGUUGCUUCGAUCACUAGUGAAGAUAAGUACGUAAAUGAAUAGGGACAGGGAAGCAAACACAAGAUGUACGUGGUUCACCCAGAUUGGCUACGUCCACGGAGUAGAGGAGUUCUCAUUAAUUGUGAAGGGUUUACACAAAUACAUAGGUUCAAGCUCUCAUUUUUUGAGUUCUAGUGAAUAGUUUAGUACAAAAUGACAUUAGAGAUUAUUGUGGGAGAAUGAUCCCUAUUUAUAGAAGAAAGUUUCUAGUUUUGUUCUAACAUUGACACGUGUCGUGUUGUGAUUGGCUUCUGAUGUUGACACGUGUCGCGCUGUGAUUGGCUUCUGAUGUCGACACAUGUCGCAUUGUGAUUGGCCUCCUGGUUGAAGGGAAGCUCUUCUGGGUCCUUGACGUAUAACGUUGACCGGUGGUAGAUGGCCGCGCAUGUUGAUGUGGCAUCUUCUUUGGAAGUACUUUUCCUUCAUCCAUGGGUGGUAUCUUUAACCGAUGAAGAUGCACAAGGUAAUGUAUCAAUUUCACUUGAAGCUUACUUAGAAGUUUCGUGAUUACUCAGUGGCUUGGAUCUUGCAAGUCCCCAACCGAGGAGCUUCCCUCACUCGGGAACUUAGGGGAGCACUGUUUGUACCAUACUUGACCAAUCCCGAAAACUACUGAGCACCGGUCAACGUUAUACGUCAAGGACCCAGAAGAGCUUCCCUUCAACCAGGAGACCAAUCACAAUGCGACACGUGUCGACAUCAGAAGCCAAUCACAGCGCGACACGUGUCAACAUCAGAAGCCAAUCACAACACGACACGUGUCAAUGUUAGAACAAAACUAGAAACUUUCUUCUAUAAAUAGGGAUCAUUCUCCCACAAUAAUCUCUAAUGUCAUUUUGUACUAAACUAUUCACUAGAACUCAAAAAAUGAGAGCUUGAACCUAUGUAUUUGUGUAAACCCUUCACAAUUAAUGAGAACUCCUCUACUCCGUGGACGUAGCCGAUCUGAGUGAACCACGUACAUCUUGUGUUUGCUUCCCUGUCCCUAUUCAUUUACGUACUUAUCUUCACUAGUGAUCGAAGCAACCAAGCGAAGGUCACAAACCUGACACUUUAUGUUGUACCAAAGUCCUCGCUGAUUUUGUGCAUCAACACAAUGUAUGAGAGAAGGAAAUGAAAGAUGAUGUGAAUAAGAGGGGAGAAAAUUCUACUCAUGCUAAAAACAAAAAAUAAUGAUCGACUCUGUAGAUAUUGGCCAAACCAAACAUUAGAUGUGAAAAAUUAGCACUUUGCCGAAUAAUAUUCCGAGUGAGCAAAAUAGAGAAAAAUAUAACAAUGGCACACAGAAAAAAUAUAAAAGUUGAGGAGCCGGGUGAUAUAAUAUUAGACAUUGCAAUUGUAGGCUCGGACGACUCAAGGAGAAAAAGGUUGCUUGCACCACUAUAGGAAAAUUACAAAUCAACAAUGCAGAGGUAACGUGCAUGGUCUUCUCUUCUGCCAUGAAAAAUUCAUGUUGCUUUCAUAUAAUUAACUAAUUAACUAGUUAUUAGUGUUAAUUAUUCUCUAACAUUUCCUUCCUCCAUUGUUUUCUUCUUCUUCAGAUCAAAGUUUCAAUAGUUUUUUUUUAUUUUUUAAAUUCCUUUUACUUUAACAAUAUUAGCGAUUCCAAUUCUACUAGCUAGUUUUAGGUUGUAUUUUAAUUGGCUCGUGUGCUUCUGUUGCAGGACGUGUUUGGGGAAAAAGGAAGGAUACUUGAACAGGCAGGAGCUGUAGCAAAGGUAGCCUCUAUGAAAAAACAUAAUGAACUCUUUGUAACGAAACAACUUCGUUUGACUCGUUUCAUUUAAAUUUUUUGUUUUUCUCAGGUGCAAAGCGACGUGGUUUUGUUAAAAAAAAAAAAAAAACUAAAACGGAGCAACGCCCCACUGCAGAAAACCAAAAUGCAGCACCGCAGCACCAGAGCAGAGGGGUGGAAACCUGGAUUUUGGGAACGAACUCCGGCGACCGAAGGUGCGAACACACCUCCUUGAACCUCUGUGGCUUCGCCAAUGAAGGUCUCGAUAUUAUUUAUGAGGAGUUCAUGAUAAUUACUUUAAAGUGUUAAUAACAAUCCUCUUUCUUAUUCUUAUGCUAGUAGGUCUGGUACUUCCUACAAUCUUAAAAUAUGCAUAAAUUCACUCAUAUAGAAUGGGAAAAUGCCAUACGUUACCAUUUGGAAAUUGGCGAGACAUGAAAAAGUCCUUGAACCUCGCUCCCCCCCGCAAGGCAGGCUUAAACUCGCCCGUGAUGAGAAGACAUGUCUUUUGUGAAUGACAGGAAAUAGGACAAAACCAUCCCUUCUCUUUUUUGUUAGUAAAAGCAUCCCAUGCUUUCUAUCUCUUCAUUCCACUGACUAUUUCGAACACAAAACAUCAAUACAAGUAUUAGUAAAAUGAAAACUUCUUUCUUUUAUUCAAUAAUUAUUAUGGGUUGUGUUUAUUGAUCAACCUGUAAGUAGAUAAAACACUAAUAAUACAAUUAGUUAGGUAAAAAAAAUCAGUUUUUUUUUCAAGUUUCUCAACUAACCGGGACCUAAGUAUUCCCUUGGCGUUCUUACACCAACAAAGAAACAACAACGAAACACACAGGAACACAAAAAUUGGGGACCUCUUUUUAUCUACUUGCCCACCAUCACAAAUAUUACCUUUUUUUUCUUGUAUGGUUUGGUGGUAGGGAACGAAACCUAGCUACAUUCACUUCUUCUGAUUUGCAGUUGACUCUGGUUUUUACAUGAGUAUAUACUGAAGCUCGAUGGACCCCAGGCUAUAUAAUAUUCGAAAAUAGUCAUUCCUUAUUUGUCCGUCAAUCACAAUAUAUAUAAUCAAUUUGAUGAGUAAUUUUGCGUACAUGUAAAGUGUACGUACAAUCCUACAGAGAAUAUUUACAUUAGUUAUAAGGCCUCAGCAUUUGAUAUAACUAAAAGGCAACCUGUAUCAACUCAUUCUUCGAGUCAAGAAUAUCUGAGCUUCUUAGAGGGGGAAUAUAGGCUCUAAAACCAUGUCUUGGUUUUUUACAGUUCUCUUUCUUGUUACUGCUCUUACAUUUCAUACUCCUUCAGAGGCUAGCCAUGAGAAGAACGAUCCUUCUGCAGUUGUUGUAGGCACUGUCUACUGUGACACAUGUUUCCAAGAGGAUUUCUCACAUACCAGCCAUUUCAUUUCAGGUAAAUUCAUCUCAAAAUUUCAACAAGUUCUUCAUCAAAUUUAUUUUUAUAUUGUAGUCUGACUAUAAAAUAGACGUCCGUUCAAUGAUUUCCGUACACCUUCUCCUCCAUACACUCAUGUUUAUUUUGUAAUCUUUAAAUUCAAAUGAAUCAAAGAAAAUCAAAAGAAAGGAAUAAAAAGGGUACAAAAUGAAAAAAAAGAAAGUAAAAUCCAAGAAAAUGACUGAAAACCUAUAUGUAAGUAUUUCCUAUAUAUGAGUCAACUAUACAACUACGAAAAGUAUAUAACAAAUCAAUUUCAAAAAAAUCUCGCCUAACUCCUUGGCGGUAAGACUCUGCAUUCAAUCACGAUUUCUUUCCAACAGACAACGAGUGGUAGGGAUAUUAUUUCUCUUGAAGAAAAGUUGGAGGAUAUGUCAUUUGUAUGUGUUGAUAUCAUUGUCGCCAAGUAUGCAUGUCAUCAGUAACUUUAAAUGAUUUAUCCCCAUACAAAGUAUAAUAGUUGAUCUAAAUGAUUUAUCCCCAUACAAAGUAUAAUAGUUGGUCUAAACCCUAAUUCCAUAAAGGACCAUACUGUUUAAAUGAAAUAAUUGCUCGGUUCCAUUUUACCCCUACAUUUUCUGCUUUUGUUUCGUUGCAAGAGUUUAACUUGUUAUUUGGAAUAUAUUGUUCACAGAAAGCACUUGUUCAGCAAUUUUUGGCUACUGAAGAUGCACUGAACAAAGCUGCAGAAGCGAGGGAUCUAUGUCAAAAACUUAUAAAACGCUUGCAUGGCAAUAGUGAUGUAAUUUCUUCAGGAACAUCACAAAAUGUGGGCAGUCUUAGGCAACUUGAGGUAAAUCUUCCUUGCAUAUUAAAAGUAUUAACUACCAAUAGUUUGGGUGGAAAUAGCACCAUGGGUGACAGGUUUGAUUAGUUUCAGUCUUUUGAUCGUUUCCAUAGUUGUAUACUGUAUACUAGGUUACUUUUAGCCUGCACUGUGUUCUCAUCUGAUUUUUUACAGUCUUCCAUUUGCUUUGUGUAGAUGGAGGUUUGGGCUAAGGAAAGAGAAGUUGCUGGCUUGAGGGCUAGCUUGAAUACACUGAUGUCUGAAAUACAACGCUUAAAUAAAUUAUGUGCGGAAAGGAAAGAAGCUGAAGAUUCUUUGAAAAAGAAGUGGAAGAAGAUUGAAGAAUUUGAUUACCGCAGAUCAGAACUUGAAAUCAUAUAUACCACAUUACUAAAAGUUAACAUGGUAAGGAUCUCAGCUUCAAUAGUGCUUAUAAAUUUACUAGUCACUUCAUAUACUGGCAUUGUAUAAGCCAUGUCUGGUCAUUCCAUGAAGUGUCGGCUCCUUUUCUUUAAGUUCCAGGCAAAAGUUCAUAUAUAUAAUAUAAAAUUCAAGACAAAUUUUCUAGCAGCCCAACGAGUAGAUGGACUCUUUUUUUUUUUUAAAUGAAAUCCACGGUCUCCUCUUUAGAUGCCCAAAGACCCUAUUUAUGGUUAUAGGUCUGGGGUUAACUCACCAGGAGACUUCAAUUUCCCUGGAACUUAUGCAAAUGAUAUCACCAAUUGCAUAGUUUUCAUUUGUUAUUCGUAUCAUAUGGUAGAAUAUUUCAAUAGAGGCAGCUAGGAUAAUGCUUAUCCAUCUCUUUGUCUUCUGUCGGGAAUAUUUUCUAAUGUUAUUUUUGUCUUGGUACAUGGUAGGAUGCUGCUGCCUUCUGGAAUCAGCAGCCAUUAGCCGCACGGGAGUAUGCAUCAAGCACAAUUAUUCCUGCAUGCACAGUAGUCAUGGAUCUUUCAAAUAGUGAAAAACAUCUUAUUGAAAGAGAAGUUUCUGCUUUUGACCAAAGUCCUGAUAAUAGCCUCUACAUGAUUCCAGCAAUUCCACAGGUUUGUGUUGGGGCUUAAAAAGACUUCACUACUUUGGAGAUGUUUAUCUCAUAAAGAAGAAUGUAACGCAGCGGAAUUGAUAGCCAAGAAAAAAGAAAGAACACUCAGAGUAUUACACAAAAUUUUUAUUCUCACACAAACUUAGUACAAGAGGAAACACUCAAACACUCUUACACUUCUUCACUCUUUUUCUCGCUUCUUGCUUUCUUACUGACUCUCACUUCUUCUUGCUUCUUUGUUACACAACACCACACACCUAUUUAAAGGUGGUGUUCCCCGACUAUCCUUGUUACCACCGACUUGAGCAUUGCAGCAAUGACCACAUGAUUUGCCGCCUCUAGAUCUUUCUUUAACUUGGAUAUUUUAGGUGAUAACCAUUUGAAAUUGCUGAAAUUUUCCAGCUAUAUUAUCGACAUAGAUUGCUAGCAUUUGCACACAUUUGCUUUGGGUUAGAUCACUUGUCUUGGGCCAAAGACAAGAUUACCUUUUAACAUCCUCCCUUAAUCUUGUCUUGUGACGCCGAUUGAGUUCCUCAGUCUAACAAAGUCUUCUUGUUUGAGUGGCUUGAUGAAUAUGUCAGCGACUUGGUCUUGAGACUUCACGGAUUCCACUUGCACAUCCUUUCUUGCAAUGCACUCUCUUAUGUAGUGAUAACGAGUAUCUAUGUGCUUGCUCCUGUCAUGGAACACCAGAUUCUUUGCUAGAGCUAUUACAGACUUGUUGUCGACAUUGAUCUCUGUUGGCUCUUCUUGUGGCCUGCUUAAUUCUUUCAGCACGUUUCUCAGCCAAAUUGCAUGACAGAUACAUGCGGUAGCAGCUAUAUAUUCAACUUCACAGGCAGACAGUGUGACAAUUGGUUGCUUCUUCAACAUCCAUGUGAAUGCAGUGUCUCCCAUGAAGAACACAAAUCCAGUAAUGUUUUUUCUAUCGUCGGAAUCUCCUGCCGAAUCACUGUCGCUAUAUCCAACAAGCUUGUAGUUAUUAGAGCUUGAAUAGAACAAGCCAAAGUUAAUAGUACCUUUAAGGUAUCAAAGAAUUCUUUUGGCGGUCUUCAAAUGUGUACUUAUGGGAUUCUCCAUGUAUCGACUAACUAAUCUGACGACAUAGAGAAUAUCUGGUCUUGUGCAAGCCAAUAGUGCAAGCUUCUAACUAGACUUUUGAAAAAUGUUGGAUCUACGCUUUCUCCUUUGUCAUGCUUGGUUAGUUUGACUCCGCACUUCAUUGGCGUGCUUAUGGGCUUGCAGUCUUCCAUUUUGAACUUUUUCAAUACCUCAUUUUGUAGCUUUCUUGGGAGAUGAAAAUGCCUUCUUCGUUUUGCUUAACUUCAAUGCCUAGGUAGUAUGUCAUCAGCCCGAUGUCGGUUAUCUCGAAUUCUUUGGUCAUCACUCUCUUGAACUCUUCAAACAUACUUGGAUUACUCACGGUGAAGAUUAGAUCAUCCACAUAUAAGCACACAAUCAAAAUGUCUCCAUCUUUGACUUUGAGAGCAUGUUCAUGAGGGCACUUGAUGAAGUUGUUCUCCUGAAAGUACUUGUCGAUGUGACUAUUCCAUGCUCGUGGCAUUUAUUUUAACCCAUAGAGGACUUUCUUCAACUUCAGAACUUUGUCUUCAUGCCCUUUGAUUUCAUAACCUGAUGGUUGCUGAAUGUAGACUUCUUCUUCAAGGACUCCAUUUAGGAAAGCGGACUUCACAACCAUUUGUUGAAUCUUCCAUUUGUUUUGAGCUGCCAAAGAAAUUAGUAAUUGUAUCGUUUCCUAAUGAGCAACGGGUGUAAAUACUUCAUUAUAAUCGAUUCUGGCUGUUUGACUAUAACAUUUCGCCACUAGUCUCGCCUUGUGUCUUUCGACCUCUCCAUUGGCAUUUUUCUUUGUUUUGUACACCCACUUGACUCCGAUGGCUUUAUGUCAUUUCGGAAGAAUAGUGAGUUCCCAUGUAUCAUUUUUUUGAAUUGCUUUGAUUUCUUCAUCCAUUGCUUUCCUCCAUUUAGUAUCCUGCACUGCUUCUUAGAAGUUGACUAGUUCACAAUCAGCAAAGAGACAGAAAAAUGUAGGAUUAUCAAGUCUUUUAGCCACCUCAUAGAGAUCUUGUAGACUUCUUGUGUGUGGUACUUCUGUUUCAUUUAGACUCCCACUUGACGAUGCUGAUGCUGGUAAAUUGCCAUGAUUGGUUGAUGUUGGUGAAGCAGGUAGAGUAGUGGAUUCUUGUUGAUCUUCUCUUGCUUGCUCCAUUAUUGUUUGUUCAUUAUCUUCUUCAAAUUGAGGAAAGAAGUGAAGAUCACCUGCAUGCAAGCCAAAAUCCCAUUCUCUUUCUUUAUUGAACGUCACUUCUCGACUAAUCACCGUCUUCCCAUUGUUCGAAGUAUACAGUUUAUAGCCUUUUGAAUUUGUGUCAUAGUUGAUGAAGAUGAACUUCUCACUUUUGUCGUCAAGUUUGGUGCUCCUCUUGUCUGGUACAUGUACAUGGGCUAUGCUUCCAAAAACUGUUAGAUGAAAGAUACCUGGCUUUCUUCCACUCCAUGCUUCUUGCGGAGUCCUUCCCUACACACUCUUUGUUGGAGACCGAUUGGAUAGGUAGACAACAUAUGUUACAGCUUCUGCCCACAAUUCCUUAGGCAAUCUCUAGCUUUUGAGCGUGCUUCGAGCCAUGUCGAGGGAUAGUUCGAUCUUUUCUUUCCGCCACACUAUUUUGUUGAGGGGAUCUUGGAACUAUCAAAGGUCAACGAAUUCCAUUUGCUUCACAAAACUCUUGAAAUUCAUUCGAAGUGAAUUCUCCUUCUCGAUCAGAUCUCAUGGCUUUGAUCUUGCAACCACUCUACUUUUCUACAACGGCUUUGAACUUCUUGAAUGCUCCAAAGACUUCUGAUUUCUGCUUCAAGAAAUACACCCAGGUUUUCCUUGAAAAAUCAUCAAUGAAGAGAAGGAAAUAAUUAUUUUUAGCCCAUGGAACACAAAAUUAUAACUUUUUGGACAACAAUACCCUUCUCUUUUUCAUUAAUUUCACUUCGAAAAUUAAACAAAAUUAAUCAAAAUUCCAGAGAUCUCUCAAUUUCUGCACAAUUAGCAUAAAAUAUUCAUUAAAAAUCAAAAUUUACCUCAACAAAUCAACUCAAAAACUAAGUUCUCUUGUUUUUCCAGGAAAUCAAGCUUAUUUGAUCGCACUUCAAAUUUUUUGGGAAACUGAGUGACAAAAACCCAACAAAAAGAAAUUUUCUCUAUGUUUGAUUUCUAUAUUCAAAGAAGAAAAACAGCAAAAUGAAGAAAAUCCAGAUCAGAUAAAGCAUUCUUGAGAAAGCCAAAGAGAGGAAAUUUUCUGGGGAAACAAACAUGAAGAACAGAAGGGUACCGGGGAAAGCCGAUGAAAGGAAGUGGCUGAUGCCGUCGCUCGAGGGAUGGGACAGCGAGGAUUAGGUGGAAGAUGUGAGGGAUGACGUUGAACUCGUAGGCGGUGGCUCAGGUAAGGUCGAACUCGUCGGAGUGGAUGGGUACGAUUGUCAUUUAAUCUUUCGUUCCAUUUCAGCUUGAACAUACACCAAAUGUAGCAUGGAACCUCCGUUCCGUCCUGUUUCGUCCAGUCUGUGUACUAAACGGUACCUUAUUGAAUGAAAGGAAAAGGCUUCUGCUUGGCUUAAUACCACUUUAGUCCAAUUGUCUUCUUGUUCUAGAAAUUGACAACUCUAUGUGAUGAAAAAACAUCUCAUGCUUAUUGUACGGAUGAAAAGUGCUGCUUUACACUAUUACAUUUAAAGUGAUUAGAAAUUCCGUGAAAAUUUAUAUUAUCUCAUUGCAUUGAUGAACGGGUGAGAUAUAGAGAAACAAAAUUUUAUACUUUCAUCUACUACAUUGAUGCUUAGGCGCACCGAAAGUCACCCAAAACCCUAAAAUUCUCCUCAUGAAUUAUGUGUCUAAUAUUUUUCAGAAGUUGUUAUCAGCACUUGCAAACAGUUUUUUAUGCAUGUCGGUCUGGAAGUUAUCUAUGAGGGGUCAUGAUAAUUAUUUUAAAAUGUUAGUAACAGUUAUCUUUUCUUAUUCUCGGUAGGCGGCUACCUCCCCCACACAGCAGCCCUAAACUCGCCCGUGAUGAGAAGACAUGACAUGUCUUUUGCGAAUGACAGGGAAUUGGACAAAACCAUCCCAUCUUUGUUUCAAUAAUUAUUAUGAAUUAUCGUAUACCGAUUAAUCUGUAAGCAGAUGAGAUAGCUACUCAUUUUCACCAUAAAAGGAAAACAUUUCAUCACAAGAUUGCAGUGCGGACAGAGAGGGUUGUGGUUGUCGUAGAUAAACCUAGGUUUCGUCACAAAACAGGAAAUUGAAUUAAGAACAAAACAAACAGAUUGUGGGUAGGAAAAGACAGAUUUUUUAGUGUGUUGAGAACACUGUUUGGUACACCAAGUAUAAUAAUACAAUUGGUUGGAAACUUGUUAAAAAAAAAAAUUUCCAACUAUUUAUAUCAUAUGGUGUAUUAGACCGUGUUCCCGAUAUCAACGAGAUUUGGAUGUCAUGCAUACAAAUAAAGCCCCUUAUUACUGUCACAUUAUUAUGUCUUGAUAAGAUCUUUAUUUAUUCCCUGCAAGUACCAUAUGAGAAAUGCUAAAGAGACUCUCUAUGGAUUCUCUGUUUGUCACUUCAUGUUUUUGACAUAAUAUUUUAUAAUGUUAGCACCAUAAUUGACUGUAAACUGUAAGGUAAUAUAGAGUAUAUGAAGAGUUCCACUUUAAGAGUGUCUCCUUAGCAUUUCUCAUACCAUAUUCUGACACCAUAGAAAGUAGCCAUUUUUUAUUGUAAGUUUUAGUUUUCACACGUAUUUAUGUUAUGCGAGACAACCGCAAAUAAAUCUUUUUGUAUAUACAACUUUUAUCAAGUUUAAGAGUUAUAAUUAAGAUAUUCCCGGUUGUAUAUAUUUAUAUGUUUUUAGUCAGUAUAAUUGGAGCUCAUCAUUAGUGUGUACGUGAUAGAUAUCCUCGGUUACACGGCAGAAUCUCACAGGAAUGUCAUAGCCAAUAAACUAGGCUCCUAUGCAUCAAUUUUUUAUGUGUGAAGAGAAAACACGAAUAAAUACAUGCAACAAUCUAUUGUUGCUGAUUGUGUACAACUUCAGACUCAUGAAAUUUGUAGCCACUCUACAUAUCUCGUGUGUAAAGUGGUACAUCAAAUGUGUCGAACUUGAUACAUCAAGUGUCAUAAUGCAAUUAAUUAAAAAACAAGAUUUCAAAUCUUUAUUUUCAAGUUUCACAUCUAACAGGGACCCAAUUAUUCUCUUUGGGACUUUUACAGCAACAAAGAAACAACCUCAAUCUACUUGCCCACCAUCCCAUACCUUUUUUUUUUCUUGUCUGGUUUGGUGGUAGGGAAUGAAACUUAUCUACGUUCACUUCUUCUGGUUUGCAGUUGACUGGUUUUUCCAUUAGUGUAAAAACGAAGCUUCAUGGACUGAUGCAGUACAUGGGGAACAAAUAUAUUUAAGGUUUUAGUGACUUCUUAUCUCUUAAAAGCCUUUGUGACCUUUCUUUUAAUUGAAUUGCCUAGUAACUAUCCUACUCUUAAAUAUUUAGUAUACCAAUGUUUGUAAUUUCCCUAUUUAAAGGGCUCCAUAUGUAUCCUUAAAGUGGUGAAAUUAGUGAAUUAAAGUUAAUCUAAGAAGAGAGUGGGCUUUCUCCUCAAAAUCAAGUGUGAGAUUUGGUUGUGUCGAGUGAAUCCACGAUUAGUGACGUGAGUGAAUCCGUUGCCCCUGGUCGAGUGAUUCCCAGGUUCUAUCCCUGUAGAGACGUGAGUGAUUCCGUCCCCCCUAGUUGAGCGAUUCCCAGGUUACUACCCCUUGUCUUUUCGAGACCCAUGGUUUUUUCUGCAUCAAGUGGCAUCAAAUAGAGAUGGCAAUUCAAACCGUUAAACUCGAUAACCGUGUAUAACCGCCUGAGAGAGGAUUUGGGUAUGAAAAUUUGGGUAUAUUAUGGAAAUGGGGAAAAAACGUGAACUUUAAUCGGUUAUGGUUUUGUAUAUGAUUAUAAGGGUCCCCAAUCCAUAUCCGUCCCCAAAUCCGAAUCCGAACCGAAUAAUAUAUAAUAUUAUUUGGUUUAUGUAAUAUAUAUAUAUAUAUAUUGUAUUUGAGUGAAGCUAUACCAUCAUUACCAUAUUCAUUAUUCGCUGCAUAAUGUAUUUAGUAUAUUAUUCGCCGCAUAAUGUAUUACAAAAUUCAUUUAUUGUUAUUGUGGAGCCAAAAAUAAUCAUAGGGCAACACAUGGAUUUUGGUAAAAAGGACAAAGUUACUCCUGAGACACACCGGUUCUCCUACGCCUGAGCAGUGGACAGUCAUUCUUUAAUCAAGCCAAGAGUGUCCAAAAAAGGUAACCAAUUCCAAAUUAUCUCAUCCAUCCUCAUCUUAGGUAAUUACUUCAUAACCUACAAAUUAUUCCAUAUACAUAGAGAUUAAUUGGCUAAUUAAUGGAUUAAUUCCUAAUUAAUCCAUUAAUCACCAAUUAAAUCACCCAUUUUCACACCUAAAACCUCUAAGGCCCGGCCACCUCCAUUCCCUAUAUAUAUGACCCUAUUUUUUCUAAAAAAAGGGUUCCACACUCUUGCAAAACUCCCAAAAACUCUCCAAAAACUUUUAUCUCUAAAUUCUAACUUUGGCAUCGGAGGUUCUUCGGCCAAAGCCUCCCAUUCAUUGUGGGCGGGUGAGGCUCUUGGCCUUGACCUAAGGUGUUAAUUGUUUUGUAGGUUCAAUUUUGUCAGGUGCAAUUUUGUCCAAGAAGAAGAAGGCGGAAAUUUGCAUUCAUAAAUUGGUGUUUUCAUUGAGAGAUGAGUACCACACUCGUAGAAGACUCUCGCAUCCAAGGUUUUCUAUUUUCUUGUCCAUUUGUAGAUUUUUCGUACGUUCUUAUUAUUAGAAUUUUUUAUUUGCAAAAAUUCUUUGAUAAAACGUAAAAGAGAAGUACAAUGGCUAGAAAUUUAAAAAAUUCAACAAAUGAAAAUUUCAACAUUUAAGAGAUGGGACCACGGCGAUUCACGAGGCUAAAUGUGACAAUAAGUGGAGCAGCACCACAACCACAAGUUUCCUCCAUGGGAACCACCGUGGUGGCUGCCUCGGUAGCCACUCGCGGUGAGGUCCAUGGCACCAUUACCGCGGCGAGGUCUAUGGCACCAUUACCACGGCCUGAGUCGUGCCAUUAAAGCAAUCCCAAUACAUGUCACUUCAAGCCCAAUGUGUUGCCAAGCCGAGCCCUAGCCUCGCACCCACAUACGCCACACGCCGAGCAGCCUACUCACGUGGCCCAGCCUGCCCCCAUGGCCGAGCCUGCUCCCGCCGAGUAGCCUACUCCUGUGGCACAACAUGCUCUAUCUAAGCAGCCCAUUCUCGUGGCACAGCCUGCUCCCUUUGAGCAUCUCAUUCUCGUGGCCCAACCUGCUCUCGCAGCUCUGCUUGCUCCCAUAACCCUGCCUGCUCCCAUGAUUUCCCAAGCAGCCCAAGUCGGCUCGAGAAUAUCUCGACCAUCCAGAGCAACCAUCAAGCCGGGGGCAUUUUUACCAUAUUUCUCCACAGAUUUGACAUUUCCCAACUCAAAUCUCAUGCCUAGAGUGUUCCAUACUUCCACUGCUUAAUGAGGCACAUUCUUUCUAAGCUCUUCCAAUCUAAAUGGCGAACAACACUUGUCUCGACAAGUCAUAAAGUUGACGAGCUCCCUUGCACAACAGACGACCUUGAUGAAUCAACUUUUGCAAUGCACCGAGAUCUAACGUGCCUUGGACAAGGUAUCCCUAAGUAGGACAAGGGUAGACGAAUCUUUCCAGCAGCAUCCCGGUAAGCAGCUACUCGACCAGCCACGAGCCGAGCGUUCGGGUAGUGUACAUUUCUGAUUAGGCCCCCAAGAUAGCAUAUACUUCCAUCUUAUAGCACGGAGGAGCGUGCACUCUCGACUAGGCCUGAGGAUAAGUAUACACUCACGAUUGGGGCUACACUUAGAUAAUCAACAUGAGCAGCCUUCCAGGCAAUGCAUUCAUUCGCAGCUAGGCCCGUAAAGAAUAUCAUCCACAUCAUAUCGGAGCAGACAACACAGCAGACGGAAAGAAGCAGUCACUCAAUCCGGCUCAAGUUCAACCAGUAGCCUGUGAGUUACACACUCGCCUGCUAGGAAUAUACCACACCCACCGUAGCCGCGGCAUAGACAAGCCGAACAUAUGGAAGAACAGCUUAGACUAUCACAUCACGAUCAGGGGCAAUCAAGAGCUCUGCCACCCCAACAAAGGAAAAUUCAGGAAGAAGUAGAAAGGCUCCUGACCAAGCGAUUGCGCAAUUUCUCGCGCCAACCAAAGCCUCAAAAGGGCACAAGAUGAAACACCUAAUGAUGGCGCAAUAAUUCAGAGAGCAGCUCAUUGCGUUUACACCUUAACGUGGGUUCCACAAACAGUUCACCAAACAAGACCUCGCAGUCUGAAGAUUAUUUCAGUUGUCUAGCAGUCCAGCUUUCCUCAGCUGCACUCACGACAACGACUUCCAUGAUUUCCAGUGCGAAAGGAUAAACUAAUUGCUCUCCAGUGCGAGAGGGUAAACCAAUUCCCCGACACCCAUAUGGGUUUGCUCUCCAAUGCAAGAAGAUAAACUAAUUGCUCUCCAGUGCGAGAAGGUAAACCAAUUCCUUGACACUCGUAUGGGUUUGCUCUCCAGUGCGAGAGGAUAAACUAAUUGCUCUCCAGUGUGAGAGGGUAAACCAAUUCCUUGACAUUCAUAUAUGUUUGCUUUCCUGUGCGAGAGGAUAAACUAAUUGCUCUCCAGUGCAAGAGGGUAAACUAAUUGCUCUCUAAUGCGAUAGGGUAAACUAAAUCCCUGACAGCCAUUUGGGUAAGCUCUCCAGUGCGAGAAGGCUGCAUAGUUUAAAAGAUCAAAUGCUUGAAGAUCAACUAAGCAACAAAUGGUUAGGGGGCAGCAGCCACUUUUACACUUAAUAGUUCGCUCAUCCGACACUUCAUUUUCAGAAACUCUGAUCUUGGCAGCUUUAUCCUUGACUGCUCCAUCUAUGGCAGUUGAAAAAUCAAACUUAAGCAGUUUCCUCAUAUUUAGCAGGCAGCCCAAACAAUUGCCUAUUCCACGCCACUUCCUCGGCCCAUGUCGAACCAAUCAUUGGCUUCAAUCCAGCCGAGUUGCUCAAGCAAUGGCCCCUGCCACAUCACCUCCUUGGCUCAUGCUAAGCCGACUCUUGGCCCCUGCCAGCUGAUGUGUCGUACCACCCUGAUUACUGCCCUGUGGCAGCACCACCCAAGAAGAAGACAAGAAGAAAUUAAGUUUUUAUUACAUUGGUGCGGCAUAGAGAAGACGAAGAAAGCAACAAAAGACGGUCAUUUGCAUGGGCAAGAUGUAGAAGAUUGCUAAAUGAGGGGGAACAAAUAUCCUCUAAACUCUCUCUCUCUCUUGUAAGGUAGAAUAAAUCACUCUCCAAAGUUGAUUUAAUAACCCACUUAAGGUGGACUUAAAUAGGUUUUGAGAGAAAUUUAUUUCCCUUUCCUAGAAUGAUCUAAUUUCAUAUUAAAGAGGGAUUCUACAUCAAAACAGGAAGCGGUUCUAAGUUUCCUAGAGCAAAAAGAUCUUUACACCUGCUGCCCUUUCUUACGAGUAGCCCAACAGGUGUGGGGGCAUUUGUGGAGCAAAAAAUUAUCACAAGGCAACACGUGGAUUUUUGGUAAAAAGGACAAAGUUACCCCUGAGACACACCGGUUAUCCUACGCGCAAGCAGUGGACAAUCAUUCUUUAAUCAAGCCAAGAGUGUCCAAAAAGGGUAACCAAUUCCAAAUUAUCUCAUCCAUCCUCAUCAUAGGUAAUUACUUCAUAACCUACAAAUUAUUCCAUAUAAAUGGAGAUUAAUUGGCUAAUUAAUGGAUUAAUUCCUAAUUAAUCCAUUAAUCACCAAUUAAAUCACCCAUUUUCACACAAAAAACCUUUAAGGGCCGGCCACCACCAUUCCCUAUAUAUAUGACCCUAUUUUUUUUCUAAAAAAGGGGUUCCACACUCUUGCAAAACUCCCAAAAACUCUCCAAAUACUUUUCUCUCUAAAUUCUAACUUUGGUAUCGGAGGUUCUUCGGCCAAAGCCCCCCCCAUUCAUCGUGGGCGUGUGAGGCCCUUGGCCUUGACCUAAGGUGUUAAUUGUUUUGUAGGUGCAAUUUUGUCCAAUAAGAAAAAGGUGGAAAUUUGCAUCCACAUUUAUGUUUUAUUUAUUUAUUAUUAAACGUGGCUAUUUAAUGACAAAAUUAGUAUUCACUAAAUUAUUGUGCGCCAAUUGGAUGAAUAUAAUUUUUUGUUGUUGACGAAGAUGGAUAUAACCAUUAAUUGAUAGGAAAUCCGUUACCCGGUGGGUAUGGUUAUGGAUAAUUCCCGAUAGUUAUUUUGCAGUUAUGGAUAUGGUUAAUUAUCAUGGUUAUGGAAUAGAUAUAAGAUUUCCGUCCCCAAAUUGAACCGUUGCCAUCCCUAGCAUCAGUGCAGGUUUUCUGCUAUGGAGUUAAAAGGAAAAAAAAAAUCAUGUUGUUGAUUCUACACUUCUCUUCAAAUUUCAGUUCUCUUUGUCCUAAUCACCCAAAAGGUUACCUAUAAUUGGAAAGGUCUGCGAGUCCACUUUCUAACAGAACAGACAGUGCCUCAAUCAAAAUUUUUUUUGCAGCAAUUUGCUAGCAAAUAGUGUAAGGUGUAUGUUUUGUGCAAAAUCUGCAAGGCGCAGUUUCGUUUUCAACGAAGAGAUAUACCAGCAUCUUGUUCCAAUGAAUAAUAAUCAGGUAUAUGAAAACCACUCUAGUAUGAUAUUUAUCGAGGAAGAUCUGUUUUAUUCACAAAGAAUUGAUUGGAAUUUACCUCCACUAUAUGAUGAGUAUUCGGAGGAUGGUGUUUUGAUGAUUCCUAUCCAAACAGGUGCUAACGUUGAAGUGAAUGUUGAAGAACAUGCUUUGAUAGAUAUUUGCAGCUUGGAAAGUUCAGAAUAUGAAGGAUUUGGAUUUUUUCAAGAUGAGAAGAUUGAUAGUCCAAUGUUAAGUUCAUCAAUAAGCUACGGGCAUGUAAAAUUGUGGUCACGGCCAAGUGAUGAAGGAGCUGUUCAAAUUUGCUUUUUAAUUCUCCAGCACAUUGUUAAAGAUCAAGUUUUGGGGACAUUACAACCGAUGGCAUAUCGUUGGGAAGGUCGAAAACCUAAAUUCAAAUUAAGAUUAAAAAGAUACAAACUCGAGGACGAGUUUUUUUCGAGAAGAGUAGAAUCAUGCAGUGCAUGGGGAACAAAUAUAUUUAAGGCUUUAGUGACUUGUCAUCUCUCAAAACCUUUGUGACCUUAUCUUUUGAUUGAAUUGCCUAGUAACUAUCCUACUAUUAAAUAUUUUGUAUACCAAUGCUUUGUAAUUUCCCUAUUUAAAGGGCUCCAAAUGUAUCUUUAAGGUAGUCAAUUAGUGAAUUAAAAAUAAUCCAAGAAGAGAGAGAGUUUUCUCCUUCCUUAAAAUCCAGUGUGAGACUUGGUCGUAUCGAGAAGAAGAAAAUGAUGCAAUGCAUGGAGAACAAACACAUUUAAGGCUUCGUGGUUUCUCAUCUUCCAAAACUUUCUGUCACCUUCUCUUUUAUGAGUUGCCUGCCUAGUAACGAUCCUAUUAUUAAAUAUUUAAUCUACCAAUGCUUUGUAAUCUCCCUAUUUAAGGGCUCCAAAUGUAUCUUUAAGGUAGUCAAUUAGUGAAUUAAAACUAAUCCAAGAAGAGAGUGAGUUUUCUCAUUCCUUAAAAUCAAGUGUGAGACUUGGUCGUGUCGAGUGAAUCCACGGUUAGCGACAUGAGUAAUUAUGUUGCCCCUAGUCGAGUGAUUCCCAGGUUCUACCCAUAGAGAAGUCGAGUGAAUCCAUUGCCAUUGGUUAAGUGAUUUCCAGUUACCCCUUGUCUUUUCGAGACCCUUGGUCUUUUCUACGUCAAGUGGCAUCAUAGUAGGUUUUUCGCUGCAGUUAAAGAUCAUGGCUAUGAUUAUCAAUCCGUUUCAAGAUCACAUCGUUGAAGAGAUUAGUUUUGUCAAUUGAAAUUCUCCGCCAAUUUAUGACAAAUAUGUUGAUGACGAUGAGUUUACUGUUGAUGUGGCUCAUCAAGGAGUUUAUCUGCUGCUAGGAGAUGAAGGCUUUGUGGAUUGGGGUUAUCCACAUAAUAUGAGUACAAUGGCGGAAACAUUUUACAUGUAGCUUCAUAAAGAGGAACUAAGGUGUACUUGCUUUGGAAUAACAUGGAAGCGGAGUUCAAAGGAAUAUUUUGUGUGACAGAACAACUUGGACUGCUCUGGAUUUGCUUUUGCUAUUGUGGCUGUUGUGGAAAAAAAUUGAAAGGUAUCCAAAAGAUCGAGGAAAACAAAAUCAAAGGAAACUCGAGGACGAGUUUUUGUUCGAGAAGAGGAAAAUGAUGCAGUGCAUGGAGAACAAAUAUAUUUAAGGUUUUCGUGGCUUCUCAUCUCCCAAAACCUUUGUGACCCUCCCUUUUAAUUGAAUUGCCUAAGUAACUAUCCUACUCUUAAAUAUUUAGUAUACCAAUGCUUUGUAAUUUCCCUAUUUAAAGGGCUCCAUAUGUAUCCUUAAAGUAGUGAAAUUAGUGAAUUAAAGUUAAUCUAAGAAGAGAGUGAGUUUUUUCCUCCUUAAAAUCAAGUGUGAGACUUGGUUGUGUCGGAUGAAUACACGAUGAACGACGUGAGUGAAUUCGUUGCCCCUAGUCGAGUGAUUCCCAAGUUUUAUUCCCAUAGAGACGUAAGUGAUUCCGUCCCCUCUGGAUGAAUGAUUCUCAGAUUACUACCCCUUUAUCUUUUCGAGACCCUUGGUCUUUUUGCAUCAUGGACCCCAAGUUAUAAUAUUCCUAAAAUAGUCAUUCCAAUUUGUCUUGUCAAUCACAAUUAAUUUGUUGAGCUAAUUUUGUUGUGUACGUGUAAAAUAAGCCAAUCAGUGUCCUUUUUAUAUCUAAAAAAUUGUAUAAUCCUACAGAGAAUAUUUAUAUUAGGCCUCAGCAAUUGAUAUAAAAGGCAACCUGUAUGAACACAUUCUUAGAGUCAAUAAUAGCAGAGCUUCUUAGAGGGGAAAGUAGAUAGGUUGUAAAACAAUGUCCUGGUUUCUUACAGUCAUCUUUCUGGUCACUACUCUUACAUUUCAUACUCCUUCAGAGGCUAUCUAUGAGGAGAUUCCAGCCUUCUGCAGUAGUUGUGGGAACUGUCUACUGUGACACAUGUUUCCAAGAGGAUUUCUCAAAUACCAGCCAUUUCAUUUCAGGUAAAUUCAUCUCAAAUUUUCAACAAGUUCUUCAUCAAGUUUUAUUUUUCUAUUGUAGCCAGUUCAAUAAUUUCCAUACACCCCUUCUCUUCUUCUAUACACACUCAUGUUUAUAUUUUAAUCAUUAAAUUUGAAUAAAUCAGAGAAAAAUUAAAAGAAGGAAAUAAACAAAAGUGUACAAAUGGAGAAAAUGUAAAAUCUAAAUUGACUGAAAACCUUUAUACAGGUAUUUCCUACGAGUCAACCAUACAACUACGAAAAAUUAAUUAACACAAAUCAACAGCAAAAAAAAUCUCACUUAAACUAAUUCCUUGACGGUAGGAUUCUGCUUUCAAUCACGAUUUCUUUCCAACAGACAACAAAACGUUGGAAGUUAUGUCAUCGUAACUUGUCAUUUUAUUGUCAGUCAACAAAACUUCCUGACAUGAUAUGGAUGCAUUAUCCAUCAAUAAUCUUGUGGGGGUUUUUGUGCAGGGGCUUCUGUUGGUGUGGAAUGCAAAGAUGGGACUUUAACAAAACAAAGUUUCAACGCACAAGUGAAAACAAACAGCCAUGGGCAGUUCAAAGUCCAUCUGCCCUUCUCAGUGAGCAAAGAUGUCAAGAAAAUUGAAGGAUGCUCCGUGAAACUAAUCCGCAGCAGUGAACCCUACUGUGCUGUGGCCUCAUCAGCCACCUCAUCUUCCCUACACCUCAAGGCAACAAAACAAGGGACUUACAUAUUCUCUGCUGGUUUCUUCACCUUCAAGCCUCUCAAGCAACCCAGCUUAUGCAACCAGAAACCCAACAUUCAGAAUUCCAAGAAAUUAAAUUCCCAGAAGUUCUCAGAGAUGGCAUUCCCAUCCUCCUCUCAGGUGGACCCCAAAAUGCCUGAUCCCUCUCUCAACCAAUCUGAUCUCCUAGGUCUCCCAGGUCUCCCAGGUCUCCCAGGUCUCCCAGGACUCCCAGGUCUCCCAGGUCUCCCAGGACUCCCAGGACUCCCAGGACUCCCAGGUCUCCCAGGCCUCCCAGGACUUCCAGGCCUGCCCCUUGCUGCUGAAAAAACUUCAUCCAAGUCCUCCAACUCCAAAACUUCAAGGAAUGGGCAACUAGGUGAUAAUAAAGAAGUCAGCCCAUCCAGAUUCUCCACCAGCAGGUUCAGCACCAUGAUUCCCAACCUACCACCUAUCCUGAUUUCUGUUGGGUUCCUAUCCUAUUGGGCGUAACCCGUUUAAGUAGAAUAAGCCCAUUUAGGUCUUCUGAGUUGUGGUUUCCUGAAGUUCUAUGUAUUUAGGUCUCUUCCUUCUCUUUCGAGAAUUAUGUGAAAUAUUGAAUGUUUAAGUUUUAUCUGCUUUUCCCAUUUUCUCUCUACUUUUCCCUCUUUCUUCUCUAACGAGAAUGUGUCGUUCAUAGACAGCUACAAGUACGGUAAUAUAAUACGAUUCAAUUAUUAGUUAAAUACAAUGAUUAUAUCGUUGAAACUUAAAAUUUCAAGAUAAGAGAUUCAAAGAUAAUAUAAUAUAUAUAUAUAUAUAUAUAUAUAUAUAUAUAUAUAUAAUAUUAUAUAUAUCAAUUAUUGUUGAAUCUUACCCAAGGAUGAAAAAGGGUAUGGGUAUUCUUUGCAGGGGUGGAAAAACAGAAGUGGGUCGGCCAUGCUUUUACUAUGUGGGCCCCUUAGAGAAAACCUGCUAAAAAUGAACCGUUUCAACAGAAGGAGGCAAAUAGCUGUACGGAACGACGACGUCCCUGAAUUAAGGUCAUCUUCUUCGAGUGCGGACGAGCCGUAUCACAUACCUUUCCUGUUUCCAUCGAGUUUGAUCUACUUCAACUUCUGUUUCGACAGAGUAGCAGGGUAAUGAUUUUGGGAAAAAAAUUUAAGGUUAGGGUUUUGGAGAAUAAUUUUGUGACUAGGGUUUUAGGGUUUUGGAUUGUUUUCACAAAAUCAUUCUCCACUGGUGAAAUAAAUCACCAUAAUAAUAGCAGUAGGCUAUGAUUUUAACUUAAUCAGUACCCAAAUGUAAAAUUUUAUGCUUAUUUCCGCAAAUACUAUUAACAAUUUAACAUGGAGUUUUAAUUUUUUAUGAAAUUUUUGUAGUUGAUUGGGUUUGUAUGAUGAAUAUUAGUGUUUUGAGCCACACUUGUUAGUCCAACUUCAAGCAAAUUUGCAAUCAGCAAGUCCAUUCUCUCUAGCUGCGACCUUCCUUGCAAAGGGAGGAAUCUUAACAGAGUCUUCAACCCUUCCCCAAAAGCUAUGAAUAAAGUCUUUAGCGACGACGGUCCAAUUAAGCACUCUAACUUUGGCCUUAUUGGUAUCGGAACGGGCCUCCCUGGAUCAGUGACAGCCGCCGCAGCUUCUACUGCCGUAAAAACUGUUCUUCACGUACCUUGACACUAACCACUUUUAUGGUGACUACUGCGCCUUUCUUCCCAUUGAUGAUUUGACUGUCUACCUAAAUUCUCAUGCUUCCCAACCCUCCGCCACUACUACCACCAAUUUCACCUCUACAAGUACAAGCCAUGAUGAUUGCAUCGCCUUACCCCUCACCCGCCAGUUGCUGUACGCCGAUACAGAGACCGUUACAUAUGCCCCUUAAGUCCUUGCACAAUAUAAUAGAAGCAAACCUCGGUCAAAUAAUAUAAACUUGAACUCCAUUUUGAGCAUUGUGAGAUAAGGGAAUGUGCUAGAAACUAUUAUGUUAAAUUCAUUCUUAUUAAACCUUUCAAAUAUGUGAUGUUUAUUAAUAAGCAUUUUAGGAAUAUCUAUGACUAUGUUUUUAGAUUGUUUGUACCAUACUUGACCAAUCCCGACACUACUAAGCACCGGUCAACGUUAUACCGUCAAGGACCUAGAAGAGUUUCCCUCCAACCAGGAGGCCAAUCACAGCGCGACACGUGUUGACAUCAGAAGCCAAUCAUAGCGCGACACGUGUCAACAUAAGAAGCCAAUCACAACACGACACGUGUUAAUGUCAGAAUGAAACUAGAAACUCUCUUCUAUAAAUAGAGAUCAUUCUCUCACAAUAUUUCCUAAUGUCAUUUGUACUAAAUCAUUCACUAGUACUCACUAAAGGAGAGCUUGAACCUAUGUACUUGUGUAAACCCUUCACAAUUAAUGAGAACUCAUCUACUCCGUGGACGUAGCCAAUCUGGGUGAACCACGUACAUCUUGUGUUUGCUUUCCUGUCUCUAUCCAUUUACAUACUUAUCCACACUAGUGACUGGAGCAAUCUAGCAAAGGCCACAAACUUAACACUUUCUGUUGUACCAAAGUCCUCACCGAUUUUGUGCAUCAACAUUUGGCGCCGUCUGUGGGAACGACACUUAUUCUCACUCUCUUCAGCUUUGUUAAGCUGGUUUCCACCAUUUGUACACUCUCUUUUGACCAGGCAUCCCUCUCCAACAUGGGGAGCGACGGAAGCCACAACACACAGAAUGACACCCUUCUUGCACCUAGUGUGAAGCAACGAAAGAAGGAAGGAAAGAGGGUUGCUUUUCAAGCUAAAGUCGAUGAGCUAGAAUCUUAAAACAACAAGAUAGCAAUGAAGAAUGAGGUCCUCCAAGAGCAGUAUGAGAAGCUCUUUAAGAUGCUCCACGAAACUAGGCGUACUCAAACACGCGAACUCGUUACCCCUGUGGACAUCAACCAUCAUCUGGAUACCUCCCAACAAGGAGGGUCACCUUCCUUCGACAUGGGUAUCCCUGAUGAGGAGCGAGCUAAUCAUCAAAACAUUGAUCAACAUGAGACUUCUUUCAACUCAGAUGCUUCGACCCGAAACAGGAGAAGUGGAGGAAGACACCUUUUUGCAGAAAGGUUGGAAGGAUCGAAAUCCAUUUAUCAUGACUGCCGAGACUUCCUAAAGCAACGUCAAGAGAAUCUCCUCCACAUAAGCUCGAAGAUCAAUGACCCAAGGGUUUCUGAAAGACUUGGUCCCCUCCCACGUCCCAGGCCGGCUACCAAUUUGGGGAAAGGGCAACAAGUCCUAGAGAAACACGAAGGUAUAGGGGGCUCAGAGAUGUUUCGACAGACAUACCUUGAAAGUCAGUACGGCGAGUCCAAGGAAAAAUCACAUGCUCUUGAUCAAACCUUCAUACUUCCAAGAGGAGAUGAACAUUUACGAAAGAAAGCUCAAGUGGUACAUGACUCCACUCAAGACCUUCUUGUCAUACAGCUUCUUAAGGAAGUAAACAAGUUGAAGGCCGAACGACAAGCUGAGAUACCUGAUUGGAACCAACCUAGGCCUGGCCCUCUUACAAGGAGGAUCCUCGACACCCCCUCCAAACAAAGACAAAGCAGAAGCUUGGCUUGCAACUCUAUACUGGAAAAGAGGACCCGAUUGAACACCUUAACCUCUUUGAGUCCACCAUGGCAUACCGGAUGCAUACCAACGAAGAGCGAUGUCUUCUCUUCCCCUCCACCCUCUCUGGCGGAGCUCUAAACUGGUAUUGUCGUCUUCCACCUGAGACGGUAGACUCAUUUGAGGAAUUGAGGAAACUGUUUGUUUCUCAACACAUUUUUCAGACUGAUCGCUUACAUUUUGCAGAUGACUUGUACACUAUUCGCCAGAAGCCGGACGAGUCACUACGAGAGUAUGCCAAUCGCUUUAGCCAUGAGUAUUCUCGAUGCGCUGAGGUAGAUGACAAGAUCGCCCUCAAGGUCUUCACGGCAAGCCUUCGUGAUUGUUUCUUCAAGUACAUGAUCAAUGCCAACACUUGGAAGACUUACUCUGAGGUGAUGGCAUAGGCUUACAACCAUGCAUCCGCCGAGGCAAGGACAUAUCAAGGGAAACCCCCCACAGCCACCCCUUAUCAGCAAGUAGGGAGUGGAAGCCAGAUCCAACCAAAUGAGAAGACCUCGACCUUCCAAACAGCAGCGGUGCCUCCCUCUGCCUUACUUAAUAUUUUGCCAAGUCAACAGACAUAUCAAUCUCAGGGCAAAAGGAAAGAUUUCUAUCCUCACCAGUCUCAUUUUAGUAAAAUGAGUAAGGGACACUACCGCGAUAACCAAGGGUAUCACCACGAUAAUCCCCGACCCCAGGCAGUCAACACAGUGGGUCAAGCACGUGUCCGGAUAGCCCAUACCCCGAGGUAUGAGGCAUACACACCUUUGAACGCCACAUGCGUGGCCAUUUACCCCAGCAUAGCACACCUGAUACCGAAGCCAAAGCCGAGGCACCUGGAUUACAAGUCCACGAAGAACACAGGCACAUUUUGUUGCUACCACGAGUAUAACGGCCAUGACGGUGAAAAGUGUAUCACCCUUCGAGAUCAUAUUGAAGCUUUGGCAUGUGAAGGAAAAAUUGAUCAAUUCCUCAUUCACUCUUCAAGGGGUAACCGUAACCAACCCCAGGUGAAUGUGAUAUAUUCCAUAAGUGGUGACACACCCAUAUCUAAAUCUUCCAACAGGGCCAUGAAAAAUAGUGAACGAGCUUUAAGGUAUGGCCACCAAGUGUUUCACGUGGAAGACAUUAGGGGAGGCAAGCAUCAAAAGCCUAACUGGGAUCUAAUAUGUUUCUACCUUGAGGAAGAAAGAGGUAUCAUCUACCCUCACCACGACCCAUUGAUCGUGGAAGCUCACAUAACCAACUUUAAAGUACGACGAAUCCUAGUAGACACGGGGGCUUCGGUCAAUAUCAUGUUUGCCGAAGUUUUCAGGGCACUUAAUGUAGCUGAACACUUGCUCGAUCGCUCGAUUUCCCUUCUGAUAAGCUUCUCCGGUGAUAUCGUGCAACCUUUAGGGAGCAUACACUUACCUUUCACCAUUGGUACAUACCUUUACACAUCUACCAUUACCACUAACUUCCUGGUGGUUGAUUGCCCAACGACAUACAAUGUCAUCUUGGGACGCACAUGCAUCAAUGAUCUCAAGGCCAUGGUAUCCAUAUAUAUGUUGUUGAUAAAAUUUCCAACCCACUAUGGCAAUGGUUACAUCAGAGGAGAUCAACUUAGUUCACGAUCAUGUUACAACACUUCGGUCAAGCAACAACACCUGCAUGUGCCCAAGGAAACCCUUUCUAUACAUGACCAAGUCAUAAAAACCAGCCCAGACGAAGCCAACUUGGAUCUUCACGGUGGCAACAGUCAACCCGAUGAUCCUCGAGAUGACUUUUUUACCCAGCAAGCACAACCCACUGAAGAGUUGGAGAAGGUCUCUAUAUUAAAAGAUUAUCCGGAUCGCAUGGUGAAGAUUGGCACCACCUUGUCACUACCCAUUCGGUUGGCAUUGAUCUCUUUUUUGCAAGAGAACACUGAGGUUUUCGCCUGGUCAUACGAGGACAUGCCAAGCGUCUCUCCCGAUAUCAUUUGUCAUCGCUUAAGUAUUGACCCCAAAACCAAGCCAGUGAGACAGAAGCGAAGAUCCUAUGACGUUGAAUUUGUAGGAGACAAUGAAGGCAGAAGUUGAAAAAGUCAAAGGCAUAGGCUUCGUCCGCGAAGUCAAUUAUCCAAUGUGGGUAGCAAAUGUUGUCCUUGUUAAGAAGAAUCCGACCAAGGAAAGUCUCCUACUCCAAAAGGUCUUGUGGAGAAUGUGUGUCGAUUACACCGACCUAAACAAAGGAUGCCCGAAUGAUAGCUUUCCUCUUCCUCUCAUAAAUAUACUUAUAGACUCUACAACAGGGUGUGAACUCCUGAGCUUCAUGGAUGCUUACUCAGGAUACAACCAAAUCCUUAUGAACCCUCUGAACCAAGAACACACAACCUUCACUACUGACAGGGGACUAUAUUCACUAGUACAAAAACAUGUUUGCGCGACGAAAACUUACGCGACGCAUAAAAUUACGUCGCGCAAAGCCGUUUUGCACGACGUAGGUGUACGUACGUCGCGCAAAACGUCUUUGCGCGACGUAAUUUUACGCGAUGCUGUCCUUCGUCGCGUAAACUUUUGGUGCCAAACCAAAAGAAUUUACCGUUUUUUCCCAACUUUGUGCGACGCAUGCCCACUUACGUCGCGCAAAGUUGUUUUGCGCGACGUAGGUGGGGAUGCGUCGCGCAAAGUCAACAACUUUUUUUCUUUUCAUUUGAUCAGUUUGGGAGGCAGAAACUGCAUACCUAGCUGCAGCAACUACCUCCAUUGCCCAUCUCUCUCUUCAAAACCGUCUACCAGAUCAGGUUUGAAGUUUGAAUUGAUAUCAAUUCUUUGUAUUUUUUCGAUUGCAAUCCUUCCCCUUUGCUCUUAAACAUGAUGUAAACUGAAUUAAUAAUAUGUAGAUCCUUCAUGUGAUUCAUUUACGAAAUUGAAAUUGCAAAAUCAAAGGAGAUAACUAUCUUGCUGAUUUUCUUUUUCUCUAUACACCAGAUCUCUUCUUUCUGUAGCGACUUAUUUGUUCGUACAUAAAAGCAGAGGUGAUAAAUUAGUUGGGGAAGACAAAUAGGCUUAUAUCCAGGUGAGGAGGACCCUGAGCACAGCUUAAGAAAUUACUAGGAAUAGCAUUGUGAGGCCUAAAUGUCAAUUGGCCAGGACUCCAUACAUGCGCAAUUUUGGUCUUUAGUAAAAACAUCUAAAUGAUGAUGGGUAUGUCCUUGAUGAAGUACCCGGUUAGCUGUUUUUACGAAGGACAAAAUACCGUAUAUGUAUGGAUUCAAACGCCACCAUCAAAUGGAUAAGAAAUUAGCGUCCAAUCCAUCGAAGCAAUUCAUGAUGUCUCCAACAUGUUGGAAGAUUUAAUUGGCAAUGGGAAGUUAGACCCAUUGAGAUGACGAAGAUGGUUUUCUCACGACGUUAAGAGUAGAAGUGUCAUCUUGAGCUCCUAAUCAAUUGUUAUAUUCCUACUGUAUAUGGUUAAUUUAUGUCUCCACCACUCAUGUAUCAUUCUUUGCAUGCGAUCCAAAAAUAAGGAUUCAAUGACCAAAAAACAUGGUUGUUGCAAAUUCAUCCAAAUUCAUGGGAAAUAAAUUAUGCUUAUAUCUUUCUCAUGAUGUGUACAUAUUAUUGAAUUGAUCUAUUCAUUUGUCAAAAAAGUGAACUAGUCGUGUUUAAUUACAUCAAAUUUGUCAAGCUGAUGUUGCCUAGCUGGUAUUCGUGUCGCCUACUUGCCAAUACGUUGAAAAUACACUCACUACUUGCAUAGAAUUUCAUAAUUGUAGGUUGUAUUUGGCUUGGAGACAUUGUGUUUUUACUUUCUUUACCAUAUUUUGGUUCAGAAAACCAGCAGUUCCGAUGACUGGAGGAAAGUCACUCUUCAGCUGGUACUCACAUUAGUUACGCGAACAAGAGCUACUGCUUACGUAAGGUUAAUGAUGGUGCUUGUCUUACUAACAGUUUCACAAUAAGUGAAUCCGUGAUAGGUGACAUGGUUUUCUGAUAAGUUGCAGUCUUUUGGAUAUUAUGCAAGCUAUUGCAGAUAUGAAUGGUGCAGAUAUUCGUCUUACUCUUCAAUCAUUCAACAGCCACUGAGCACAGCUUAAGAAAUUACUAGGAACAAGAGCACGGCUUAGCGGCCUUCUUUUAGUGUAGAUAAUAUCAUUUGUUAGAGAAAUUUUUUAUAUAUAUAUAACAAGGAAGAAAAUGAAAGAGGACAAAUAAUAAGAGAGCAGACACACGAUCGCCUACAAACUUCCAUGUAAACCCAGCCUGCUUUAUUCGUUUUUUCAGACCGAUUAAACAAAGCACAGAACUUAUUCCUCCUUUUUUAAUCCCUUAUUAAUCCCAAGUCUAUGUCUUAAGACAUUCUUUAUCUUCAACUACUUGCAUGUUUGACAUAUCUUAAUAAUAUUUCGUGUGUAACAUUUAGCUCUGAGUACUUAUCAAACAGACAUUAAGAUGCUGCCAAUCCUCAGACUGCAGCCUAUCAUCAUUUGAACACUUGUUCAAGUUUACAGUUUUGAUCCCCUGUCAACACCUACUCCCUUCUUUGUUUUGAUCCAACACCUUAUUUCAAAUCUGCAAAUAGUCACUUGCUAAGAGAAUGAGCAAUGUAACUGUUGCAUUUAGAAGUCGGAUUGUGUCAGUCGAGUGUAAGCAGGCAAUGAGCCUUUUAGUAACGCCAUCUUCUUAUGUUCAUAGAAGUCAGCAGUCUGCAAGUUUAAGCACCUUGUUUGUACAGUUUUACGUUUGUGUACCUAGUUCCAUUCAUAAGUCAGAUUUUAUCAGUUGAUUGCAAAUGCAAUCAGCAAGCAGAAUAUGUCAAUGUAUUUAGUAACAAAUGUCUCAUGCUUAGUAAAUGACUUGCGUAUUAUCUUCGUAAAUUGGCUUUCAUAACUUGUAUAAGAUUAGCAGCAUCCAUAAAUUUCUGUAGGGAAAGUUUUGAAAUUGGAUUUGUGCAUGAUAUGGGAAUUUGUGAGGAUGUAUGUUUGCUCUUGUUGUCUGUGGUCCUCCCCUGCCUUUUUCUUUAGGUUUGGUUAAAGUCUAAGCUACAUCUCUUUCUUAUUAUAAGUCGCAUGCAGAGAGAGAAGAUGAUGACGAUGGUCCUGUAUGUAUAUAUAUAUAGCUACCUCUUCUUUAUUUUUAUGAUUAUAUGAUUACUAAUUAGUCAUUUUACGUUGAUCAUAUUGAUUAAUCUAGAAUGUUAAAUCUAGUAUAUUGUUCUUGCAGACUUGUAUUUUGAAGGUGAGCAUAUGUUGUUUAGGGGGUUCCAAGCUAUGGCCACCCCACUUCACUAAGCUGUGGCCUCCCAAGUUCAUAAAAACAAAGACGGCUAUUACAUGUUGCAAAGGAUGUGCUCACAAAAUCAAGAAGAAAUUGCAGAACUUAACGGUACAAAAUCAGUUUUUUACUUCCCUCUUGCAGUUGAUCAUCAAAUUAGGAAUAUCUGCACAGAUAAAACCGGUUAAAAAUUCUUAACAAAAAUUAAACUAGGAAACGAUUUUAUUAGAACUUUGUAAUUGGUUCUGUUUGUUCUUAUGGUAUUAGUUUGUUUCUUUUCACUUGUUACUGCCUUUUGUAAUCAACUUUUUCACUGUCAUUAUUUACUCUGAUUGGUGAUGACAGAGGCAUGGCUAUUGUAUCUCAUAUAAGAGGAGAACUAAUAAGGAGAACUAAGGACUAAAUUAAGAGAUAGAUACGUAAAGUGAAAUAAAGGGUGCAUAAAUCACUUUAUAUUAAAAUGAAGUCUAAGAGACAUUUAACUACAUUUGAGAUGUCACAGUGUACAUAAAUCACUUUAUUUUCUUCGCUAAAUUAAUUUUUAUUAAUUUUAUCUAUUUUAUUUAGUUUUAGUAAUUAUUGUGAUUUAGUUUAUUUGUAUGCACAUAUUUUUGUACAUCACCUACAAAAUUGUUUUGUGUUGUACUAAGUUAAUACUACUUAACUUCAUACCCUUUUCUCAGGAAAAGCUUAGUUUCCCGUUUGAGAAUUAGUUGGAUUUCGUGCAUGGAUGUGAAAGCAUGACUGCGGUCCAAUUAAUUAUUGAAUUGUCCCAUUUUUUGGACAGUUUGGGAAUGCCCUAGUUAUGUGUUGUAGUUUGCGGUCCACAGAUUAGCUUUCGAUAGUGGAAAUUUUGGUAACAUUUCCCGAUGUUCUUUGAGUACACGGUGGAUAUUAUGUAUCUACGACGUGCACUUGAAGAACUGUAAGGAGAUGCUGGGAAAUUAGCCCACGUCGAAAUUUAAUCCAUUGGAAUCGUAAAUUACGGCACAUAACUGUGCAUUCUUGAAUGGGAUAGGGCCCUGACCAGAGGAAUAAGGUGACAAGACAAUAGUUUUCAUGUCCUAAUCUGUCUCAUAAUUUGCUUCAAUUGUACUUAAUUCCAAUUUUUGAAUAAAAUGAAUGAAUGCCAGCAGCGGUGUAGAUUUUCAAUGGCAUCCAAUUUCAUAUAGUUUAAUUAGUUAUAUCUCCAUUUACCUAUAUACCUAUUCAUUCCAAUUUUAUAUGAUCGCUUGAUGCAAAACUUUUCUAGAUAUUAUUAGUUGUAGCAGUUGCAUCUCUUAAAGAUCUAUACAACUUAUUCUCACUGGUUCACGGUGGAUUUUGCAGUUACUUCUCGAGCGUGGGGAAGCACGAAGGGUUAUUCCUUGGUAACACAUUUAUAAGGAUUCCGUUGUAGACGUUGUUGUAAUUCUUGUACUUUUAUUCGGAUUGCAGACAAAAUGGACAAACAGUGGAUACAUAAUCAUAAUAGAUGUGUUGUUGAGUACUUGGAUGGAAUACAUGCGUUCAUUGAAUUCGCAACUAGACAUAACCUAGGUUCAACUCAUAUCCGAUGUCCAUGUAGGAGGUGUAACAACUCAACGUGGGAGACAUUCAAGAAUGUUUGAUUUCAUUUAGUAAGAAAUGGGAUGAUGGAGACCUAUACUACUUGGUGUCAUCAUGGAGAACGAUUAGACCAAGCUUCGUCUUCAUACGUGACACGAGUGGAAACUGUUGAAUCAAAUGUGGAUCCUAAUGAACAAGUUAUGAAUAUUCUAAAUGACGUUUAUUCAUACGCCUCGAGCAACACCAAUCAGGAAGAGGGAGAAGAGGGAGAUGACGGCCGUCCAACCAUGGACAGUGAGGCAUUCAAAAACUACGAAAAACUAUUGAAAAAUGCCAAGCAAGAAUUAUAUCCAGGUUGUGAGAACUUUUCAAUGCUCACAACAAUUGUGGAGUUGAUGCAUGGCAAGAUCAAGUUUCGUUUGUCAAACAAGUGUUUUGAUUACUUUUUGGGAGUUAUCAAAAGGAUGGUUCCAAAGGAGAAUUGUUUACCUAAAGAUCAUAAAAGUGCCCAAAAAGUGUUGAAGGGUCUCGGAUUGGGGUAUGAAAAAAUUCAUGCAUGUGUAAAUAAUUGUAUAUUGUUCUAUAAGGAGAACAAAGCAUUGGAUAAAUGCCCUGUCUGCAAUGAGCCGAGGUUUAAAAUGACAUCACAGAAUAGAAACACCAAGAUUCCACAAAAAGUAAUGCGCUAUCUUCCAUUGAAGCCUAGGUUGCAGCGAUUGUACAUGUCGAUGCAUACCGCAACCGACAUGAGAUGGCAUAAAGAAGGAUGGGUAAAUGACGAUGUUAUGAGGCAUCAUGCAUAUGGAGAGGCAUGGAAAGAAUUCGAUCGGAUGUACCCUGAUUUUGCAGCUGACCCGCGCAACGUCAGAUUGGGACUUGCCACCGAUGGAUUUAAUCUGUUCGGGGUUUUAAACCUAAUGCACAACACUUGGCCGGUCAUCGUGUUUCCUUAUAAUUUGCCACCUUGGAAGUGCAUGAAAAAAGAAUACAUGAUGUUAAUUCUAUUAAUUAACAAAGAUCCAGGAAAGUCCAUUGAUGUUUAUUUGCGGCCGUUGGUUGAUGAGCUAAAAGAUUUAUGGGAAAACGAUGUUUGUACAUACGAUAAAUAUACUGGGCAGAUGUUCACCAUGCGAGCGGCAGUGAUGUGGACAAUAAAUGAUUUUCCCGCUUAUGCAAUGGUUUCUAGAUAGAUGACUAAGGGUUAUUUGGCAUGUCCAAUAUGCAAGGAGAACGUAACAUCAUCUUGGCAUGCAAGAAAAGUUUGUUAUCUUGGUCAUCGUAGAUGGCUCCCUUGGGACAACGAGUGGCGUCAGAAUGAUAAAUCCUUCGACAGCACAAAAGAAACUCGGCCAAGACCAAGAGAAUAAUCCAGAGAUGAGAUUUUGGAUCAGUUAAACCGUUUGGAAUUUGGUCAUUUCGGCAAAGGGGUCAGUAACCCCAAACCAACUACACAUCUGAACUGGACACACAAGAGUAUGUUAUUUGAGCUUCUGUAUUGGUCAAAGUUAAAAUUGAGACGCAACCUCGAUGUUAUGCAUAUUGAGAAAAAUGUGUUUGACACUUUGAUCGGGACAAUUCUAGACAUUGAAAGAAAAACAAAAGACACGAUCGAAGCUCGCCUCGAUUUGGAACGAAUGGGUAUUAGGUCAUCCUUGUGGAUGAAGAAUGUCGGUGGUACAUUGAAGAAAGGCCAUCCCUUUUUUACAUUUAAGCCGAAUGGGAAAAAAGAGUUUUUCAACUUUAUUUCUUCUGUAAAGUUUCCAGAUGGGUAUGCUUCCAAUAUCUCGCGUUGUGUGAACGUGAAGGGGUGUAAAUUUCAAAACAUGAAGAGUCAUGAAUGUCAUGUGAUACUCCAACGCCUUCUUCCAGUUGGUAUUCGACACUUAUUGCCUCUUGAUGUGGUGAAACCAAUCGUGUUGUUGUCGAGAUUUUUUUCGCAGUUGACUGCAAGGUGUUUGUGGAAGUCAGAUGUUAAACAAUUGCAGGACGACAUAGUGAACGUCUUAUGCAAGUUCGAACAGAUAUUUCCCCCAGCUUUCUUUACAAGUAUGAUUCACGUGAUGAUUCACUUGCCAGAUGAGGCAUUGCUUGCCGGACCAGUGAACUGUCGAUGGAUGUAUCCAAUAGAAAGGUACUUAAUUAAGCGUCUAUAUAUAUAUAUAUAUAUAUAUAUAUAUAUAUAUAUAUAUAUAUAUAUAUAUAUAUAACAUAUUCAUGAUCAACGAACGCUUUGAAUAAUUUGUAGCAUACCUUUUAUUUGUGCAUAUAUCUUGGUGAGUUGAAAACUUGUGUUCGAAACAAGGCAAAGCCCGAAGGAUCACUUGUGGAUGCAUGGGUCACAUAUGAGUCACUUACUUUUUGUGCAAUGUAUCUUGAAGAUGUUGAGACAGCUUUCAAUCGUCCAGAACACAAUAAUGAUGGUGGUGUCAGAAAAGAGAAACUGUCUAUUUUUCCCCAAAUUGCACGACCAUUCGGCGAUCCUGUAAAAGACGAAUCGUUUACCAAAAAGGACAUGGAGGUAGCGCAUUGGUUCAUACUCAACAAUUGUGACGAGGCUUUGCCAUACCUUGAAGAGCAUGAACAAUUGAUGAAGCGGGAACAUCCUUCACAUUUAUAUGCCAAGAAGCACCGUGACUUGUUUCCUUCGUGGUUUCAUGCACAUGUAAGUUGUAUGUGGUUUGAAUUGAGCAUAUUUUCCAACUUGUUCAUGCCCGUCUUUAAAUUUGGUUAUACUAACAAGUUAAUUUUUUGUAUAUGUUAUAUUAGAUGAACAAAUUGAAGGAAUUGAAUUCACCCUCUUACGAUGAAGAAUUAUAUAACUUGGCGAGAUGACCGCUUCACGUUGAAUUGUUCUCAGGUUGUCAUGUCAACGGGAUCAAGUUCUUGGGGGAAACACGUGAUGACAAGUUGUCUACUUAAAAUAGUGGUGUCCAUGUCCCAGGUGCGGGUGAUAGUGAAGACAUUGAUUUUUUUGGCAAACUAACUAGUGUAGUACAAUUGCUUUACAAAGAUAGGUGUCAAGUGAUAUUGUUUAAGUGUCUUUGGUUUGAUACAAACCCACAUAACCGAACGAGUGUUAAGCGAGACCAUGGUUUACUAUCAGUAAACAUUAUGAGACAUUGGUACGAUGAAGACCCAUACAUUUUGGCAACAAUGGCAAAACAAAUAUUCUAUCUAGACGACCCUAAAGCUGGCAAUGGUUGGAAAGUUGUUCAAAAGAUUGAUCGAAGAGGGCUAUAUGAUAUUCCAUAACAAGAUCAUGAUGACAAUUACGAUAACGUCGCUGACCAACAGUUAUCAUCUUCGAUAGAAAUUGGUGAAGAAACACUCCGGGAUACUAAUAUUGUCCAAGAACCGUUUGACGUAGUUGGAUUUCCUGAAUUCGAAAUAUCAAUUGACCUUGGUGAUCUACCUCAAUACAAUGCAUCGGAAGAGGAAAACGAAGAUGAAGACAAAUGGGAAUCCGGAAAUGAUAGUAGUGAGGAUAGCGAGAGUAAUUAUUGUAGUUCAGAUGAUGAUUAAUAUAAACUUGUAAAGAAAAAUCGUGCUUUUUCGUUUAUAACCGUCAAAAAGUUUUGUCCCUUUACAUAAUCUCUGAAUGUUUGUUUUUUGCAAUUUUUGGCGUCUGCGAUCUCGAAGCAUAUACAAACAAGUUUGACGGUUGGAUAGUUGAAAUUAGUUUUGUACAAUGCGUUUCCCAUCAAGUUCAAUGGUAUAUAUAUUUACUAAGUUGAUUUUAAUUUAUUUAUUUUGUACUUAUAACACUUAAGAAAUUUAAUGAUAUAUAUGUAAAAAAAAAAUUAUUGUGAGUUUUUGUUAGAAAAAUAUAUUAUUGUGGGGUUUAUGUAAAAUAAAUUUGAAUUUGAAAGAAGUAAAAUCACAUUUUUAGUAAUUUUUAUAAUAUUUAAAAAAAAAUAAAAUAAAAAAACCUUGCGCAACGUCUUAAUGUAGUCGUUGAGCAAAACUACUUUGCGUGACGUCAAUUUGUAUACCUACGUCGCGUCAUGUGAUAAUUUUGGCGCUCUAAUAGUGAAAAAUAGGCGUUUGUUUUCAAUUUUCCAAGUUUGGCAAACUUUUGAACCCCAUAGAUCUCUCUCUUCCCGUAUACCUCUCUCUUCCCACUCGCUCUUUCUUUCCCGCACGUAGACAUGCAUCUCUCCCUCUCGCUCUUUCUUUCCUGUACGUAGACCUGCAUCUCUCCCUCUUUCUCUCUCUUUCCCGUAGACCUCUCUCUCCUCUUCGCAACCUUCAACCCCCAAAUCUCAAAGCCGACGCGACGUAGGUUCCCAAAAUCAAGGUAAGGGUUUCUCAUUUUCGAUGGGUUUUUGUUAUUUAGGGUUUAGGGUCAAAUUGCAUGUUGAUUUCUGAGUACUUUGUCGAAAUCUCCAGAUAAAAUUGGAUGUUGGUUCUGAUUUGAUAGGGUUUCAGAUUUGUGAUGGUUUGAGGUUAUGUGGGUCUGUUGAUUUUGUUCAGUUGAUAGGGUUUGAGGUUCUGAUUUAGCACAGUGGUGGGUUUUCUCGAAGAACCUUAAAAGCAUGAAUCCUUACUCUGUCGUCCCUGGUACAAAAUUUCAACUUAUUUUUGUAUAUUUCUGAACCAAAUAUAUAUAUAUAUAUAGCAUCUUGAUCUUCUUCUUCACAGGGCAUGUUCAUCGGCUGUGAGGUGGUGGUUAUCUGUCAGUCUCCUGGUGAAAUUCUCAAUCUUUCUCUCUUAAUUAAGUGUUAAUCAUAGCUUUUAAACUGUUUUUCUUUCACUCAUCAGUCAUCACAUCCACACUCAGCUCAUCCUUCUCCAAAUUAAACUCAUUUUCUGGGUUUUUUUUUCUUUCAAAAGGGAAAUCUCAGUCACAAGGACAUGUAAAGUUCAUUACCCGUAAAUUUCAUUUGGUUUUUGUUACAAAUGGAACAGGAAUGGCUUACUUGCAAUUUAGGACUUGUAAUUUGAUAAUAAUAAAAGAAGGACGUCUGUUUAUUGAGAGAUGCCUAGGACUGGUUUGAUGUUUGUCAACGAAAGUAAGCUUUGAAUUUCAGUAGGCGGUGCUACCAAGCUUCGAACUUAAUUUGACCUACCACCAUUUGUUUUACUUCGAAUUAAAACAUGGAGAGAUCCUGCUAUAGAUUUGUAAAUAUUAUGCUAGCAAAGUCUUUUGAGCAUUAUGAUUUUCUUGUCCUGUAGCAGCAUAAUAAUGCUCAUAUAUGAUGCUAACUGUUACAUCCCAGACUCAAUCGUCAGUUAAUUAUAUUAUGAGUGAGUUCGGGAAUAACAUGAACCUAAUAGGUAAAUACCUCAGAAAUUUUCCUUUUGCUUAUUUAAUUGGCAUUGACUUGCAUAUAGUAUUCAUGCAUGUUAGAUGUAUUCUGGAAUAUCUUGUUCUUUUAAAUAGUUGUUGUGAAAAACCUGUAUUCUUGUUCUGAAGAAUGAGCCCUGCAUAUGGCUUUUCCAGAUUUGUAGGAAGUGUUAACUUUUCACAGGGGAUUGAAACUAGAAAACAUUUGAUGCACAUACUUAUAUAUGAUAUGCCUGAUUGCUUAACCCACUGCCUCAAGCUAUUACGGUAUUACCUUAGAUGAGAAUUUUACUUGAAUAGACUUAAGCAGUGCAGGACCCGACCAUUUAAAUACUGUACUUUUGAGCAGUUGCAUUAUAACCCACAUAUCCCAUGUAAAGUUUAUUCUAAACCUUUCAUGAGGUGGAACAAAUUAGUGAAAAAAUCUAUCAUUUUUGCUCACAAAAUACACAUACUGCCACAGUUUAACUAAUUUGAUCCUUAUAUAGUGAUUCUCUUUUAGGGUUUGUUCAGAUGCAAGAAAGGAUUAGUUUAAAUAUUCUUGUAUUGAUAUUAUUGCUCUAAUUACUUAUAUUACUUUGGUUGCUAUUUUAUUAGUUUCAAAUGCAAGAAAUGAUUAGUUUCUAAUGUUAUAUUUGUAUGGUUCAUAAAGUGUAUAGAUGUCGCAGUUGAUCACUCGUCGUCGGAGUGUGUCCAAUGCAGCUCCUGCAUUAUCAGCAUCUAGUGCUCCAGGUGUGAGUGCUCCAAGCGUGAGUGCUCCAUUGAUUGGGGAGCCUACACCCCUUACGGAGGCUACUCCUACGACGUCCCAGGUGCCCGUAUCAUCAACGUCAUCAGUGUCAGUUCAACCCCUCAGUGCACGGCGGCCUCCCUAGCGCCGCCGCGAGCCGGAGCCUUCUGAUCACACUUCCUUGUCCUCCAGAGUCGAGGAUGGGGCCUCCCAACCAGGUAGUUUUUUUUCUAAUUCUCACUACGUUGCAUUUUUUUUUCAUUUCAAAACUAUUACUUUUAUGAUUGUGAAAAUGUGUUGCGGGUUGUGAAUUACUGUUUUAAGGUACUUUUAUGAUUAGGGGAGGUUUUGCCGAAUUUUUUGUACAAAUUUAAGCUUAGGGUUUUUACCAUUAAAGUUUUUUUGGGUAGCUAAAAAAAAACACCAAGGGGCCCAAUCGAAUGUUGAAGGAGCUACAGCUUGUACGUAUGUCUGCCUCCUUGAUCAAGAUUGCGUAUGAUGAGCGACAUUGUGGAGCGGUUACCUCACAGCAGCAUAACAGCGUCGUUAAUUGCUGUGGUUUUAUUAUUAGGAAUUUUUGUCCUAUGCGGUGGGAGAGUUGGGCAAAAAUUCCCGAUGAGACGAGGACCCUGGUGCGAGAUAAUUUGGAGGUUAGUAAAUUAAUUUUUAGCAAAGUCAACAUCUUUCUCUGCUUAAACUAUUGCAGGGCCAUCAUCUUGAUUAAUAAAGUCAAGAUCUUUCUCUCAAUUUCUGUUUGGUUGCUAAGAAAAUGUAGGGGGGAAAGAGAAAUCAGGUGCAUUUCAUUGUUUUGCACCUGAUAGCCGAGUGUUGUUGUGGUGAAUAAUUUGGUCAUGUAUUUUGCACACUCUUCUUCUAUUCAUAAUUGGGAGCAGGUGUGGUCCUUUAGUUUUGGUUAAUUUCAGUGAUUUGCGGCACUGUUCUUUGUUGUCUGAAUGCUUCAUGGGAAGGAAAUUGAAAAAUAAUUCCGUGAACCAAUGUUAAAAUAAUGAUUAUGUUGGUUAGGUGGAAGGAUUACUAUCUUAUCUGAUGCAUAUUUAUGGGUUUUUAGUUUUGGUCUACGUCCUUGCUUAAUGAUUUAUGAUAGUGUUUAAGUGAGUAUGCAUGCCGUCUCUAGUACAUUGCUUUGCUUGUGUUGUGCAUCAGUUAACCUGAUCCAUAGUAUCCACUGGUUGAGCAACAUCGUGAUACCUAAACAUUAUGCCUAUACAUGCUGUUUUGUUUUAAUCAUUAAGUGCUUCUUGGGACUGGCUAUACUAAUCAAAUAAUCUAUCUUUUACCGAGCGAGUCCUAUGUAUGGUUCUUGACUUUGCCUCAAUUUGAUAGUGAAUUGUUUUUAGUUGUUGUCCUGGUUUUAUUUAUUAAAGUGAACUACGAAAGCAGCCUUAAAUAGUCGAGUUAAAUCCUUUGUUGAGAAAUUGUGCUAAGGAAAGGAAUUUGAUAAAUAAUUUGAGUGUUAACCUUAUGGUUUGAACAUUAAAGGUUUGACACUUGCGUGAAGCUGAGGUUUGACACUACUUUCCGAACUAGUAUGAAUGAUCCUAUAUAUAAAAAUUGUUUAUAAUUUUGUAAGCUUCCUGUAUAUUACUGUAACCACUUUCUACACAUUUACUUACCUUCUUAUGAAGUUUUUCUUCGAAUCUGCUAAUAUUUGUUGGGUCAUUUAGAAAUGACAUGCUUACUACAUGCUAUUCUUAGUGGGUUGCAGUUGGACAAGAGUCUCAUAAACAUGUUACACAAUUUGAUUUCUGUAGUUGCAGCAGCAUAAUUUUCAUUCUGUCAGUUUUACUACUUCUGGAUUGUAAGCACAACCAGUUUAAACAGGCAUGAUGUUGUAAAUUACUUUAACGAAGCUCACAUCUUAAGGGGUAAAUUGGUUUUUGGUUGUAAAAAUUAGAGCAUGUCCUUAGUAACAGCUAUUUGGAAGCCAACAUGAUUAACUGACUGUUAAAGUGGGAUAUGAAAUGCUUGUAUGCAAUAGGUUACCUUUAUGGAAUUGCAUUAAAUUGUACAUGCAUGACUUUUUUUUUCUUUUUGGGUAAAGUAUAUAUAAUAGUAGUUGGCUUACAUCCUAACAAAUCAUUUAACAUGCUACUGGAAUAGUUGAUCUUGAGUUACAGUCAGUGCAGUUACAACCUCUCUAUAAAAUGUUGAAUUUCCACCUUUGGUCUCUGUACCGGUGGAAAGAGGCUCACAUGGGAGAUCAAAACCCCACUCUUGAGAUCUUUCAUAAUAUAAACAUUAUAUUGUUUGCUUCCUAACAAAUUAAGAUUCUAGUUAUUAUUGUAAACCGACAAACUUUAUCAGUAUCUUAUAAACUAGUUGUCAAUUAUUCUGAUACAUGGUCAUUUUGUUUGUCAUUUUGUUUUUCAUAUUUGUAGGUCGUUUUUGAAAUGGAGGACAUAUCCCCUGAGGUCAGUGCCUACUUAGAGGAGACCUUUGCAAGCCGGUACAAAGAUUGGAAGAGCACUCUUCACAAGCAUUUUUAGCUAUGGGAAUCUCCGGAGAUUGCUCGCCUACAGGGUUGCCCACUCGAGUAUAAGGAGCGGCGAGAGGAUUGGGAGUGGCUCUGCACACAUUUUACGGAUCCAAAAUUUGUGGUAUGUACAUAAUACUUUAAUAAUAAUUUAUUGUUUUUGUUAUUUCAUUUAAGCUUUUUUUAAUAAUUUCUUUCAAAUAGUCGCACUAACAUGUAUAUUGUAUGUUUAACAGAAUAAAUCUGUUGUUGGCAAGAAAGCUCGGGACUCAAAGACACUUCUCCACCAUUCCAGUUCGAAGCCCUUUUCGUAUAGGGUUGAGGCACGACGUGAGGUAAAAGUAUAUUAAUUUUGAAAUUUUAUACAAUCUAUUUUUUAUUAUUGAUUAAUAAAAUUUUCUUAAUGUUUUUUUUUUCUUUAGAAGGGUUCUAAGUUCCCACAGAUUGACCUGUUCAAGCAUGUUUACGUUCAUCCCAACAAUGAGAAUAGUGACCAGCUUUAUGUAAGUAUAUGUAAUUGUUAUUUUUCUUAUUUUUAUGAAUCGUUCAAAUAUUAUUUAUAUUUUGUUAUUAAACAUAGUGGAAAAGAGCACUGCUAUUCUCCAAGAAGCAACAUCGCAGCUUCCCCCAAAGACCCCGAUCGAGGACGUCAUUGUACCCAAGGAUGCAAAUGUUCAGAUCGUGACUGAGGUCCUGGAUCAGAAGUUCGGUCGUCAUCAUGGUAAGGUUGUUAGGUGUACGGGGAAGGCGGGGGUUCGUGAAACGGGUGCCUCUUCUUCCAGAUUGUCCACAGGAAAGGUCAAUUCCUUGAAGGAGGAAGUGACAACCCUAAGAGGUCAGGUUACGGCCCAGGGCGACCACAUUAGGGCCCAGGACGAGAGGAUGAAUAUGAUUGUUCAGGCCUUAGCGAUGUCUGGCCUCCAAAUCCCGACGAUGCCAACACCUAAUGUUGCUCCACCUUCGACUUCCCAGCCACUUUACCCAGAUGAUACCGAGUAGCAUGAUGUAUUAAACUUAGAAGACUUGUAGUUUUUUAAUUUCUUGUUCGGACAAACGUACAUUUUCAUAUAUUCUAUAAUUAAUUACUUUUUCUUGGUUUAUUAAUUAUUGUUUAGAAUUUAAUUAUAAUAUUUAUUAAAAAUUAAAUAAAAAAAUAUAAAUGACAAAAAAAAAGGUUUGCGCUACGCAGUGCCUACCUACGUUGCGCAAAGCUACUUUGCGUGACGCAGGACCUACGUCGCGCAAAUUUACUUUGAGCGACGCAGUGCCUACGCGACAUAGGACCGUCGUCGCGCAAAGUCAAAAAUACGUCGCCCAAAAAUUAGCUAAACGAACCUUCAUCGCGCAAGAACCGUCGCGCGAAGGUAGUGAAGGAAGGGUUUGUGCGACACAGUGCCUACCUACGUCGCGCAAAGCUACUUUGCGUGACGCAGGACCUAUGUCGCAUAAAUUUACUUUGAGCAACGCAGUGCCUACCUACGUCGCGUAAAGCUACUUUGAGCGACGCAGGACCUACAUCGCGCAAAGUAGCUUUGCGCGACGUAGGUAGGCACUGCGUCGUACAAACCCUUCCUUCACUGCCUUCGCACGACGGUUCUUGGGCGAUGAAGGUUCGUUUAGCUAAUUUUUGGGCGACAUAUUUUUGACUUUGCGCGACGACGGUCCUAUGUCGCGCAAAGUCUUUUUUGUACUAGUGAUUGCUAUAAAGUCAUGCCCUUCGGCCUAAAAAAUGCAGGAGCGACUUAUCGGAGACUGGUCAAUUCAAUGUUUGCCGAACAGAUUGGGAAGAGGAUGGAAGUUUAUGUUGAUGAUAUGCUAGUCAAGAGCAAACAUGCUAACCAACACAUCACCAACCUAUCUGAAACUUUCACCAUUCUGAAGAGGUAUCGAAUGAGGUUAAACCCCAACAAAUGUGCCUUCGACGUAGGCUCUGGCAAAUUCUUAGGCUUCAUGAUAAGCCAACGAGGUAUUGAGGCUAAUCCCGAGAAGAUCAAAGCAAUCAUCGACAUGAAGGAACCGGUAACCUCAAAAGACAUCCAAAGCCUUACUGGCAAGGUGGCAGCCUUAACUAGGUUCAUCUCUAAGGCCACAGACAGAUGUGCUCCUUUCUUCAAAGCAUUUAAGGGAAGUAAAAAGUACAUUACAUGGACUGAUGAAUGUGCUGAGGUAUUCAAGAACCUCAAAGACUACAUGAGUAAAGCCCCUCUGCUCUCCAAACCUGAGGUUGGUGACACUCUCAUUAUCUAUCUGUCGGUAUCAGCUUCAGUAGUAAGUUCCGUUCUCAUUCGAAAAGAUGGUAAUGUCGAACGGCCUGUCUACUACGCUAGCAAGGCCUUACAAGAUGAGGAGACACGAUACUCCAACAUUGAGAAAUUAGCUCUAACAUUGGUCGUGUCUGCUCGAAAACUUCGCCCUUACUUCCAAGCACACUCCAUCAUCGUGCUUACCAAUCAUCAUCUUCGACAAAUACUCCAAAGUCCUGACACUUCUGGGCGAAUGAUCAAAUGGGCAAUAGCAUUGGGUGAGUUUGACAUCUCCUACUAACCAAAGCCAGCUGAGAAGGGCCAAGCAGUGGCAGACUUCAUCGCCGACUUCACAUAUCCUAUUAACAUUGUUUCUACGCCCAAAGAAGUGGUUUCAUUACCCUCGGAAGCUCAGAAAACAGAACCAACAGCCCCAGCAUGGAGACUAUAUGUUGAUGGCUCAUCCAACCAACAGGGUUGUGAAGCAGGACUAGUCCUUACGACCCCUGACAAAGUGGCAAUGAAGUAUGCUAUUCGUUUCAAAGUUAAGGAGUCGAACAAUGAGGCCGACUAUGAAGCCCUCCUAGCAGGCUUAUGUUUGGCCAAACACCUUGGGGUUAAACGAAUUGAUAUCUUCAGUGACUCUCAAUUGGUGGUUAACCAAGUCACCAACAACUUUGACGCUAAGGAUAGCUCAAUGGCAGCAUAUAUGGCACAAACACAAUUGUUGCUCAAGCACUUCCAGUACCAGAUCACCCAAAUUCCUCGAGCGGCAAAUAGUCAUACAAAUGCUUUGGCUCACCUCGCCUCAGCGGUGGAAGACAAGAUUGGGAGAAGAAUUCAGGUCGAAUUGUUGGCAGCACCAAGCACCAUGGUUGCGGAAGUGUGCAACUUACAACAGGGGGAUAGUUGGAUUACCCCGAUUUAUAGAUUCCUUACUCAUGGCACCCUUCCAAAUGACAAAGUCCAAGCUAAGCAAAUUCGAUACAAGGCUACCUGUUACUUGAUCAUUAAUGAUCAACUUUACAAGUGGGGUUUUAACCUACCAUACCUAAGAUGCCUUACGCCCGUAGAGGCGAAAACUGUCCUUCGGGAAAUACAUGAAGGAGUCUGCAGAGAUCAUGCUAGAUCUCGAUCCCUAGCACACAAGGCUUUUUGCCAAGGAUUACUGGCCGACACUCUACCAAGAUGCCAUCAAAAUAUCCCGCUCAUGUGAUAAGUGUCAACGCAACGUAAUUAUUCCUCACUCCCCUCCCGAGCAGCUCACUCCUAUGAUCAGCCCUUGGCCUUUCGCCCAAUGGGGACUUGAUUUGAUUGGCCCAAUGCCUGCAGGGAAGGGCAAAGUUCGCUAUGCAAUCGUUGCAGUUGACUACUUCACAAAGUGGGCCGAAGUAGAACCCUUAGCAACCAUUACUAAGGCAAAAAUAGAAGACUUCGUAUGAAAGAACAUCCUUUGCAGAUUCGGCAUUCCCGAUGCGAUAGUCAUUGACAACGGGCGACAGUUCAACAACAAUAAGUUCAGGAUGUUCUGCUCUAAGUUCAACAUCAACUUAUGUUUUGCCUCCCCAGCUCAUCCCCAGUCUAAUGGACAAGUUGAAGCUAUCAACAAAAUAAUCAAGCGAACUUUGAAAACCAACUUAGACAAGGCUAAAGGUUGUUGGCCAGAAUUUGUACCCCAAGUUUUUUGGUCAUACCGCACUUCGUAUUAGACAUCAACACGAGAAACCCCAUUCUCACUUGCCUUUGGUACAGAGGCAGUUGUCCCAGUUGAGCUUGAAUAAGCAACAUUUCGAGUCCAGAACUACGUGCAAGGCGAAAAUGACAAACAACUUACCCUCAACUUAGAUCUAGUUGAGGAACACAGAAACCAGGCUCACUUGAGGAAUGUCGCCUACAAGCAGCGCAUCUCCAACUACUAUGACUCAAGGGUCAAACCUCGUUCUUUCAAAGUGGAGGAUUGGGUAUUAAAGAAAAGAUUACUCUGCGACAGAGUCCCGAGUGAAGGAACACUUAGUCCAAACUGGGAUUGACAGUUUAAAGUUGUUGGCAUCAGUCACCCUGGCUCCUACAAGCUUAGAAGCUCCGAUGGCAAGACCAUUGGCCAUCCAUGGAACGCUGAUCACUUGAAGUACUAUUACAAGUAAACUCACAUUGUACAAGUGUUAAGCUUCAACAGUUCAUCAUCCUAUGUAACGAAGACUAUUUGGCAUGAAUUCAAUAAAGAGGUGAUUUAGAUAACUCGGUCCUAAUCCUCUUACAUUCCUAGCAAUGAAACACUCGGGCCCAAAGCUUCAACUCCAAAGCUUCACUUACAAAAGCUUCAACACAAAAGCUUUACCCACAAAAGCUUCAUCAUUUGAGGACAACUACGAAUUCUCAAAAGCUUUACACUAUCUUGAUCAAGAUAGUGUGAAGCAAAAUCAAUUCAUGGUACCCAACAAAAGCUUCAACUCCAAAGCUUCACCUACAAAAACUUCAACAUAAAAGCUUCACCCAUAAAAGCUUCAACACAAAAGCUUCACCCAUAAAAGCUUGACCCACAAAAGCUUGACCCACAAAAGCUUCACCUACAAAAGCUUCACCCACAAAAGUUUGACCCACAAAAGCUUGACCCACAAAAGCUUGACCCAUAAAAGCUUGACCCACAAAAGCUUGACCCACAAAAGCUUGACCUACAAAAGCUUCAACACAAAAGCUUCACCUACAAAAGCUUCACACUAUCUUGAUCAAUUCAUGGUGCCCAACAAAGCUUUAACCUCAAAGCUUCACCUACAAAGCUUCAACACCAAAGCUUCACCUACAAAGCUUAAAAAUAUAUAUAUAUUUUUUCAGAAAUUCAAAAAUUCAAAAAUUCAAAAAAAAAAAUUCAAAAAUUCGAAGAAAAAAAAUUCGCCUAGGUCUCCUCUUCUUUAGGCCUAACAACUUUCAUAACAAAUAUAUAUAUGAAUGAGGAGUUUUGGGCUACCAUUUAAAAAGGAAAUGCCACAUUCGUCAACUCCCUCGACCGGAGACUUGGGGGACACCUACCAUAUGCUACUGCACCUUGAUAUUCAGAAGUCUCACGACCACUCAGUGACUUGGAUUUUUCAAGUCUCCAACCGAGAAGUUUUCCUCACUCGGGAAAUUAAGGAAGUACUACCUCAACAUACAUGUUUCACUCUCAAAGCUUCAACAUACAAGCUUCAACAAAAGAAAAAAUUCAAAGAACUUAGUGAAGAAGGCCUUGGUGUAUUCAACACAAUACGUUGAAAUGAAGCAAAGCUUGUUUAUUGAUAUCUUCGAUAAGUUACAAAUAUGUAUAUAUACAUGAAUCAAAAUAAACAAACAAGAGAGAGCCUUCACAAAGGUUGCUCAUGAGAAGUCUCAGCAGUCGGCAGAGCCCCAGAAAGAGUAGGCAUCAGAAGGUGAUCAUUCGGAGCCUCAGUACUGGUAGAGAACCCUAGAAGGAGGAGGCACCAAAGGUUGAUCAUUCGGAGCUUCAUUACGUGGUACAGCCCCAGAAGACAAAGGCAAUAAAUGCCUUUGGAACAAACCCACAAACCUCUGAUUAUCAAGCAAAAUCUGACCAUCAGAUUCCUGCAGCUGGUCAAGCUUCAUCUUCAUGUUUGUAGUAUAGUCAUGUGCGAGCCUGUGCAACUGUUUAUUCUCAUGCUUGAGCCCUCUGAUCUCCUGUUUGAGACUUAUCACUUCAGCCGCCAAUUAUUCAACUUGGCGGGUUCAAGCAAAUAGGUGUUGGGCCAUAUUAGACACAGAACCUGCACACUGAACACUGAGAGCCAGAGAAUCCUUAACAGUCAACUCAUCAGACCGUUUGGAAAUUAGUCUGUUAUCUUUAAGAGUGAGAAGGUUCUUGGCCACCACCGCAGCGGUUAUAUCAUUCUUCAUCACAGAGUCCCCAACGGUAAGAGGACCAGUAAGGGAUAAGAAGAAUGGGCGCCAUAUGUUGUCUUGAGAAGGCAUGGCUGCCUCUUCACCAAAGUUCAAGUCAAAACGACGGUCGGAAGGGCCAUACAUUCUCAGAAAUGAUGAAGGAGAAAUGAGGUGCAAUAAAUCUCUGAAGUAAGGGGAAAAUUCAUACAAGCAAUAACUCUCUGAAUGUACUUCUUGCACACAAUUGGUGCCCUUAUAAAAGAAAGGGUAACAAGGCCGUUGGUUCAAAAAUCGAAAAGGCAUCACUCUUCGGAUUUCAAAGAGACACCACUCUCCACACGCAACAUCAGCUCCUCGGGUACCACAGAUAACUUUGCCAAAGAUCUCUGACAAAGUUUAGACAUAUAAAUUUUGAAGGUCCAGCUACCCUACUAUUACUCACAAGGGUAAAGGAACAACACCACUACUUGAUAACUGAAGAGUCCCUAUGUGUGUCAACCUCCGUGCUCCGUGGCAAGGUAGAUUGGCAAAAAUGCCCAACCUUUACUCAUAUUCGAGAAAACACUCCCAAUAAGAUUACUUUCUAAAAAAUUGAAGAGGCACCGCUCUCCGAAUCUCAAGAGCCAGACUCCCAACAGGAUUGUUUUCUCAAAAAUCGAAGAGGCACCGUUCUUCGAAUCUCAAGAGCCAGAUCCCCGACAGGAUUGCUUGUUCGAAAACCGAAGAGGCAUCGCUCUCUGAACUUCGAGAGCCAAAUUUCCUUGGAUAAAGCUUGUCUGCAAUCUUCACACGCAACAUCAGCUUUCCAGAUACCACAUACCACUUUUUCAAAGUGCUCUGACAAAGUUAAAACACGUGAAGCUUGCAGCUCCCACUACAUUGCUACGACCAAGAAGGGUAAAGGAAUAGCAUUAUUACUUGCUUAAAAAUCAAAGAGGCACCGCCAUCUGAAUCUCUAGAGCCAGACUUCCAACAAGAUUACUUUCUCAAAAAUUGAAGAGGCACUGCUUUCCGAAUCUCAAGAGCCAGACUCUCAAUAGGAUUGCUUUCUCAAAAAUCGAAGAGACACCGUUCUCCGAAUCUUAAGAGCCAAACUCCCAACAGGAUUACGUGCUUAAAAAUCGAAGAGGCAUCGCCCCUUCGAAUCUCGAGAGCCAGACUUCCAACAGGAUUACUUUCUCAAAAAUUGAAGAGACACUGCUCUCCGAAUCUCGAGAGCCAGACUUCCAACAAGACUGAUUUCUCAAAAAUCGAAGAGGCACAAUUCUCUGAAUCUCGAGAGCCAGAUCCCCGACAGGAUUGCUUGUUCGAAAACCGAAGAGCACCGCUCUCAGAACUUCGAGAGCCAGAUUUCCUUGGAUAAAGCUUAUCUGCAAUCUUCACACGCAACAUCAGCUUUUCGGAUACCAUAGACCACUUUUUCAAAGUGCUCUGACAAAGUUAAAACACGUGAAACUUGCAGCUCCCACUACAUUGCUAUGACCAAGAAAUGUAAAGGAAUAACACUACUACUUAUUGUUAGGGAUACUCCUAUAUAUGUCGACCUCCAUCCUCCAUAGCCAGGCAAACCUGCAAAUAAAAAAAUGCUCAACUUUUCUUCACAUCCGAGAGGGCACUCUCAGCAGAGUCUCUCGAAAUACUUAGCUUUUUUUCCUCCCGAUAAUAUCUCUACAAACAAGCCACGCCAGAGCAAGAGUAUCUCAUAUCACCAGGGUUAAAAGAAAGAGUAUCCCAUAUCAUGUUUUUUCCCUGUCUUUUCCUUUGGCCUUAUUCUUACCUGCAAGACAAGGAGAAAGAGAGCAAUCAGUCAGCACUUAGAAUCAAGCUUCCAGUCAGGAACUGACUGCCUGGAACCCCUUGCUUGAUUACUUACCUGACAUUGCUCUCGAGUAGUCAUCUUCAACAUCUUAUGCUUCCAGAGAAGAUACCACAUCUGCCUGAGGAACAGAUAGGGCAAGUGAGAACGAUACAAGAAAGCAUGCGAAGACAAGCGUAACAGAACACGUGCCGAUAUAUCCACUACUUUGUCAACAGCAAAAGUAUCUCAUAUCAUCAGGGUCGAAUGUACUCUAGAUUUGAUGGACUUGUUUUGACCCUCAAAUUCUUAAGUUGGCCUUAUACUCUUGAAGAAACCAGAAAACCCUCCAGCCCAGUUUAAGAAUAAGCAUGCGGAAAGUUACUUGUUCAAAAGCAAAAGUAUCUCAUAUCAUCUCUUAUCCAUUUGCUUCUCAUUAUCCUUAGUGCUAUUUACGACAUAAGGAGAAAGAAAACAAUCAACCGGAAGUCGAAGUCGAACCUCCGAUCCAGGUUGCUUACUUGGAAGUCUGAUUGCUUACCUUGUCUGUUACCUCCUUCGGCAAAUCUCCUAGCCUGGCGACUUAGGGGACUCAUACUAUAGGGUUUGUAUCGCACUUGACCAAGCCCGAAACUACAAGUAAGCUUCAAGUGAAAUUGAUACAUUACCUUGUGCAUCUUCAUCGGUUAAAGAUACCACCCCUGGAUGGAGGAAAAGUACUUCCAGAGAAGAUGCCACAUCUACGUAUGAGACAGAUAAGGCAAGUGAAAAUGAUACCACACUUCGGUACUUAGAAGUUUCGUGAUUACUCAAUGGCUUGGAUCUUGCAAGUCCCCAACCGAGGAGCUUCCCUCACUCGGGAACUUAGGGGAGCACUGUUUGUACCAUACUUGACCAAUCCUGAAACUACUAAGCACUGGUCAACGUUAUACCGUCAAGGACCUAGAAGAGUUUCCCUCCAACCAGAAGGCCAAUCACAGUGCGACACGUGUUGACAUCAGAAGCCAAUCAUAGCGCAACACGUGUCAACAUCAGAAGCCAAUCACAACACGACACGUGUCAAUGUCAGAAUGAAACUAGAAACUCUCUUCUAUAAAUAGAGAUCAUUCUCUCACAAUAUUUCCUAAUGUCAUUUGUACUAAAUCAUUCACUAGUACUCACUAAAAGAGAGCUUGAACCUAUGUACUUGUGUAAACCCUUCACAAUUAAUGAGAACUCAUCUGCUCCGUGGACGUAGCCAAUCUAGGUGAACCACGUACAUCUUGUGUUUGCUUCUCUGUCUCUAUCCAUUUACAUACUUAUCCACACUAGUGACCAGAGCAAUCUAGCAAAGGUCACAAACUUAACACUUUCUGUUGUACCAAAGUCCUCACCGAUUUUGUGCAUCAAAAUAGAUUAACAUGUAGCAAGAGAAAAUUGUCAUGGAGAAACGGUUGCCCAAACUUAAGGCUGCAAUUUUGAGUGCUCAGAAGUGCUUGGAAGAUUGCAACUAUGUUAGGGGAUUGGUGAGUGACCAUCAUGUGCAGAGUUAGUCUGCAUUUUUUAGUUGUAUAGUAGUUGUAUAGACAGUCCAUUUUUCUACGUUAGCAGUACAAAUUCUUUUUGUUUUCAUCUUGUUUUUCCUCUCUUUAAUUGUCUGAACUGCAAUACGUUUCUGCAACUUGAUGAAUGGUGGGACUGAGAGAUGAAACCAGAAAUUUUACUAAAAGGGGGCACCUUAAAAUUUUUGAGCUCCUUUUUUAGACAAAUAAAGCUAGUUCUUUUACAAAUGCUAAUUUUGUCUUUAAUUGUUGACAAUAUAAUGCUCAUUUGUACUAAUUAAUCAAGAGAGCUGUUAUUCCCACCCCCAAUGUCUUAUUUUUUCACCCACCUUUUUAUGAAUUUUUUAAUUACAAAUUUGUCAAUUUGUAAAAUGACUAACAAGGACCUUAGUUACCCACUUUUGCAUUACUUUUUUUUUAUAAAAAAUAAAAAAGAAAAGUUUGGGCGUGAUAAUUCUCGCACUAUGUUUAGACGAUUUGUCUCCCUUAAACCCUAACUCAUCAUUCCCAUCUCUUUUCAUUCAGAGAAAGCAAAAAGAAUGAACUUAGCAAAUGAUGUUUUUAUGGAAGAAGUAGAUGAUUAUGUUUCCGUCGAAGAGGUAAAAGAUAAUUUUAUGUGGGUCAUCUUGAUUUGUCGACAUCAUAUAAUUGAAGUAUAGCUCUGUGACUUUUUAUCUCUAAUUAUAUAUAUAUAUAUAUAUAUAUAUAUAUAUAUAUAUAUAUAUAUAUAUAUAUAUAUAUAUAUAUUAAGGGUUAUUAGGAAUAAUAGUGGGUGGGAAAAUAACAUUUUAAUUUUUUACCUUUUUAUAGUGGGUGUAAAUAUAACAUGGGUGGGAAAAUAAGACAACGGGGUGGAUCUAGUAGCUCCCUUAAUCAAAUACAUGCAACUCAACAAGGUUUAGACAUUAGUGCGUGAGAAAAAUAUACAAGACAAAGGGACAUUUAAAAACUAAAAGAGGAUUCUCACUAUUUUAAUAUGAUUAAUUGAAUAAUCCGCAAAGCAAAAAAAUUGGGAAUGAUUAAUUGAAUAAUUUGUAAUGAAAAAAAAAAGGAUGGGAGGGGGCAAGUGCCCCCAAUAGGCCUUACCUCCCUCCGUCCAUGGUAGUGGGACUCCCACCCACCAUAACCGUUGCCCAUCCCUAGGUAGGAGCAACUAGCAGCAACUGUUGUUGACUGGGUCUGAGUCGAUGGAUUAAAUGUUGCUGCAUGGUAUAAUCAUGUGAAGCAACUCCUUGAAUUUUAUGAUCAGGAGCACUUGUGAAUAUUAUUUGAGUACUCAGCAAACAAUAUUUUAUGGGGAUCUAAUUAGUCUUCCUGUUGGCAGUCCCACAUCGGUGGGGGAAGUCAACAAUGGUGAUUUUAAAUAUGAGUACCCUACUUUAAUUAAUAAUGAUGUCUUUUAUGGUAAAACCCCACACUUGACAGAUUAGGCAGGUGGUAAAGUUGUCGAUCUAAAAAUUUCAACAUGGUAUCAAAAACCCAUGAUUAAGGGCAUGUGCAAGCCAAAAGCUUGUCACCAGGAAGUGUGGGAUUGGAAACAAGCUUGGACUCUUAACAUAGAGCCAGUCUCUGAGUUCUUAAGAGGCACUUCUUGAACAGAUUGAAACAAGUCUGGACUCCAUUGGAGCUAACCCUUAAGUUUCAAUUGAUGAUCCUCUUCUUGAAAAGAGUGAAAACAAGUCUGGACUUCAUUGGAGCCAACCUCUAAGUUUCAAUUGACGAUGUGUGGAUCUCUAUAUGUGAACCACUAAAUGGGGUUACAAGUGAGGGGGCAUGUUGGUAGUCCCACAUUGGUGGGGGAAGUCAACAAGGAUGGCUUUAAAUAUGAUUACCCUACUCUAACUAAUACCGAGGUCUUUUGUGAUAAAACUCCACACCUGACGGAUUGGGCAAGUGGUAAAGUUGGGGAUAGUAUCGGUAUCAUUUUCUUGAAAAGAUUGAAAACAAGUUUGGACUUUAUUGGAGCCAACCUCUAAGUUUAAAUUGAUGAUGUGUGGAUCUCCACGUGUGAACCACUAAAUGGGGUUACACGUGAGGGGGCGUGUUGGCAAUCCCACAUCAGUGGGGGAAGUCAACAAGGGUGGCUUUAAAUAUGAUUACCCUACUCUAACUAAUAUUGAGGCCUUUUGUGGUAAAACUCCACACCUGACGAAUUGGGCAGGUGGUAAAGUUGAGGACAGUAUUGGUGUCGUUAGGGGGCUCCUCGAGCUCGUUGAUCUAAAAAAUUCCAACACUUCCUGGAUCAUAUUUGCCACUUCUACAAAGCCCUUGUUUCAUUCAUUCUCGCAUCGCUAAAAAAACCUACAAAGGCUUAGUAGAAACUCAAGCUCAAAUUUAUGCUUGAAAGGUAAAUUUAUUAUCUCUUAUUGGUCGGGCCACUUUUGUUCAGUCUGUCACCUCCGUUGUCCAGUAUAUGCUUUGCAGACAAUAUUACCAAUUACCAUUACAGAUAACCUUGAGUGUCAAAGAUUUUUCUAAGGCAAGAGAAGUUUGGCAAAAGUUGGAAAGUAUAAACAAUAGUCAGACCACAUUGAUUUUCAUGAUUGGCUUCAUUUUAAUCUCACCACUAAUCACUCAUAUUGGGGGGGGGGGGGGGGGGUUUAGAGUAGAUGUUAGUAUUUUCCAUUGCUUGUUGGUUUAUUUGGUAUUGGCGAAAUAAAUUUGUUUUCGAGCAGGAUUUUGCAAUGUUUGAUGAGCUUACAGUCGCUAUUUGUGCAUAUUUUCAUGAAUGGUUAGCAUUCUAAUACUCACAAGAUUGAUAAACGCCGUAAGAUUGAAUCUUUGCUCCACUGGAAAGCUCUUCAUUCAAAAUUGAUUUAAACUUAAUGUUGAUAGUUUUAAGAAGGAAAAUAAUAAUCCUUACAUAAAUAACUGGCAGCCGUGCCAGAGGCAAUACGUGUAUGGAAUCAUAUACUGAGGAUAGGGUAUUUGGAAAACAGUCCAUUUCUAUUGAGCCACAACGAAGGGAGUGCAGAAAUUCACAGUUUCGUUUUUGGAUUUAACAGAGAGAUAAUGGAAAUUUGGUUUUUGAGCUUAAACCUAACGAACUUCACCAAAAGGGUUUAAAACCGAAUUUUUUUUACCACAUGGCUAUCUUCAGAAUACCCUAUCAUCACGAGGACUAUUUAUACGUGAACUUUCUUCAUUGAACGUGAAUAUCACAUGCUAAAACUUCUCUUCAUUGAACUUUCUUAAAAGCAAAAAAUACUAAUCGACUCAACACCUACUUGUGCAGAUAUUGGCUAAACCAAACAUUAGAUGUGAAAAAUUAGCACUUUGCCAAAUAAUAUUCCGAGUGAGCAAAAGAGAGAAAAAUAUAACAAUGGCACACAGACAAAAUAUAAAAGUUGAGGAGCCGGGUGAUAUAAUAUUAGACAUUGCAAUUGUAGGCUCGGACGACUUAAGGAGAAGAAGGUUGCCUGCACCACUAUUAGGAACAUUACAAAUCAACAUUUCAGAGGUAACAUGCAUGGUCUUCUCUUCUGCCAUGAAAAAUUCAUGCCUUCAUAUAAUUAAUUAAUUAAUUAACUAGUUAUUAGUGUUAAUUAUCUAGAGAGCACUCUCUAACAUUUCCAUCCUCCAUCGUUUUCUUCUUCUUCAGAACAAAGUUUCAAUCAAUUUUUUUUUUUAAAAUACCUUUUACUUUAACAAUAUUAGCGAUUAGUUUUAGGUUGCCUUUUAAUUAGCUCGUGUGCUUCUGUUGCAGGGCGUGUUCGAGGAAAAAGGGAGCAUACUUGAACCAGCAGAGGCUGUGGUAGCAUCUAUGAAAAAACUUUAUGAACUCUUUGUAGCGAAACGACGUAGUUUGACUCGUUUCAUUUUUAAAUUUUUGUUUCCUCGGGUGCAAAGCAAUGUUGUUUGGCUUGGGUUAAAAAAAAAUAAAAAAAUAUAAAAAUAUAAAAAAAUAAAAAAACUAAAACGGAGCAACGCCCUGUUAGCAGUCCAGAAAAGCAAUGACUUUAAAUAGGAAUACUCCACUGUAACUAAUACCAAUAUCUUUUGUGGUAAAUACCAAUAUCUUUUGUGGUAAAACCUGACGGAUUGGGCAGAUAGUAAAGUUGAGGACAGUAUCAGUGUCGUUAAAGUUGCCCCCCCCAAAGCCCAUCAAUCUAAAAAAUUUCAGCAUGGUAUCAGAGCCCACAGUUACGGGCCUAUGCAAACCAAAGGCUUGUCACCUGGAAGUGUGGGCUUGGAAACAAGCUUGAACUCAACAUAGAGCCAGCCUCUGAGUUCUUAAGAGUCACUUCUUGAAAAAACAAGUUUGGACUCUAUUGGAGCCGAUCUUUGAUUUUCAAUUUCUGAUGUGUGGAUCUUCACGUGUGAACCACUAAAUGGGAUUACACAUGAGGGGGCGUGUUAGCAAUCCCACAUCAGUGGGGGUAAAGAAAAGCAAUAACUUUAAAUAGAAUUAUACCCCACUCUAACUAAUACAGAGGCCUUUUGUAAUAAAACCUCAUACCUCACAAAUUAGGCAAGUGCUAAAGUUGAAGAUAGUAUCGGUGUCGUUAGAGCGCCCCCCUCGGACCUGUCGAUAUAAAAUAAUUUCAACACGCCCCACUAUAGAAAACCAAAAUGCAGCACCAGAGCAAAGGGGUGAAAACCUGGAUUUUGGGAACAAACUUCAGCGACUAGAGGUGCGAGCACACCUCUUUGCGUCUUUGUAGCUUCGCCAAUGCACGUCUCGAUAUUAUUUAUGAGGAGUUCUUGAUAAUUACUUUAAAGUGUUAAUAACAGUCUCUUUCUUAUUCUGUUAGGUCCAGUACACCCUACAAUCUUAAAAUAUGCAUAAAUUCACUCAUAGAAUGAGAAAAUGCCUUGUGUCAUUUUCAAGUUUGGAAAAGGAUCCUCCCCGGAUCCUUUUCCUUGGGAUCUUAAGAAUCCCUUGAUCAUGAUCAUGAAUCGUACAUUAUACGGUCAGUUUUUGUUUAGUACUAUUUAUAUUUAAUUUUAAAUUUUAAAUUUUGAAAUGAUUUCUAACUACACGAUAUACGAUGAACGGUCACGAGAUCCCUAGAAUCCCCAGGAAAAGGAUCCGGUGAGAACCUUUUCCGUCAAGUUUGACACCAUUUGAAAAUUGGUGAGACAUGAAAAAGUUCUUGAUCCUCACUCCCCCCCACAAGGCAAGCUUAAACUCGCCCGUGAUAGAAUUUGUACCCGCGCGUUGCUGCAGGGUUGAAAAUUAUAUGAAAGAUAUUGGAAAAGGUUACCACUUCAAUGCUUAUAUACAUCGAACUUAAUCUUAGAUAUAUCCAUAGAAAAUUGGAUGAGAACGACGACCACACAACGGCCUAGGAUCUUGCACAAAGAGAAUAAAAGUAAAAAAAAAAAAGUCUAAAGAGAGUGAAAAAAAACAUUAUAUUUCAUUGCAUUCUAUUACUCUAAUUAUACACUUCACAACGGCCUAAGGAAAGUGGUUUCUUAUUGAUUAAAUGAAGCCUCACUGACUCACACAUACAGACUGAUCUAAACUAUUCAAGAAUGUGCAUCUUCUAGAGCUCACUUGCCAUUGAAGCCUCAUAGUCCUAACCGAGUUAAACCAAUUAAUAAAGCUCAUUUCGAUAAAACUUGCACACAGAAUGAGAAGCCAGUCUCAAGUACAAAUGCUUACUUGAGUAAUAUGAAAAGCCUGCUCAAGACGCUGAAUUUGAAUCCAUUGUUCACCAAAAAAUGUUGUUCAUCUGCAAGCAAAGACAAAGAAGCCAAUUGCAAAAUGACACCAUACUCAUAGUCUCAUAGACCGAAGAUUGUAGGAAGCAUAUCAGCAUAUAGUAUACGACCUUUUGAGCAUGCGAGGCAACUGUUCCAAGUCGAUCCUUAGCAUCCCGUGCUUUCGACGAUCAAAGUUGAACCUUCUAGACGCCUCCCAUAAAAUCCAUACCUAAAAAGCAAUUCCAAAACUUAUUUCUCAAAGUCCAACACUGGAUUGAAAAAUUGCAAAAACAAACUGGAAAAUUCGAAAGAAUUUAUAAGGCGGUGGGAUGUUGUACAGGGUUGGUACCUGGAGCUUGAGAAAUCAAAGAGCUUGCCAGUUUGGGAAAAGAUGAUAACAACAGCUUCAGAUUCACACAGAAUGGACAGCUCUCCAGCAUUCUUCAAAUCCACUCUUCUCCUCUUUGAGAAGGUCACCUGCCUUGCCGGCAAGUAAUCGAUCUUCCUGAUCUUGAUCUUCUCCCUCAUCAUUUUCUCCAAUUCUUCCUACCCCUUUCAGAAACAAUAAUUCAAGUAAAAUAAAAUAAACCAACUACUUCGAAUUUCCACAUAUAUAUAAAUGUCCACAAACUCAAAAACUACGUUAUAUUUUCUGGGUUUCUGAUAAUUUUAAGGAUUAUUGACCACAAAACCUAGCAUUUCAAAUCUAAAUAAGUAAAACAAAACCCAGAUCAACCCAUCAACCACAAUCAACUGUCCAAUAUUUCGUAUUUACCAAACUUGAUUAACACCCAAAAAAAAAAAGAAGCAAAACUCCCUAAUUUUACAAAAUACAAUCAAAUCAAUAAAACCCAGAUGAUUUCAUGAAGCAAAAAACAAAUUCAAUCAGAGGCAGAACCAUAUAAACCCAGAAAGAAAUUCAAACAUUCCAAAUUUCUGAAGCAACAUAUGACCAUAGAGAUUGAGCGGAGAAGACCAAACAAAACUCUAAAAUCUUGAAAUCACUCACCUUAAAUAGAUAGGGAUUUGAAGGCUGCAAACAAAAGCCCCAAAUCCGAAGAACCAUGAUUUCCUAAAGAAAAAAAUAAAACAAAAGUAAACACCAUGAUGGGGAAUCCAAAGCUAUAAACAAAAUCCCCAAACUUAUACCGGGUCACCACGCCCUUGUCUAUGGAAUCCGACGGAACCCACGCUGGUGAACCCCUUUGAUUUUCUUAUGCUAAGCAGGAGAAAUGGAGGGUGAAUCGGUGCUGUAGCUGGUUGCGAGAUAGAAACAGAGAAGUCGAUGGAAAAUAAGGAAAAGAAAAGUGCCGAGGAAAAGAAGAGCAAGGAAGCAGGGGGAACACCCCAGCUCUUUCAGAGCACUUUCAGCUUUGGCUGGAGCUCGGGGGACAAGCCAGCAAAUAGGGCCUGAGAGCCCGGCUUAUUGACUCCAGCUUGUGGGAGCCCGAGGGACAAGCAGGCCCGAGCACCAGGCCUGUCACGAAUUGCCAACUCGUUAGCCCAAAGGCUAUUUGACGCAAGGCUAACAUCAGCUCCUUUUUUAUUUUUUUCUGUCAGACGCGUGCACUGCACCCGUGCUUUGGGCGCGUCACCCGAAAUGUUUUCAGCGAAUGGGGCAUGCGGCGCAGUUUCAAAUUAUUACCGUUGGGAAACCACGUGGCUUCCCAUGGUCCGUUGGAUCUCAACAGCAAGAAAAUGUGGACCGUCAAAUUUGCAACGGUAAAAAAAAUAAAUAAAUCUUAUUUAAUAUCAACCGUUUGAUCUGGGAUCAACAAUUUAUAUUAUUUUCCUUUAUAAAUAAAAAAAAGAAAAAGUAGUUUUAAAAUUCAGAAAUGUUACCAUUGUGCCAUGUGGCACAAUCUGGAGUGUUGGAAUUCAAUUUUUUUUAAAUCCAAAGGCAGAGAUUAAUUAGUUGAAAAAAAAAUUUAAAAAUAAAUAAAAAUCCGAAAAAAAAAUUUUGAAAUUUUUUAAAAAAAUUUGUUUUUACUUUUCUAUAUAUACCUUCUCAUUAUCAUCUACCUUACACCACAAAUUUAUAUUUUCUCAACUAUUUUCAACCACAUUCUUAUCUUUCUCUCAAAGUUUCAGUCCAAAUUUUUUUAACAAAUGACUACUAAUGCAGGUACGAAUAUGACGCUUCUUGAAGAUGUUGCGUUGUGUACUAGCUGAGAUGCAGUUGCGAAAAAUGUGGAGUCUUAUUCAUACCAAUUAUCUUGAGAAAAUGGGUGGGAAAAGAACCAAAGAAUCAAUGACUCGACAGGGCCUGCAAAUCUAACCCACAACUUGGAUGACUCGACGGGAAUGUGAGGCUCUGCCCAUUCUUGCUUCGUCAUCUUUCCUUCUACACUCUUCAUCCUCUUCCCUCUCAUUUUGGGCCACCUGGAGAUUGAACAUUCCUUCUUAUUGGUUAAACAAUUAUUCCUCUUGCUGAUCGAUUUCCCACAUCAUCCUUGAAGAAGAAGACAUUGUAAAAAUGAAGCAGAAACUAUGAAUAAUGAUAGAGAUCUUGAGAAAAUUGGUGUGAGAUUUGUGAGGAUGGAUGGUGGAUUAUAUAGAGGAUUCAGAAAGGAUUAGGUUGUAGAUAAUGUCACGUGGCAUGCCUUCAUUCGUUAAAAAUCUAAUGGAAAUCUAUCCUCAAAGAUUAUGACACGUGGCGCGACGUGAUUGGUUAAUAAUCUUAUCGGAAAUCCAUCACCAAUAAUUGUAUUUUCGGAUAAUGACACGUGGCGCAACGAGUAUGAUUAAAAAUCUUAUCGGAAAUCUAUCACCAAUAAUUGUCUUUUCGGAUUUUAUGACAUGUGGCUCAACGAGAACGAUUAAAAAUCAUAUCCGAAAUUACAAAUAAAAUUAUUUUGUAUUAUUUUAUAACUUUUCGGAUAAUAACACGUGGCGCAAAGAGAAUGAUUAAAAAUCUUAUCGAAAAUCCAUCACCAAUAAUUGUCUUUUCAGAUUUUAUGACACAUGGCGCAAGGAGAACGAUUAAAGAUCUUAUCCGAAAUUACAAAUAAAAUUAUUUUGUAUUAUUUUAUAACUUUUCGGAUAAUGACACGUGGCGCAAUGAGAACGGUUAAAAUUCUUAUCCGAAAUUACAAAUAAAAUUAUUUUGUAUUAUUUUAUAAAUAAAUAAAAUACUAAUAUUUUAUUGCCUAUUGCUAGGGCUAUUGAAGUGCAACGGUGGAAAUGCAAAAGGCGAUUACUGUUCAAUGGGUGGAUAGCAUAGUGUAUUGCCUGGGGGGUGUUCCCACGCUGGAACUGCUCUCAGCCUGCUUCCAUUUCACUGAUGACAAACACGUGUAAAACAUGGCGCAACUAAAAUCAAAUAGACCAAGCAGCGGCAAAUCCGCCAUUUCACUGUUAGUGAACAAUGCUCUCUCUCACAUGAUGAACGGUAUUUUUGUUGCUGAGUUUAGUAUAUAUAAAUAAAUGUCUUUUGUGAAUGGCAGGGAAUUGGACAAAACCAUCGCUUCUUCUUUUUAAAAGCAUCCUUUUUUUAAUGGGAAUUUUAACAAAAAGCUUUCAGUAUUGUUCAAUUUAACGAAAAACCACAUUUUUACAUUAAAAAGUCAAUCCUGGUACUAUUCACUUUACCCUUUAUUUUGUUUUUAUUGUUAAAACUCAAAAUUUUCAAGCCCUUUUUAUUUGUUUUUCCUUUUUUUUUUUUUUUUUUUGUUAAGUAAAAGCAUCCCCUUUUUUAACUUCAAUGUGCAUUCUCACUUCCUUCCUGACUAUUUCGAACACAAAACAUCAAUACAAGUAAACAGUGAGUCAACACUCUUAGUAUAUUAGUAAAAUGAAAAAAACUUCUUUCUUUUAUUCAAUAAUUAUUAUGAGUUGUGUAUAUUGAUCAACCUGUAAGUAGAUACAAACACUAAUAAUGCAGUUAGUUAGAAAAAAAAAAAUCAUUUUGUUUUCUUUCAAGUUUCUCAACUAACCGGGACCCAAUAUUCCCUUUGGCAUUCUUACACCAACAAAGAAACAACAACGAAACACACAGGAACACAAAAAUUAGGGACCUCUUUUAUCUACUUGCCCACCAUCACAAAUAUUACCUUUUUUUUCUUGUACGGUUUGGUGGUAGGGAAUGAAACCUAGCUACAUUCACUUCUUCUGAUUUGCAGUUGACUGGUUUUUCCAUGAGUGUAAUGCUGAAGCUCGAUGGACCCCAGGCUGUAUAAUAUUCGAAAAUAGUCAUUCCUUAUUUGUCUGUCAAUCACAAUCAAUUUGAUGAGUUUUGCGUACAUGUAAAGUGUGUAUAAUCCUACAGAGAAUAUUUACAUUAGUUAUAAGGCCUCAGCAUUUGAUAUAACUAAAAGACAACCUGUAUCAACUCAUUCUUCGAGUCAAGAAUAUCAGAGCUUUCUUAGAGGGGGAAUAGAUAGGCUCUAAAACCAUGUCUUGGUUUUUUUAUAGUUAUCAUUCUUGUUACUGCUCUUACAUUUCAUACUCCUUCAGAGGCUAGCCAUGAGAAGAACGAUCCUUCUGCAGUUGUUGUGGGCACUGUCUACUGUGACACAUGUUUCCAAGAGGAUUUCUCACAUACCUGUUACAAUUUGGUAAGGUUAAUUCUAUGGAAGAAGAGAAGAUGAAUAGUUUUGGAAUGAAACAGGGAGAGAAGAAUGAGGUUGUUCUUUUCUCUGCAAAGUUACAGAGGAAUAAUUGAUUUCAUUAAUUGUCUCUCACUAUCUUGCACACAACGUGCAAAGAGAGAUAUAAUGCCUUUUACAAAACUGAGCUGGAUCAGUACAAAUUGAAAUAGAUCUCAGCCACACAUUCAGCUAAUAGCUAAGAUCAUCACACAUGGCACUCAUGGCCUUUUAUACCUAUAUACCCUCUCACUUAGUAUUUAACAUAAGUGCAUACACAUAUUAACAUCACAACUUAUUUCUAAUCAGAUUUUGGACUUAUACUUCAACACUCCCCUUUAAGUCCAAAGCUGAUAUAACUCUUAGCUUGUCCCUGAGAUAGUUAAACCUGUCCUUUGGUAAUGCCUUGGUGAAAAUGUCUGCCACUUGUUCUUUGGUAGGACAGUAAACCAAGUCAAUUAUCCCUUGCUGCAAGGCAUCCUUGAUGAAGUGAUAUCUCCUGUCAAUGUGUUUUGUCUUUUGGUGAAACACAGGGUUCUUGGAUAUUGAGAUUGCAGAUGUGUUAUCACACUGCAGAGGGGUUGCAUCAACUUGUAACUCUCCAAAAUCUUCCAGAACAAAUCUGAGCCAUAUGGCCUGAGCUGUGGCUUCAGAAGCACUGAUAUAUACUCGGCUUCUGCAGUAGAAAGAGCAACACAGUGUUGUUUCACAGAGGCCCAUGAGAACACUCCACUUCCAAAAGAAAAUGCAUAGCCUGAGGUGCUUUUGCUGUCUUCAAGAGAUCCUCCCCAGUCACUAUCGCAAAAACCAAUUAAGACUGCCUUCUUGCCUUUCUCAUACUUCAAACCAUAGUCCAAUGUGCCCCUAACAUAUCUGAGCACUCUCUCUUAGCUGUUCCAUAGUGUUUAUUGGUAGGACAAUGCAUAUAUCGAGCUAAUAAACUAGCUGCAUACAUUAUAUCUGGUCUUGUAGCAGUAAGAUACAGUAAACUGCCUACAAGCUUUCUGUAUUUCUCUUCAUCUGCUGCACCACUGCCAUCUUCUUUACUCAACUUUUCAGUAGCCACAAGAGGUAUAGAGACAGAUUUACAUUCUUUCAAUCCAAACUUAUCCAACAGGGAAGAGGCAUACUUCUUUUGAUGAAUGAAGAUGCUAGAUUCUGUUUGAAUUAUCCCCAUUCCCAGAAAAUGAUGAAGAAGGCCCAAGUCUGACAUCUCAUACUUCUCCUUCAUAUCUUCUUUGAACUCAUCCAGCAUGUCUUGAUUGUUUCCAGUAUACACAAUAUCAUCCACAUAUAUGGAGACUAUUAGUAUAUCCUUUUCUCCCCUUGUCUUAGUGUAGAGAGUUGCCUCACUUAAGCUUUUCUCAAACCCACACUUAGUAAAAUAACUGUCAAUCUCUCCAUACCAGGCUCUAGGUGCCUGUUUUAACCCAUAAAGAGCCUUAUGCAAUUUGUAGACCUUGUCCUCCCUGCCAUUAACUACAAACCCCUCAGGUUGAUCUACAUAUACUUCUUCCUGCAAUUCUCCAUUCAGAAAAGCAGAUUUAACAUCUAGUUGAUAUAAUUUCCAGCUUCUCUGUGCAGCAAGAGCUAUCAAGGUUCGGAUUGUGUUCAAUCUUGCAACCGGGGCAAAAGUCUCAUUGUAGUCAAUUCCUGGUUUCUGCACAUACCCCUUGGCAACUAGUCUUGCCUUGUUCUUUUGGACUGAACCAUCUAAGUUCAACUUAGUUUUGAACACCCAUUUAACUCCAAUCACCUGCUUAUCACUUGGUCUGUCAAGCUCCCAAGUUCCAUUCUUCUCAAUCAUUUGCAGUUCUUCUUCCAUUGCCUUUAUCCAAGCCUGAUCUUGUGCAGCUUCUUCGAAUUUUUCAGGUUCCACAAUACAGAGAUUGCACUGUGCCAUAAUAUCAUUUAUGUUUCUCCAUUUCACUGGAGUAUGAUCAUAAGACUGAGGGAUCUCAACAGAUUCUUGAAUGCUGCUUUCUUGUUCUUUAGUAUGAGAGGAGGUAUAUGAACUGGAGGCACUGUCUUGAAUCUCAUCCAACUCAUGUGAAUUCUGAAUGUGGGUCACAGCAACAGAAUUCUCUGAAUGUUUCUUCCAAUUCCAGGUUAUAGUUUCAUCAAAAACUACAUCUCUUGAAAGAAUUAACUUCUUAGUGCAUGGAUCAAACACUCUGUAUCCCUUCUCACAUGUAGCAUAUCCAACAAACACACCUUUGACACUCUUAGCAUCUAGCUUCUGUCUUAUUUCAGAUGGUAUAUGCAUAUAGCAUACUGAUCCAAACACCUUUAAAUGGCCAACCCCUGGUUUUCUGCCACUGUAAGCCUCAAAUGGUGUUAAAUUAUUGAGUGCCUUUGUAGGUGAUCUGUUCAAAAUGUACACAGCUGUGUGUACUGCUUCUGCCCACAGAAAGUAUGGCAUGCUUUUAUCAUGAAGCAUUGCCUUAGCCAUUUCUACAACCGAUCUAUUCUUCCUCUCCACUACUCCAUUUUGUUGUGGAGUGUAGGCCAUAGAUAACUGUCUUUGAAUCCCUGCAUCUUCACACAGUUUGUUGAAUUCACAAGAUGUGAAUUCUCCCCCUCUGUCACUCCUCAAACAUUUUAUCUUAAAGUCACAUUGUAAUUCCACCAUGGACUUGAAUUUUCUAAAACAUAUCAAUGCAUCUGACUUGUAUUUCAGAAAAAAUAAACCCACAUCAUUCUUGUACAGUCAUCUACAAGAAGCAUGAAAUAUUUGUUGCCCGCAAGUGAAUCAUUCUGCAUAGGACCACACAAAUCCACAUGCACCAGUUCUAGAGGUUUACUUGCUCUCCAUGCUUGAUUCUUUGGAAACCACUCUCUAUGUUGUUUUCCCAAACUGACAACCUUCACAAACUUCAUCCAUUUCUUCUAAAACUGGGAGACCAUGCACCAUUUCUUUGUUUUUAAGCUGCUGAAGACCCCUAACAUGCAGAUGGCCUAGUCUCUUGUGCCAUAUCCAAGUAGACUUAGAAAUACCUGCCCUCAGUACAACCUGAUCAUUUGGUAUCAGUGUCAAGGGGUAACACCUGUUCUUUUUCAUUUCAACUUUGAGUACAAGACAAUCCAAUGAAGGUCCAUCAAAAAUACUGCACAUCUUUCCCCCAAAUAACAGAUAGUAACCGUGUUCAUCCAUUUGCCCCACACUUAACAGAUUUUCCUUCAACCCAGGUAGAUACAUUACAUCUUUGACAUAUUUUCUGCCUUUGCUAGUAUCUAUCAUAAGUGUUCCAAAACCUGCCACAUUCAUGAGUUCCCCUGUGGGCAUUUGAACCUUGCCAACCACAUUUGUCUUCAUGUCUAUUAACAAAUUAGAAUCCCCUGUCAUAUGGUUGCUACAACCACUGUCUACAUACCAUUCUCCAUUCACUUUUGAUUCAGUGAUUGUGCUAUUUGCAUAAAACAGGUUCCCUGUCACCUCUACCUGAUUAGCACUAUUUGCCUUUUGCACUAAUUUACCUACUGUGCACUCUCUAGCCCAGUGACCAAACUUUUCACAGUUAUAGCAUUUAGGUUUCCCUUUAUACCUACACUCUCCAAAGUGAAACUUAGAACAUACCCUGCACUGUGGUUUUGUACCUAUCUGCCCCAUUGACUGUGCAUUAUGUGCAGGACUAGCAGGAAAUUUCUGCUGAAACUUAGGUUUUGAACCCCAUUUCUUGCCCUUAUUAUUCCAAUUUUUCUGGAACUGAGAUGAACCAGAUUGACCUUCACCCCUAUUCUGCUCUUUUGAAUUCACUGAGAAAGAUGAGAAUGCUUUACCAGUAGUAUCAACAGUAUGCAGAUCAAACCGUUGUUCUUGACUCUUCAAGAUUGCAACUACUUCCUGCAAUUCUACAGUCUCUAGACACUUUUUGUGUUUUCUAUAACCAAACAGAUAGAAUCAUAAGGUUUACUAAGACUAAUCAGAACCUUCUGCACAAGUCUCUCAUUCGACAGAGAUUCACCAAAUGUUCUCAUUUGAUUAAUUAGCUCAUUCAGCCGUGUAAGAUAGCUAGAUAAAGACUCAUCAUCUCUCAUCCUAGCAUAUUCAAACUCUCUCCUAAGAUUCUGCAAUUUCACAGAUCGUACCUGAUCACCACCAUGAUACUCCCCGUAUAACAAAUCCCAUGCCAUCUUAGCUGAUUCGGCAUUGGCGAUUCGUGGGAAGAUCUGAUCCGAGACUGCAUUUUGAAUGAUUCCUAGAGCCUUCGCAUCCUUCAUGAACACAGCAGCCAUUUCUUCAUCGACUGCAUCGUCCGAUGACCCUUCAACUUCCUUCUUCUUCGAGUCAGGGGUUGUAAUCCCUUUGUCCACCAGCUUCCAUAACCCAAGCGAUUUGAAUAUCGUUACCAUCUUAAUCCGCCAGAACUCGUAGUUCUCACCGGAGAAGAUUGGGGUUCUCACCUCCGAGCUUCCAGAUCCAGACAUCUUGAUCCGUCUGUUGCUUUCUCGCCUCAAAUGAAAACUCCGGCGACUUUCACCGAGCUUUGACUUAGCUUAGUGACUUCACAGCUUCACGCCCAGAUUCAAUUGAUCGAAAAUCGGCUCUGAUACCAUGUUACAAUUUGGUAAGGUUAAUUCUAUGGAAGAAGAGAAGAUGAAUAGUUUUGGAAUGAAACAGGGAGAGAAGAAUGAGGUUGUUCUUUUCUCUGCAAAGUUACAGAGGAAUAAUUGAUUUCAUUAAUUGUCUCUCACUAUCUUGCACACAACGUGCAAAGAGAGAUAUAAUGCCUUUUACAAAACUGAGCUGGAUCAGUACAAAUUGAAAUAGAUCUCAGCCACACAUUCAGCUAAUAGCUAAGAUCAUCACACAUGGCACUCAUGGCCUUUUAUACCUAUAUACCCUCUCACUUAGUAUUUAACAUAAGUGCAUACACAUAUUAACAUCACAACUUAUUUCUAAUCAGAUUUUGGACUUAUACUUCAACAAUACCAGCCAUUUCAUUUCAGGUAAAUUCAUCUCAAAUUUUCAACAAGUUCUUCAUCAAAUUUAUUUUUAUAUUGUAAUCCGGCUAUAAAACAGACAACCGUUCAAUGAUUUCCGUACACCUUCUCCUCAUAAACAGACGUCCGUUCAAUGAUUUCCUUACACCUUCUCCUCCAUACACUCAUGUUUAUUUUGUAAUUUCUAAAUUCAAAUGAAUCAAAGAAAAUCAAAAUAACGAAAAAAACAAGUGUACAAAAUGAAAAAAAAAAAGAAAGCAAAAUCCAAGAAAAUGACUAAAAACCUUUAUACAAGUAUUUCCUAUAUCUGAGUCAAAUAUACAACUAUGAAAAGUAAAUAACAAAUCAAUUACAAAAAAAUCUCGCCUAACUCCUUGGUUGUAAGGCUCUGCAUUCAAUCACGAUUUCUUUCCAGACAACGAGUGGUAAGGAUAUUAUUUCUCUUGAAGAAAAGUUGGAGGAUAUGUCAUUUGUAUGUGUUGAUAUCAUUGUCGCCACAUAUGUAUGUCAUCAGUAACUUUAAAUGACUUAUCCCCAUACAAAGUAUAAUAGUUGGUCUAAAUGAUUUAUCCCCAUACAAAGUAUAAUAGUUGGUCUAAAUGAUUUAUCCCCAUACAAAGUAUAAUAGUUGGUCUAAACCCUAAUUCCAUAAACGACCAUACUGUUUAAAUGAAAUAAUUGCUCGGUUCCAUUUUACCCCCACAUUUUCUGCUUUUGUUUUGUUGCAAGAGUUUAACUUGUUAUUUGGAAUAUAUUGUUCACAGAAAGCACAUGUUCAGAAAUUUUUGGCUACUGAAGAUGCACUGAAAAAAGCUGCAGAAGUUAGGGAUCUAUGUCAAAAACUUAUUAAACGCUUGCAUGGCAAUACUGAUGUAAUUUCUUCAGGAACAUCACAAAAUGUGGGCAGUCUUAGGCAACUUGAGGUAAAUCUUCCUUGCAUAUUAAAAGUAUUAACUACCAAUAGUUUGGGUGGAAAUAGCACCAUGGGUGACAGGUUUGAUUAGUUUCAGUCUUUUGAUCCUUUUCAUAGUUGUAUACUGUAUACUAGGUUACUUUUAACCUGCACUGUGUUAUCAUCUGGUUUUUUACAGUCUUCCAUUUUCUUUGUGUAGCUGGAGGUUUGGGCCAAGGAAAGAGAAGUUGCUGGCUUGAGGGCUAGCUUGAAUACACUGAUGUCUGAAAUACAACGCUUAAAUAAAUUAUGUGCGGAAGGGAAAGAAGUUGAAGGUUCUUUGAAAAAGAAGUGGAAGAAGAUUGAAGAAUUUGAUUACCGCAGAUCAGAACUUGAAAUCAUAUAUACCUCUUUACUAAAAGUUAACAUGGUAAGGAUCUCAGCUUCAAUAGUGCUUAUAAAUUUACUAGUAACUUCAUAUACUGGCAUUGUAUAAGCCAUGUCUCGUCAUUCCAUGAAGUGUCGGCUCUUUUUCUUUAAGUUCCAGGCAAAAGGUCAUAUAUAUAAUGUUGAAUUGUAAUCUUGUCUUGGCCCAAGACAAUUGAUCAGGCCCAUACACAAAGAAAGAUUCAUGCACAUGCUAGAGAGUUCUAGCAAAUUCAAGUUGGUGGAAUGCAUGCAUAAAUAUCCAAGGCUUUUUGUAGAAAGAUCUAGAAUCUUGUAAAAUUGUGUGGUUGUUAAGCACUAGCUAGAAAGUUCUAGCAAUGUCAAAGUUGGCAAACGUUGCCUAUAAAUAGGUGAGGUGCUAAGCUAUGUGAUGUAACAACCAAGAGAGCAUGUAGUGAGAAGUGAGAGUGCCAAGUGAGAAGUGAGAAGAAGCAACAAAGCUUCUAAGAGUGUUUGAGUGUUUCCUCUUGUACUAAGUUUGUGAGUGAAUAAAAAUCUUGUGUAAUACUUUUGAGUAUUCUUUCUUUCUCUUGCCUAUCAAUUCCGCUGCAUUACAUUCUUCUUUGAGAGAUAAACAUCUCCAAAGUAGUGAAAUCUUUUUAAGCCCCAACAAUAUGCAUGCUCUGAUGUCUUAUUUUGUUCUAUUUCAUUGUUUGUGUGCCUGCUUAAUGGGUGCUUUCAGUUCGAACUUACAUUUACUGGAUAAAAGGUUUGGAGGGUUCAGACGCUGCCCUAGCAUCAAUCCUAGAGUCCCUGGAAUUCUGUUCGAAACUUCGUGGUUCUGAAGCUAGUGUGUUGGAGGACAUGGUAAAGGCAAUUAAUUUGGUCCAUACACCACAGGAUCUUGUUGAAAGUGGUCAUGUGUUGUUGAACCAUGCCUAUAGAGCUCAACAAGAAUAUGAAAGGUAAAACUUCACAUGGCCUUAUUUUACAGGAAACUAGACUGUGUUAUCCUCCAAAACCCGAAAGUUUCAGUAAGCGGAACUCGGUCAAAUAAUACAAACUUGAAUUCCAUUUUGAGCAUUGUGAGAUGAAGGAAAGUGCCAGAAACUGCUUUCUUAUUUCAUUUAAGAUUCACAUGGUUUGUUGCUCUGGAUGUUCUGAAUUUUUUUCAUCCAGAUUCUAAAUAUAUUACAGUUUGCUCUUUGUUCUAAUCUGUUGUCAAAACUCAGGAUGCAUAGCUCUGGUGUUACGUUAAAUUCAUUCUAAAUAUUAAACCAUUCAAAUAUGUGAUGGUUAUUAAUUAGCAUUUUAGGAUCUCUGACUAUUUGUUAGAUUAACAUGCACUUAAUUUGUAUCUACUACUCUGCAGGACAACGAGCUAUUGUUUAAAUGUGGCUGCUGAGCAAGAGAAAAUUGUCAUGGAGAAAUGGUUGCCUGAACUUAAGGCUGCAAUUUUGAGUGCUCAGAAGUGCUUGGAAGAUUGCAACUAUGUUAGGGGAUUGGUGAGUGACCACCAUACGCAGAGUUAGCCUGCAUUUUUUAGUUCUAUAGUAGUUGUAUAGACAGUCCAUUUUUCUACGUUAGCAGUACAAAUUCUUUUGUUGUCUUGUUUUUCCCCUCUUUAAUUGUCUGAGCUGCAAUACGUUUCUGCAGCUUGAUGAAUGGUGGGAGCAACCCGCAGCAACUGUUGUUGACUGGGUCCUAGUCGAUGGAUUAAACGUUGCUGCCUGGCAUAAUCAUGUGAAGCAGCUCCUUGCAUUUUAUGAUCAGGAGCACUUGUGAAUAUUAAUCGAGUACUCAGCAAACAAGAUUUUCUCGGGAUCUCCCUGGUCUUCCUGGAUCAAAUUUGCCACUUCUACAAAGCCCUGGUCUCAUUCAUUCUGGCAUUACUAAAACCACCUACAAAGGCCUGGUAGAAACGGCUCAAGCUCGACUUCCUGCUUGGAAGGUGAUUCUAAAGGGAUAACUCAUAGCUAACAGUUUUGUAUAGCUGUGUUUUACAGUUUUAGAUUCAGUUGUAACAGUUUCUGUAACUAAUCUAUGUGAUUAGAGAUUUAAUUAAGCACAAUUAGUCACUAAGCUUUAUUAGGAAAGUGUAUAAAUAUUGAGUUGUAUUUUCCUUACUCAUUAAGAAAGAAAUAAUACAAGGCUUAUUUCUUACAUGGUAUCACCACCUCUCAACUUCACCGCCUCUCGAUCCUUCUUCCUUGCGAUUUCUUCUUCGAUUGGUGCAUCUGCAAAUUCCUCUCGAUUUUUUUUCGACCUUUGAUCUUCGAUCAUGGCGUCUUCGACUUCGUCUCCUGUGCAGCCUAAAGUUGUUGCCCCAAAUCCUGCAAUUCCUUCCCCCAAUUUUGCAGCGAUAAACCCUAAUUCCUCAAAUUCUCUGAUCUCGUCGAUUUCUUCCAUCACUGUUCAGAAUAUCAGUUGUAUGGUUCCUCCGAAGCUUAAGCGUGACAAUUACCUUGUCUGGAAAGCUCUUUUCACUCCAAUUUUCCGACGAUAUAAACUUACCGGAAUCAUUGAUGGAUCUGAAGUUUGCCCGCCGCCUUAUGUUCUUGAUCAAUCUAGUCAAAACUCUGGAAUUCCAAAUCCUGACUUUGAAAUUUGGUAUGAAAAAGAUCAUAAUAUACUGAUUUCGCUGAAUUCUACUCUCUUUGAGGAGAUUAUUCCGUUCACCAUCGGUGUCACAUCGUCUCGAGUACUCUGGCUAAAUCUCGAGCAUCGAUUUGAUGGCGUUUCAGCUGCUUAUAUUCAUCAGCUUUGUUCUCGUCUUCACUCUAUUCACAAAGGUGAUCUUCCUAUCUCGGAUUAUUUACAAAGAAUUAAAGGCCUAUCUGAUUCUCUAAUGGCUCCUAGAGCUUCUGUCUCUGAUCAUGACUUGAUUAUUGCUACGUUAAAUGGCUUACCUAAUGAGUAUGAGUCGUUUAUUGACUCUAUCAUGGUCAGGAUUUCCACCAUAACACUGGAUGAACUUCAUGGUUUGCCGAUCAAUAAGGAAGUCUUCAUGAAUCGUAAAAAGAAAGGCAUUGCCUCAUCUGGUUCUGUGCCUUUUCAUGCCUUUGCUGUGCAGUUUCAACCUUCUCUUCUUCCUACACCGUCACAAUAUUACAAUUCUCCUCAUGCUCAUGUUGCUCAACAGUUUAAUCACAAUGCUCCACCAAAGUUUCACAACAACAAUUGACACGCCCCGAUCCCGAUGUCCUCGAGACAUCGGGAUGGUCACGUGCUGGCCAACACCCGAAGGGUGACGAAAGCCAUUUGAUUUAAGUAAAAGCUGAGAAAUAUACUAAAACAAGCAAUAGGAACUAAUAAUACAAAACUAAAGUUCAACUGCUAAUUAAUAAAAUUAUGGUUAUACACAUAAGUUCAGAGCAUACAUCUAUUACAGAGUACAAGCAGAAUUUAAGAUAGAGAAAUGCUAUAUUACAAUAGGUGUCGAAGCAGAGGAAAUAUAGCACUGAAUCACUGGUAGGGAAAUGCCUCGUAGCUCAAAUCGUAAUCCUCGUUCAUAGGUCCUGAAGGGGGCGCAAAACAAACAUAAGUGGACCAAUUUGAUAUAUAUAUAUAUAUAUAUAUAUAUAUAUAUAUAUAUAUAAUAAAACAGUUAUCAACCUACUAACCCCCAGAUUUAUGAAAACAUACAUAUAAUAAAAACAUAGGUUUUCCGAAACCUAGCAUGUUGUGUAAUGUCUCAAAUUCAUAACUUAUAUAUAUAACAAGCACUAGUGAUUUGUCCAAUAACCUCCAGGCCCCAUGCCGGCUCUCCGUCUUUGAGCAGACAGUCAAAGGAAAAUACACUUCAGGCCCCAUGCCAGCUCCCCAUCUUUGUGCUAAAUAGCCAGAGGAAACACACUCCAAGCCCUAUACCAACACCAAACCGUUGCUCGGGACGGACCAGAAUCUAUCCCUACGUCCCGUAGCGGAAAUGAUCACUAGGUAAGUACAAAACCAUUGAAUAUAUCUAUUUUGAAAAACAACUUCAUAGUAUAAAGUCAUCCAUCAUUUAUACUAUAAAGAGGUAUUCUAAACAUGUUCUAAAUAUCAUAUCGUCAUCCAUCAGAUAUUCUAUAAGAACAUGGGUUAUAUGAAAAAUAGUAGUAAUUUAAUCUAGCCUCAGUAAGCAUGUUAUCUCACAAAACAUUUCAUAAAACAUAAUCAUUAAAUCAUGCUUUUCAUGUAUGCAUUUCUAUUAUUAAAACAUGAUUUCACUCACCGUACACCGAUGGUGCAAAGCUGUACCAAAAAGGAAUAACGGAAUCACCGUUAAUAAUUGCACAUAUUCACAUAAAGGGGUACCUUUAGUCAAACUCUAUUCAAACGAUUGAAUUUGGAAAAAAAAACAUACUUCAAAAACAGGUCCAGGACGUCGAAAUUAGCCUAGGAGAGGUCCCGGACGAAACCCAGAAAAGUCAACUUAAAAAGUCAACGUUAACCGUUGACAGGUCAAAGUCAAAGUCAACGCUAACCGUUGACCAAGUCAACAGUCAACUGGGUCAAACGGUCAAAGUCAGACUGGGCUUGGAUUGGGUUGGGCCGAUUGGGCCCUAAAGGUUUGGGUUUGGAUUAAAGGUUAAUGGGUUUGGGAAAGGGUUGAAAGCCCAAGCUCUAAAUGGCCCAAAGGCCUUAAAUAUAAAGGUUUCUAUACACUCGGGCCUAAGGCCCUGAAUAAAAUGGCCCCAGGCCUUAAUUCUUAAAACUAUAAUUAAACAAAACCUAAAAAGGUUUUGGGUUGAUCUAAUGGGCCACAGGCCCUAAAAGAAACGGCCCGAAGGCCUUUAAGGGUUUUAAAGAAAUAAAACAAAAACAAAAACAAAAUAAAAACAAAAGGAAACAGGCUGGGCUAAAACCAAAACGGGCUUAAGGCCCAUGGGUUGGGAAACGACCUGAAAGGCCUUGGGUGCGCCGGGGAAGAACGCCGGAGCUUCUACAGCUCCGGCCGACUGCAAACCUAGUUUUUUAGGGUCCGAUCUAGGUAUCAAAUUGAAGUACAAGACGAGAAGAACAACGUUAUACCUUCCUUUUGCCGUAAAACGGUCGGAGGUGACCGAAAACUCCCUCGACACCCACGGCCUCCCCGGAGCUAGGUGUGCCUUCCCCCAACCUGAUUCCAUUCUAAAACCUCAACAACAACGUAAUACCUAAUUAAAACACAUUCACGCAAGAUUCUAAGACGAAUUAGGAAGAAUUCGAGGCUUACCUAACCAGAGGAAUAGGAAAUCUCGCCGGAGAGUUCCUUGGUUUCAUCCUCACAGCACGGGAAAGAGAUAGAGAGCUGAUGAGGGAUUGAUGAUGGUGAUGACUCCUUCUAGCACGAGCGUGCCUUUGCGUGUGAGUGUGUGUGCGAUUUCAGUGAAGAAAAGGAAAGAGAUGAGGAUUCCGAGAGAGAGAGAAGAGAAAGACAGAAAGAAGAAGAUGAAGCUCACGGGAGGGGUAGGGGACAGAGAGAGCAAUGAGAAAAGUCUUGGGGUGCUGCCAUGUGGCAGCUUGGGAAUAAUCCUGAAUGGGUAGUCAAAAUAGGACUAAAUUGAUAAAUUCAUAAUAUUUUGGGGAUACAUACAUAAUUAUAUUUUUAUAAAUGGGGGUGGGUGUAACAACAAUCGUGGCCAAGGAUCUUUUCAACGCAAUAAUCGUGGCAAUUUUCACAAUAACUUCAAUAAUCCUCGAGGUAACUUUCACAAUUUUGGUGGUAAUCAUGGCAACUAUAGAAACAAUUUUGGAAAUCGUAACAAUUUUGGUGGAAAUCGCUCUAAUUCUGGUGGAAGAACUCCCUGUCAAAUAUGUCAUUCCUUUGAUCAUGAAGCUAUUGACUGUUAUGAGAGAAUGAAUCAUGCUUUUGCUAGAAAAAUCCCUCUUACAAAACUUGCUGCUAUGUGUGCUCACACUAGCUCUCAGCAAUCUCAUCCUAUUUGGUUGAUGGACUCGGGUGCUACAUCCCAUAUUACUAAUGACAUAUCUGCAAUUCAAUCUCCAUAUCCAUACUCUGGCGAAGACAAGGUGUACAUUGGUGAUGGACAAGGUAUGGAUAUCCAUCACAUUAGUAAUUCUAUCAUUCCAACACCACAUGCUAAUUUCAGAUUGAGUAAUGUCCUUUAUGUUCUACUGAUGAAAUUCAAUUUACUCUUUGCCUAUCAAUUCUUAAAAGAUAAUCAUUGCUCUUUGACUCUUGAUUCUGAUGGUUCUGAAAUCAAGGAUCAUUCUUCUGGGAUGACGAUUUUUCGAAGGCCAGUUAAAGCAGGAUUUUAUCCCUUUCAAGGUCUCUCCAAUGUGCCCUUCUCACAUUCUGCUAUGUUCAGCACUAAAGCAUCAUUGAAGACCUGGCAUAACAGGCUCGGUCAUCCUUCUUCUGUUAUGUUUAGACAAGUAUUAAAUAAGCAUAAUCUUGUUCACAAUAGGGACAAGUUUGUAUCUUUCUUUUGCACAUAUUGUGCCAUAGGCAAAAAUCAUAAGCUAUCAUUUUCUUCCAAUACUAGUUCUGUGUCUACUAGUUUAGAGUUGCUACAUUGUGAAGUUUGGGGUCCAUCUCUAGUUUCUUCUGUCAGUGGUUACAAGUUUUACUUGUUGAUUGUGGAUGAGUUCACCAAAUAUACUUGGAUGUUUCCUAUGAAAACUAAAUUUGAGGUUUUCUCUAUAUUUGUAUCUUUCAAAGCUUAUGUAAAGAACAUGAUUGGCAAUAAAAUAAAAAUCUUGCGAUCAGAUUCAAGGGGUGAGUUCACUAGCUUUGUGUUCAACUUUUUUUUUAUAAAAUAGUGGUAUUUCUCAUCAAUAUAGCUGCCAUCAACUCUUGAACAAAAUGGAUGUGUUGAGAGGAAGCAUAGGCACCUUACAGAGACUGCAUGGACUCUAUUGGUUUCUUCUCAAGUCCCACACAAAUUCUGGGUUGAAGCCUUCUCUACUGGCAUUUAUCUCAUCAACAGAUUACCAAUUUCAAGACUGGACAAAUCUCCAUGGGAACUCCUCUUCAAGACAACUCCAGAUUAUUCAAAAUUAAAGGUGUUUGGCUACAGCUACUGUCCUUGGCUUAAACCUUAUGUUUCCUCAAAACUGGAAGGCAAAAGCAAGCAUUAUGUCUUUCUUGGUUAUAGUCUUCAGCACAAAGGAUAUCGGUGUUUAGAUCUUCAAUCUUAGAGAAUCUACAUUUCAAGGCAUGUAUUGUUCAAUGAGGGGCAUUUUCCCUUUCAUGAUGCUUAGAAGUUUUCUACCUCAUCAACACCACAGUCUCCAGUGCAUGCUUCUUCCAUAAAAUUUAAUCUUUCAUUUCCUAUAUCUCAGCAUGUUUCACCAUCUUCCACAGUGCCUGCAUCACAGUCAGCAGCAUCUCCAUCACUUACAACAUCUCAGCAACCUCUAUCUUCACAAGUACCAUCUCAGUUCUCUCUACAAGUAUCAUCAUCAUCUCAUUCAUUACCUUUGCAACCAGAUCAUUCAUCUUUAAUUCAGCAAUUGAUUCCUACCAACUCUCAUCUUAUGAUUUCAAGGUCUAAAGCAGGUAUCUUUAAAUCAAAAGCUCUAUCUGCCACCAAACAUCCAAUUGAUAUUGAUACUUUUGUGUCUACCAUUCAUCUACAAGCCUCGAAGCAUGCUCAUUGGAAUCAAGCCAUGCUCGAAGAGUUUCAGGCUCUAAAAACACAGGCACUUGGACCUUAGUACCUCAAUCUCCACAUCAAAACAUUGUAGGCUGUAAAUGGGUGUUUCGGAUAAAAAGAAAACCUGAUAAUACAUUUGACAGAUACAAGGCUCGCCUUGUAGCCAAAGGAUUUCACCAACAAAAAGGUAUUGACUUCACAUACACCUUUAGUCCAGUUGCCAAACCAGUGGCCAUUUGAAUUCUAUUAACUCUUGUUGUUCAAAAUGAUUGGUUUCUCAAUCAGUUGGACAUUAGUAAUGUAUUUCUUCAUGGUACACUCAAAGAAGAGGUGUUUAUGCAACAGCCUUCUGGUUUUAUUGAUGCUUCUCAGCCUUUAUUUGUUUGCAAGCUCAAUAGAUCUCUUUAUGGUUUAAAGCAAGCCCCUCGUGCCUGGUUUGAUAAGCUUGGUCAUACAUUACUGUCUCUUGGUUUCACUAACUCUUAAUCCGAUUACUCCUUAUUUGUGCAUACAUAUCCUUCCUUUGUGAUUGUAUUAGUCUACGUUGAUGACAUCUUAGUCACCAGUCCAAAUGCAUCCGAUUGUCAAGCUUUCAUUCACAAGCUCAGUUCUUUGUUUCAUGUCAAAAACUUAGGGCCUCUUCACUACUUCCUUGGUCUUGAAGUUCAUAGAUCAUCUGAAGGUAUUUUCUUGUCACAUGGUAAAUAUAUCAUAGAUCUUCUUAUCAAGAUCAAAAUGGAAGGAUGUAAACCUUGUGCCACUCCUCUUGGCACUCAUAAAUUGGAUCACAUUGGAACCUUAUUGUCUGAUCCAAAGGAGUACAGGUCUAUUGUUGGUGAUCUUCAAUAUUUAACAUGGACAAGGUCGGAUAUCUCUUUUGAUGUGAACCAUGUGUGUCAAUUUCUUCAUUGUCCUUGAGAUACUCACUUUCAGGCAGUUAAACGUAUUCCCAGAUUUCUCAAAGGCUCAGUUGAUCAAGGACUCUAGUUUAAAAAGAGUUCUCUGCAGCUAACAACUUUUUCGGAUGCCGAUUGGGCUGGAUGUGUGUUUGAUAAAAGGUCUAAAUCUAGAUAUUGUAUUUACUUGGGUUUCAAUCUUAUAAGUUGGAGUGCAAAAAAGCAGCCAACUGUUACAUGAUCUUCAACUGAAGCCGAGUAUCAAUCCUUUACUUUUACUACUGCAGAAAUUACCUGGAUCUGCAAGAUUUUCAAGGACAUCACUUUUCCUCUUUCUCAUGCUCCUACAUUAUGGUGUGACAAUGUUUCUACCAUAUCUUGGCUUCAAAUCAUGUGUUCCAUGCAUGAAUAAAGCAUGUCGAAGUUGAUUAUCAUUACAUCAAGGAGGUUGUUCUUGCCAACCUAGUCAAAAUUCUGUAUGUCAACUCUGAGCAUCAGAUUGUAUACAUUCACACUAAAUCACUGUCCAAGGCAAGGUUCAAGUAUCUUCAGUCCAAGUUUUCUCUGGGUUCCCCUCCAAUUAGCUUGAGGGGGUGUAAAGGGAUAACUCAUAGCUAACAGUUUUGUAUAGCUGUGUUUUACAGUUAUAGUUUCAAUUGUAACAGUUUCUGUAACUAAUCUCUGUAAUUAGAGAUUUAAUUAAGCACAAUUAAUCACUAAGCUUUAUUAGGAAAGUGUACAAAUACUGAGUUGUAUUUUCGUUACUCAUUAAGAAAGAAAUAAUACAAGGCUUAUUUCUUAUAAAUCAGUCAUAUCUUGCUGGUCGAGCUAGUCUUGUUCAGUCUUGUUCAAUCUUCCACCUCCACUAUCCCAGUAUAUGAUAUGCAGACAGGGUUUAGGGUUUAAAGUUUAGGUAUGCAGAGAAGGUUGGGCCAAGUUUGCCUUCCGAAGUCUCUUGGUGGGCUUGGCUUGAAAAACAUAAGAGUUAUGAACAACUCUUCUUGCUAAGAACUCUUGGAGAUUGAUGGAGGGGAUAAUGGUCUGUGGGCAAAAGUUUUUAGUGGCAAGUACAUUGACCAUUGGGUCAAUUACUCAAAGAUCAAACUGCUUUAGGCUCUUCUUGCACUUGGAAAAGUGUUCUUGAAAGGACUAAACUUUCGUACUACUUUGGCGAAUUUGGAAAUGGUAACACGGUAAAAUUUUAGACUGACAGAUGGGCUAAAUGUGGUAUUUUGCUUCAUUAUGGUAGCUGCCUGCUCUCGGACAAUAUGCUUAAGGUUACCGUAGCUGAUUAUUGUUACAAUAAUGUUUGGGAUAUACACUACUUGUUUUACCAAAUGAGGUUGUUGAACAAAUUCUUAGCAUUUUAGUUGGUUUUGAUACUUUGGAGGAUAAGUGUAGCAGGUGUGGAACACAAGUGAUGUUAAUAUGUUGGCCAUUAAUUCUAGUGGUUUUCCUAAUUUGCGAUAGAAUCUCAUUUGGAAUCUUCAUAUUCAUUCGAAAGUUUAGAGUUUCUUAUGGCUGCUCACUCUUGAUAAGCUCAUAACUAAUGAUCAAAGGCUGGAGGGAUUACGACUGAUAACCCUGAGUGUUAAAGAUGUACAUGUGGCUUUAAAUCAACGCCUCAUGUUUUUAAAGAUAGUCAUAAGGCAAGCAAAGUUUGGCUGAUGUUGAGGAUGUAUAACCAACUAAAUUGAUUUUCAUGAUUUUCUUCAUUUUAAUCUUACGACUAAUUCACUCAUAUUGGGAGGUUUAGAGUGGAGGUUAGUUUUUUCGUUGGUUGUUGGUUUAUUUGGUAUUGGCAAAAUAAUUUUUUUUAGCAAGAUUUUGCAAUGUUUGAUGAGCCUACAGUUGCUAUUUGUGCAUAUCUUGUGAGUAUUAGCCUUCAACCAUUCACGAAGAUUGGUCAAUGUCGUAUAAUUGAAUCUUUGCUCCACUGAGAAGCUCUUUAUUCAAAUUGGUAAUGUUGAUGGUUGUAAGAAGGAAAAUAAGAAUUUUUUACCUAACCAACCGACAGUAGACAAAGGAUAUGUUGAUGUUGAUGUUGAUGUUGAUGGUUGUAAGCUCUCUUCUCUUUUUUUUCCUCCCCUCCUGUUUAAACGCUCAAAAUUUUAUCUUUGUAAGGAGAAAGAAGAAAAAAAAGUAGAGAGGGAAGAGAAAUAUCUAGGAAAGAAGACUGGAGGGGAGAAAAAAAGGGAGGAGAAAGAAUACCAUCCUUAUAACUUGGUCCCUUAUUGAAUGAAAGGACAGGCUUCUGCUUGGCUUAAUACCAACUUCAGUCCAAUUGUCUUCUUGUUUUGGAAAUUGACAACUCCAAGUGAUGAAAAAACAUCACAUGUAUUAUUGUACGGAUGAAAAGUGUUGCUUUUUGCACUAUUGCAUUUAAAGUGAUUAGAAAUUCCGUGAAAAUUUCCAAUAUCUCGUUGCAUUGAUGAACGGACGAGAUAUAAAAAAAAACAAAAUUUUAUACCUUCAUCUACUACGUUGAUGUAUUAUAUCCAAAACCCUAAAAUUCUCCUCAUGAAUGAUGAGUCUAAUAUUUUUCAGAGUUGUUAUCAGCACUUGCAAACAGUGUUUUAUGCAUGUCGGUCUCGAAGUUAUCAAUGAGGGGUCAUGAUAAUUAUUUUAAAUUGUUAAUAACAUUAUCUUUUCUUAUUCUCGGUAGGCGGCUACAUCCCUACAAUCUCAAAAUAUGUUUAAAUUCACUCAUGUACAAUGAGAAAAUGCCAUAUGGCAGGUUUGACACAGUUUGGAAAUUGGUGAGACAUGAAAAGUUCCUUAAUCCUCCCUCGCCCACACGGCAGCCCUCAACUCGACCGUGAUGAGAAGACAUGACAUGUCUUUUGCGAAUGACAGGGAAUUGGACAAAACCAUCCCUUCUUUGUUUCAAUAAUUGUUAUGAAUUAUCGUAUAACUAUUAACCUAUAAGUAGAUAUGAACAACGACUUAAUUGCCACUCAUUUUCACUAUAAAAGGAAAACAUUUCAUCACAAGAUUGCAGUGGGGACAGAGAGGGUUGUGGUUGUCGUAGAUAAACCUAGAUUUGGAUAUGAUCUGGACCUCAGUGUCUGGAACCUGCAAGUCCACAAAUCUUGAUCGAUGAUUGGUGUGCAAGUCAAAUCAGGGCCGUUGGUUGUGUGUGGUGGGCUAGGAAAAUGAAUUAAUGGAGACCGUUGGAUUCAAUUUGUGCGGCCAAGAUUUGUUGACUUGGAGGCUCCGAACACUAAUGUUUGGAGUGGAUCCAAAUCCAAUAAACCUAGGUUUCAUCACAAAGCAGGAAAUUGAAUUCAGAACAAAACAAACAGAUUGUGAGUAGGAAAAGACAGAUUUUUUAGUGUGUCAAGAACACUGUUUAGUACACUGAGUGUAAUAAUACAAUUGGUUGGAAACUUGUAAAAAAAAAAAAAAAAUUUCCAACUUUUUAUAUCAUAUGAUGUAUCAGACCGUGUUUCCAACAUCAACGAGAUUUGGAUGUCACGCAUACAAAUAAAGACUUGUUGGGGCUUAAAAAGACUUCACUACUUUGGAGAUGUUUAUCUCACAAAGAAAAAUGUAAUGCAGCGGAAUUGAUAGGAAAGAGAAAGAAAGAAUACUCAAAGUAUUACACAAGAUUUUUAUUCACUCACAAACUUAGUACAAGAUGAAACACUCAAACACUCUUAGAGGCUUUGUUGCUUCUUCUCACUUCUCUCUUGGCACUCUCACUUCUCACUACUUACUCUCUUGGUUGUUACAUAGCUUAGCACCUCACCUAUUUAUAGGCAAGGUUUGCCAACCUUCCUUAUUUCUAUAUAUUUCUCGCUUUUUCCUAAUGUCCACAUAAUUUUACAAGAUUCUAGGUCUUUCUACAAAAGACCAUAGAUAUUUUAUGCAUGCAUUCAACAUACAUGCUUUUUCUAGAAUUCUCUAGCAUUUGCAUGAACCAUCCAUUGUGGUUAUGUUGCCUUUUUCAACAUGGGUUGGAUCCAUUGUCUUGGUCCAAGACAAGAUUACAAUUCAACAAGCCUUUUAUUAAUGUCACAUUAUUAUGUCUUGAUUGUAAGAUUAAACUUAUAAAAAAAUAUAAGUUAAGAGAUUAAGCUCAUGAACCACAAAUGUAUUCAAGUAUUAAAAUCACAAUUCGAUAAACACAAUGACAAACUAACCCAUAAACAUAGUAGAAGAAAAAGCCAAAGCAGACUUCUAAACAAUGCACCUUCUCCUCUCUUGCAAAACCAAAAGUACUCAAACUAACAAUAGGUCUUAGUUCAAUAUUGAGUGUGCAUUUUGUGAAAGCAGUGGCCACUAUUUAUAAUAGAUUAAUCCUAAUAAUUCUCUUAUUAGAAACACCAUAGGAUACCAACUAUGAAUCCAAAUCAUAUCUGAAUUACAAUCCUACAAGAAUUAGGAUAGUUUUAAGCUUUCUAGCAAGACUUUUCUAUGUCAAUUGAAACACUACAACCGGCUAUAAUAUUUAAUUUCAUACUCAUGUUCUAACAUUCUCCCACUUGAGUAUGAAACAUAUUAAUCACACAGUCUUUCAUAUUCAUAGAAGUGAUCGCCAAAUCUUUUGGAUAGCAAAAGCUUAACCUCACAUACAACUUACCAAUGCAUUUUAAAGUAUGGAACUUAAGAAUCUUUUCUGUUUUAUCACAGAAUUAACCCAAAAAUCACAACAUACUUAAUUUGCACUUUGUAAUUAUGUGAAUGUUGUGUAGCAAAACCAAACCAAUUUGCUCCCACUCAUCUAGGCCAUACUUAACACAACCAAGUUAAGUACAAGUUAAUAUCAACUAUAUUAACUAACAAUCAUUGCAAUACACUGAAUGACUUAUCAGAAUCAAUACAGUGAAUGACUUAUCAUAAUCCACAUAGGAAACCAAAUUCGUGUAGUUGCAAUCUUGUUCCUUAAUUAGCAUUCUUAUCAUAUGACCUUCUAUUCUAGUUUGAAUCAUACAAGCUGUCAAAAAUCAAUCCCAGCUUACUAUCAUGCUCAUAUCUUUAUAUCUUAUAUUCUCCCACUUGAGCAUGAACUAAGCUAAAUUUUCAGCUUCGCAAACUUUUAAUAGAAGUGAUCAAUGUGAUCAAUUAGUCUCAUCGCAUAAGAAAUUCACAUCACAUAUAUUAUAUCUAUACAUUUCAAAAUGUAGAAUCAAAGAAACAUUGCUGCAACCAAUAUGCAAACAGAUUCCAUGAUCACAUGCAUCCAAUUUGUAUUUAUAACAAUGUGUUUUUACUUGACCAGAACAAACACAUAAAUUAGUUUUCUCCCACUAUAUCAAGUCAAGUUUAGCUCCAACAAAUAGCACUAAACUUGUCAUUACUUAAACUAAUUAAGUAAGAUAAAUAAUUCAACCAAUUGCUUCAAUAAAACCAUAAAUUGGUUUUCAGCAUCCAAAUGAAUUAUAAUGACUGGCUUAAAUACUCUUAGCCUUAUGCUUACAUUCGAACAUAUGAUUCUCCCACUUAAGCAUAAGCAAAAUGUACUGCACAACCAAUAAAGAAACCGGAGAUAUGAACCAAUUGGUUCCCAAUUCCUCACCAAUUGCAUAAUCUCAGUUUAGUCAAUAUACUCCUAAACCAUUAUGCAAACAGUCUAUGUAUCAAAAGAUAGUCACAAUCCAUUCAGAAAAACUUAUCUCACAUAAACUCAAAAUCACCAGUUUCAACAAUGAUCAAAAUCAAAAUAGCAAGCACAAUAUUUUUGCAUUCAAUUUGAUCCUAGUUCAAUAUCCAUCAAGCAAGAUCAACCAAAUUUUGAUAAUGUCUGGAUAUAUAUCACAACAAUAUGUCUUGAUUAAAACGAGAUAAUCAAGACCACUAUUUCUUUUGGAGAACUCAAAAUUCAUUUUCCUCCCUAUUUGAGAUUUCAAUGAAAACAUAAUUGCGGAAGCAUGCAUCAUAAAUGAAAUCACAAAUACACCUAUACAAUAAGAAUGCAUCUUAAACUCCAUGAUUUUCACAAUACAAUAAGCACAUGCUUUCUUACGAAUUCAUAAAUUAAAUCAAUAUGCAUUCGGCAAUGUCAAUUUGUGUUGUACAAAAAUAUGGACAACAAGUCACAUAAUCUAAUUUGUUUCUCAUUCCUCUAUAUAAAUGACACAAGCUAAUUCUCAAAAUUUAUAGCUUGACUUAUAUAAUCAUACAAGUAAAUUUUUAAGGCUACGAUCAAUAUAUAUAGCCACAAAAUCUAAUUUGGGUCAACUAAUGAAAAAUAAGAUCAUUACAAGAUAAAACCCAAUUUAUACCAAUGUAUACAGAUUCGCCAUAUAUGCACAAUAACGAUUCUAGCCAAAGCAUAUUUCACAUAUAUAUGUUCAUUCAUCUGUUCACAUAUUUUCUUGUAUGCAUGCAUCAAUAUGCAAAUAAACUUAUGCAAGUUCUAUUUGAUAUAGAUACAAUAAGAUGUGCAUGUGCCGCUCCGUAUAAUUAUAUAUAUAUAUAUCGAGAUUCAUACGGGAAACAAUGCAUAACAUACAAAUCGUUAGCAUUCUUUUAAGCCGUCAGAAAGACUAAGCAUAUUUGCUUCAUCAUGACAAUCGAUGAGACUCAACCUAUACAAAAAUCCUUAAUCAUAUAUGCUCAUAAGUUCAAAUUUUGGCUUAACCAAUGUGAAUGGCAAAGUAGAUACAUGCACCAGCACACUAUGCAUCCAUGUAUAUAUUGAAAUAGAUUCGUGUUUGUGCUUCUUUAUACUUGGAAGCCCCUUGAUAUUAUAUAAUAUAACUUUUAUUAUAUAAUAUCCAUCAAAAUAUAAUUGAUGCACGACACUCAAUUUUACAAGCAAAAUGACAUGAUAUAACAAAUGUUCGAAACUGAGAAGAAAGGUUUAGCAGAAAAGGAUUCAAGAUAAAACCUUAUAAAAGCCCUAAUUCAAUUCAAGAUAAAACCUUAUGAAAGCCCUAAUUCAUCAUGCUCUAAAUCAUCACAGUAUAAUCAUGCAUAUAAGAGAACAAAUUAAUCAUGCAUGAAACAAUGAACUAAGUUACCUAAAUGCAUCACUGGACCUAUAUUCGUUGACCCGACCGAGAUUUCUCGACCACAAAUCAACAAAACAAAUUACUCAUCAAUCCUCGAGACCCAUCCAUGUGGAUUGUCAUCACCACCAAUUCCAGUGGACCCGUAUCAUCGCAGAUUAUCGAAGUACAUCGCCAUUGUUACAUACCCGCCGAACCCAUCGCCAAAGUGAUGGCCCAAAUCCCAUCGACACAAAUUCCCAGCAAAAAGACAAACCGUAAACGUUAAUAUCUCUUGGACAAACAAAAAACUUAUUAAUGUCUUCAAACCAAGAUUUCAUAUUUCUUUUAUCUUACUUAUAUUUGGUCUGUACAAGGCAUAUUUUAUGAACAUCUUUAUAAUCAAAUUCAUUAAUCCAAACCGAUCAGACCCACGAAAACAAUAGCUUAUGUACUCGCAUUCCAUAAUUACCCAAUGAAUCCUUGAUUAAUUCUUAUAAAAAUUCAUCAUCAUGGAAUCAAACACAUAGAAGAAAAAUUAAUAGCUGUUGAAGCUUAGUAGUUCAAUUUUACCAAAUUGAAUUCAACAUUUAGCCAUCAUUCGUUUGGCAGGCAAUCGUAAAUAUUACAAACCUGUAUUGCGGCAAACAUGAUAUGCAUAUAGCAAACUCAUUCAAAACCUACAUAUUAUCUCACAAACUAAGCUUGACAACUGCUAAUUUACCAUCACGUCUUUUGCUGUUUGUUUUUUUAUUUUUAUUUUUUUAACUUUCAAUUUGAAUUCAAGAGCAACAAUCUUAGGCUCUGAUACCACAUGUAAGAUUAAACUUAUCAAAAAAUAUAAGUUAAGAGAUUAAGCUCAUGAACCACAAAUUUAUUCAAGUAUUAAAAUCACAAUUCGAUAAACACAAUGACAAACUAACCUGUAAAUGUAGUAGACGAAGAAGCCAAAGCAGACUUCUAAACAGUGCACCUUCUCCUCUCUUUCAAAACCAAAAGUACUCAAACUAACAAUAGGUCUUAGUUCAAUAUUGAGCGUGCAUUUUGUGAGAGCAGUGGCCACUAUUUAUAAUAGAUUAAUCCUCAUAAUUCUCCUAUUAGAAACACCAUAGGAUACCAACUAUGAAUUCAAAUCAUAUAUGAAAUACAAUCCUACUAGAAUUAGGAUAGUUUUAAGCUUUCUAGCAAGACUUUUCUAUGUCAAUUGAAACACUACAACCGGCUAUAAUAUUCAGUUUCAUACUCAUAUUCUAACAUUGAUAAAAUCUUUAUUUAUUCCCUGCAAGUACCAUAUAAGAAAUGCUAAAGAGACUCUCUAUGGACUCUCUAUCUGUCACUUCAUGUUUUUGACAUAAUGUUUUAUAAUGUUAGCACUAGAAUGACUGUAAACUGUAAGGUGACAGAGAGUCUAUGAAGAGUCCCACUUUAAGAGGGUCUCCUUAAUAUUUCUCAUACCAUAUUCUGACACAAUGGAAAGUAGCCAUUUUUUAUUGUAAGUUUUAGUUUUCACAUGUAUUUAUGUUAUGCGAGACAACCACAAAUAAAUCUUUCUGUAUGUACAACUUUUAUCAAGUUUAAGAGUUAUAAUUAAGAUAUUCCCAAUUGUAUAUAUUUAUAUGUUUUUAGUCAUUAUAGUUGGAGCUCAUCAUUUGUGUGUACAUGAUAGAUAUCCUCGGUUACACGAUAGAAUUUCACAGGAAUGUCAUAGCCAAUAAAGUAGGCUCCUAUGCAUCAUUUGUUUCUGUGCGAAGAGAAAACACGAAUAAAUACAUGCAACAACCUAUUGUUGCUGAUAGUGUACGCUUCAGACUCAUGAAAUUUGUAGCCACUCUACAUAUCUCGUGUGUAGAGUGGUACAUCAAGUAUGUUGGACUCGAUACAUCAAGUGUCGUAAUGCAAUUGAUUAGAAAACAAGAUUUCAAAUCUUUUUUUCAAGUUUCUCACAUAACCGUAGGCCUGGCAAACGGAUCGUGUCUGUAGUGUUCGUGUCGUUUUCGUGUAACACCUGUUAUCUUAACGGGUCGUGUCAUGUCACACCUGUUAUCUUAACGGGUCCUUAAUAGGUCGGGUAAAGUGACCUAACCCAUUAUGACCCGUUAAGAAAAGAAAAAAAAUUUCCUUAAAUUUGCACAUACCACACAUUGCCACAUGCGAUCUCGAUCUCUGAAUGUUUGUUUUUUGCAAUUUUUUGCUGAUACGAUUUCGAAGCAUAUACAAACAAGUUUGAUGAUUGGAUCGUUGAAAUUAGUUUCGUAGAAUUCGUAUCCCAUCAAGUUCAAUGAUGAAUAUAUAUAUUUAUUAAGUAGAUUUAAAUUUAUUUAUUUUGUACAUAUAACACUUAAGAAAUUGAAUGGUAUGUAUAUUUAAGCCGAUCCAAUGGUCACCAAUUUUUAAUAUUUAAUAUAUAUUAUAGUUUUUAGGGCUAUAAAAUUGUUAAAUUAAUAUAUAUAACUAUUAUAGUAUUUUUUUUUAGGGUUAUAAAAUUAUUAAAUUAAUAUUUUACUUAUCGUGUAUCGUGUUACUCACAUGUAUAUCUGAACCAACCCGUUAUCUUAACAAGUGCUUAUCGGGUUACCCGAUAACGAUCCAAUUCGUUAUCGUGUCGACCCAAACACUUGUUAAUUUCAUGUUGUGUCGUGUCGGGUUAUCAGGUCGUGUCAGGAAUUGCCAGGUCUGCCUAACCGAAACCCAAUUAUUCUAUUUGGGACUUUUACAGCAACAAAGAAACCACCUCAAGGCUCAAUCUACUUGCCCACCAUCCCACACCUUUUUUUCCUUGUCUGGUUUGGUGGUAGGGAAUGAAACUGAUCUAUGUUCACUUCUUCUGGUUUGCAGCUGACUGGUUUUUCCAUUAGUGGAAAAACGAAACACGGAUACCCUCCGGAUCCAUCCAUUAUGUGAGGAUCCUACGGAUCCCUGUGGAUGCAAAUUUUCGCCUUCUUUUUCUUGGACAAAAUUGCAUCUACAAAACAAUUAACACCUUAGGUCAAGGCCAAGAGCCUCACAUGCCCACGAUGAAUGGGGGGGCUUUGGCGGAAGAACCUCCGAUGCCAAAGUUAGAAUUUAGAGAGAAAAGUAUUUGGAGAGUUUUUGGAAGUUUUGCAAGAGUGUGGAACUAGGUUUUUAGAGAAAAUGGAGUCCUAUUUAUAGAGCAUGACCAGCCCUCUUUGGAAGAAAGAGUGGCCGACCCUUGGGUAUUUUUUGGGGUGUAAUGGAUGAUUUAAUUGGUAAUUAAUGGAUUAAUUAGGAAUUAAUCCAUUAAUUAGUCAUUUAACCUCCACUUAAAUGGAAUGUUAUGUAGGUUAUAAAAUAAUUACCUAAGAUGAGGAUGGAUGAGAAUAUAUUUGAAUUUGUUACCUAUUUUGGACACUUUUGACUUGAUUGACGGAUGAUUGUCUGCUGCUCGCGCGUAGGAAUCCCGAUAUGCCUCAAGGGUAUAUUUGUCCUCUUUACCCAAAAAUUCACGUGUCACCUUGUGAUUAUUUUUUGCUGCACAAUCUCCACAUCUCAGCCGUUCAUCGUGAAUCAUGUAUCAAUUUUUGUCAGGUACUAUUUGUGUUUAAUUUAAAAUAAUAAAAAUAAAAUUAUUUAUGACCACACGAUUCAUGAUAAACGAUUAAAAUGUAGAGAUCCUUAUGAUUCUUGCAUAAUGGAUGGGAUCCGUUUCAGGAAAAACGAAGCUUGAUGGACCCCAGGUUAUAAUAUUCCAAAAUAGUCAUUCACAAUUAAUUAAUUUGUUGACUUAAUUUUGUUGUGUACUUGUAAAAUAGCCAACCACAUAAUGGAUGGGAUCCGUUUCAGGAAAAACGAAGCUUGAUGGACCCCAGGUUAUAAUAUUCCAAAAUAGUCAUUCACAAUUAAUUAAUUUGUUGACUUAAUUUUGUUGUGUACUUGUAAAAUAGCCAACCAGUGUCCUUUUUAUAUCUAAAACAAUUGUAUAAUCCUACAGAGAAUAUUUAUAUUAGGCCUCGGCAAUUGAUAUAAAAGGCAACCUGUAUCAACGCAUUCUUUGAGUCAAUAAUAUCAGAGCUUCUUAGAGGGGAAAUAGAUAGGUUGUAAAACAAUGUCUUGGUUUCUUACUGUUAUCUUUCUGGUUACUACUCUUACAUUUCAUACUCCUUCAGAGGCUAGCUAUGAGGAGAUCCAGCCUUCUGCAGUUGUUGUAGGCACUGUAUACUGUGACACAUGUUUCCAAGAGGAUUUCUCAAAUACUAGCCAUUUCAUUUCAGGUAAAUUCGUCUUGAAUUUUCAACAAGUUCUUCAUCAAUUUUAUUUUUCUAUUGUAGCCCGUUCAAUGAUUUCCGUACACCCCUUCUCUUCUUCUAUAUACACUCAUGUUUAUAUUUUAAUCUUUAAAUUUGAAUAAGUCCAAGAAAAAUUAAAAGAAAUAAAUAAACAAAAGUGUACAAAUGGAGAAAAUGUAAAAUCUAAAUGACUGAAAACCUUUAUACAGGUAUUUCCUAAGAGUCAACCAUACAACUACGAAAAAUUAAAGGAGAAAUUAGGUUCUCAUCCUUCCUUUUGCUACUUCAUUGAUUAAAAUCAUAUUCUUUUUCAAUUUUUUAUCAAGGUCUUUGGGUAUUAAUAACAUCAUUAAUUAUUUUAAUAAUAAAAUAUUUUUUUAUUUCUAAAUAUAUUCAUUUAAUGUUAAAAAUGUUACAAUUAGUAUAUUUAUAUUUAUGACUUAACAUAUAUUUUUAGUUUUAGUUUGUACCCAUUUUUAAUUUGUAAUUCUUUUUUAAUUUGUAUCAAUUUUCUUUUCAAUUUUAAUUUGUACCCAUAUAUUAAUUUAUUUUUGUGCCCAUAUUUUUUAAAGUUUAUUUGUAUUUGUACCCAUAUUUUUUUUAUUUGUACUUUUUAUUUUGCUAAAUGUACCCAUGCUAAUUAUAUGUACCCAUUCAUUUAAAACUUUUUAAUCUUCAAAUGUACUCAUUCUUAAAUAUACCAAUUUGUUAUAUGUAAAAUGUACCAUUUUUUUUAUAUAUAAUCUAUUCAAUUUUUUUCUAAUCCAUUUUUAAACUUAUAUGGGUACGUUCUUUUUUCUUUGAUUUUAAAAUGUAUCCAUGUCAAGUUUAAUCGAAGAAAUUUACUAAUGUUAUUAAGCUAUUAUCUUCUUCUUCUUUUUUUGUGAUUUUGAAGAAUUUACCCAUGUUUUGAUACAAUAAUUUUUUUGGUUAAUUUUGAUGAAUGUACCCAUGUUUAUAUAUAUACACACACAAUAGUAUAUUUAUAUUUUAAUAUUUUUAAUCCCACAAAUUAUGAUUUUUUAUUUAAAAUCUCAUUUAUAUAAACAACUAAAAUUUCUAAUUUUUAAUUUAAAAAAUAUAGUAACGUACAUAGAAAUAAAUUAUCACAUUAAUUUCAGGGACCUCGAUCAAAAAUUAAAAAUCAACAAGGUUUCAAUCAAAGAAUAUUCAUAGCUAAAGACCACAUCCAAAGUCUCCCAAAAUUAAAUAACACAUAUCAACUGCAAAAAAAAAUCUUGCCUAAACUAACUCCUUGACGGUAGGAUUCUACUUUCAAUCACGAUUUCUUUCCAACAGACAACAAAAUGUCCUGACAUGUUAUGGAUGCAUUAUCGACAAUAUCAAUAAUUUUGUGGGGUUUUUGUGCAGAGGCUUCUGUUGGUGUGGAAUGCAAAGAUGGGACUUCAACAAAACCAAGUUUCAACGUAAAAGUGAAAACAAACAGCCAUGGGCAAUUCAAAGUCAAUCUGCCCUUCUCAGUGAGCAAAGAUGUCAAGAAAAUUGAAGGAUGCUCCGUGAAACUAAUCCGCAGCAGUGAACCCUACUGUGCUGUGGCCUCAUCAGCCACCUCAUCUUCCCUACACCUCAAGGCAAGAAAGCAAGGGACUCACAUAUUCUCUGCUGGUUUCUUCACCUUCAAGCCUCUCAAGCAACCCAGCUUAUGCAACCAGAAACCCAGCAUUCAGAAUUCCAAGAAAUUAAACUCCCAGAAGUUCUCAGAGAUGGCAUUCCCAUCCUCCUCUCAGGUGGACCCCAAAAUGCCUGAUCCCUCUCUCAACCAAUCUGAUCUCCUAGGUCUCCCAAUCGAUCUCCCAGGACUCCCAGGUCUCCCAGGACUCCCAGGUCUCCCAGGCCUCCCAGGCCUCCCAGGACUUCCAGGGUUGCCCCUUGCUGCUGAAAAAACUUCAUCUAAGUCCUCCAACUCCAAAACUUCAAAGAAUGGGCAACUAGGUGAUAAUAAAGAAGUCGCCCAUCCAGAUUCUCCACCAGCAGGUUCAGCACCAUGAUUCCCAACCUGCAACCUAUCCUGGUUUCUGCUGGGUUCCUAUCCUAUUGGGCGUAACCCGUUUAAGUAUAAUAAGCCCAUUUAGGUCUUCUGAGUUGUGGUUUCCUGAACUACUACGUAUAUAGUCUCUUCCUUCUCUUUUGAGAACUAUGAAAAAUAUUAAGGGAACUACGUGAAAUGUUGAAUGUUUAAGUUUUAUCUUCUUUUCCCAUUUUCUCUCUACUUUUCCCUCUUUCUUCCCUAACAAGAAUGUGUCGUUCAUAGACAGCUACAAGUACAAUAAUAUAAUACGAUCCAAUUAUUACUUAAAUACAAUGAUUAUCGUUGAAACUCAAAAUUUCAGGAUAAGAGAGCCGCAUGGAUUCAUUCAGAGAUAAAAAAUUUUAUAUAUAUCAAUUAUUAUUGAAUAUUAACCAAGGUUGAAAAAGGUUAUGGGUAUUCUUUGCCGAAAGAGGAAAAAAAGAAGUGGGUUUGCCAUGCUUUUACUAUGUGGGCGCCUUAGAGAAAACCUGUUAAAAAUGAACCGUUUCAUCAGAAGGAGGCAAAUAGGUGUACGGAACGAAGACGUCCCUGAAUUAGGUCAUCUUCUUCGAGUGCGACGAGCCGUCUCACAUACCUUUCCUAUUUCCAUCGAGUUUGAUCGACUUCAACUCCUAUUUCGACCGAGCAACAGGGUAAUGAUUAUGGGAAAAAAAAUUUAGGGUUAGGGUUUUGGAGAAUAAUUUUGUGACUAGGGUUUAGGGUUUUGGAUUGUUUUCACAAAAUCGUUCUCCACUGGGGAAAUAAAUCACCAUAAUAAUAGCAGUAGGCUAUGAUUUUAACUUAAUCAGUACCUAAAUGUAAAAUUUUAUGCUUAUUUCCGCAAAUACUAUUAACAAUUUAACAUGGAGUUUUAAUUUUUUAUGAAAUUUUUGUAGUUGGUUGGGUUUGUAUGAUGAAUAUUAGUGUUCUGAGACACACUUGUUAGUCCAACUUCAAGCAAAUUUGCAAUCAGCAAGUCCAUUCUCUCUAGUUGCGACCUUCCUUGCAAAGGGAGGAAUCUUAACGGAGUCUUCAGCCCUUCCCCGCUAUGAAUAAACUCUUUAAAGACGACGGUCCAAUUAAGCCCACUAACCUUGACCUUAUUGUUAUCGGAACGGCCUCCCUGGAUCAGUGACAGCCGCCGCAGCUUCUACUGCCGGAAAAACUGUUCUUCACGUACCUUGACACUAACCACUUUUAUGGUGACCACUGCGCCUUUCUUCCCAUUGAUGAUUUGACUGUCUUCCUAAAUUCUCAUGCUUCCCAACCCUCCGCCACUACUACCACCAAUUUGAUCACCUCUACAAGUACAAGCCAUGAUGGUUGCAUCGCCUUACCCCUCACCCGCCAGUUGCUGUACGCCGAUACCGUUACAUAUGCCCCUCAAGUCCUUGCACAACAUAAUAUAAGCAAACCUCGGUCAAAUAAUAUAAACUUGAACUCCAUUUUGAGCAUUGUGAGAUAAGGGAAUGUGCCAGAAACUAUUAUGUUAAAUUCAUUCUACAUAUUAAACCAUUCAAAUAUGUGAUGUUUAUUAAUAAGCAUUUUAGGAAGGCUUUUUUUAUUAGCACCCCACGUACUAUUAAAUACACCCCACAUUCAAAUUUGAUAUUAAAUGACUUAUACACUCUACUAUGCAAUGCCAAUUUUGACCUUAUUAGGUUUAAAAAAAAAAAUUCUGAAUAAACCCCAAAUCACUUUUAACGUAUUACUUUUUUUGUCUUCCCAACAAAUGCAAGCAAAAUGAUGAAACUGCCAUAUUAGAACUUGAAUGGAGUGCAAAGAAAUUAACGAUAUUUCAUUGUGUAUGUCAUCUCACAGCAUAACCCAAAUUUAAAGAAAUGAUAAUAUUAAUAAAAUGGCUAAACACAAUCUCUGUUCUACAAUUCAACACCAAUAAAUAAAUAUGUUUUUUUUUCAUACAUCUGAAAAUGCAAUGAAACUACAUCAACAUUCAGCUACGUUUUUGCCAAUCUGGGCAAAGUCCUAGUGCAAUUCACAUUACAAGAGACCCUCUGAUUGUUCUCCUUUCCCUUGCUGCUUUUACCCUUGAAUUUUUGUCAUUAAACCUCAGCGUAUUACCUCAUCUGCCACCUUCAACAGAGUCUCAGCAGCCUCAUCUUCCUCCAAUCUUGAUUGUGAUUGAGUAUUAUAAGACGUGAAGAAUGUGGGGUAUAUAAAAAAUGUAGAGUGUAUAUAGAAAAUGUAAGGUGUAUGUUGAGAAUGGGGUGGGAGGGUAAUAUGAGGAAGUAAAUGGGGUGUAUUAAGAUAAAUUUUAAUUGAAAAAGUAAAUAUGGGGUGUAUUAAGUAUGUGGAGUUUAUUCAACAAUAUGUGGGGUGUAAAUAUAAUAAGCCUUUUAGGAAUAUCUCUGACUAUGUUUUUAGAUUAACAUGCGCUUAGCAAGAGAAAAUUGUCAUGGAGAAACGGUUGCCCAAACUUAAGGCUGCAAUUUUGAGUGCUCAGAAGUGCUUGGAAGAUUGCAACUAUGUUAGGGGUUUGGUGUGUGACCAUCAUUCGCGGAGUUGGUCUGCAUUUUUUAGUUGUACAGAAGUUGUAUAGACAGUCCAUUUUUCUACGUUAUCAGUUGGAUGAAUGGUGGGACUCCCACCCACCAUAACCGUUGUACAGUAGUUGUAUAGACAAAUUCUUUUUGUUUUCAUCUUGUUUUUCCUCUCUUUAAUUGUCUGAACUGCAAUACGUUUCUGCAGCUUGAUGAAUGGUGGGACUCCCACCCACCAUAAUUGUUGCCCAUCCCUAGGUGGGAGCAACCAACAGCAACUGUUGUUGACUGGGUCUGUGUUGAUGGAUUAAAUGUUGCUGCCCGGCAUAAUCAUGUGAAGCAGCUCCUUGAAUUUUAUGAUCAGGAGCACUUGUGAAUAUUAUUUGAGUACUCAACAAACAAGAUUUUCUGGGGAUCUAACUGGUCUUCCUGUUGGCAGUCCCACAUCAAUGGGGGAAGUCAACAAUGGUGGCUAUAAAUAUGAUUACUACUCUAACUAAUAUCAAUCUCUUUUGUGGUAAAACUCUAUACCUGACGGAUUGGGCAAGUGAUAAAGUUGGAAACUCUAUCGGUCUUGUUAGAGUGGCCCCCAACUCAAGCUCGACUUUAUGCUUGGAAGGUGAAUUCAUUAUCUCUGGCUAGUCGGGCCACUUUUGUUCAGUCUGACACCUCCGUUGUCCAGUAUAUGCUUGGCAGACAAUAUUACCAAUUACCAUUACAGAUAACCCUGAGUGUCAAAGAUUUUCCUAAGGCAAUUAAUUUUCAUGAUUGGCUUCAUUUUAAUUUCACCACUAAAUCACUCAUAUUGGGGGGUUUAGAGUAGAUGUUAGUAUUUUCCAUUGCUUGUUGGUUUAUUUGGUAUUGGCGAAAUACAUUUGUUUUCGAGCAGGAUUUUGCAAUGUUUGAUGAACCUACCAUCGCUAUUUGUGCAUAUUUUCAUGAAUGGUUAGCUUUCUAAUACUCACAAAAUUGAUAAACCCCAUAAGACUGAAUCUUUGCUCCACUGGGAAGCUCUUCAUUCAAAAUUGAUUUAAACUUAAUGUUGAUGGUUGUAAGAAAGAAAGCGGGAGCAUUUGCUCGGGGGACAGUGGAUUGAACAGUGGGUUGUUGCCCGGCGGACAUGCUCCAGCGUUUGGGAGCCCGAGCGACAGGCCCGGCAGCGAUUGCCAGCCCGAGAGCUCGAAGGUCAUGUGACACAAGGCUGACGUCUGGGCGACGUCAGUCAUCAUCUCCUCUGUAAUGAUUGAGAUCCCCUUCUAAAUUGCCUGGAUCCAGGAACGCUAUGCUCAUCAGGAAACCCGGUCCGGUGAACAGCCAUAGCUUCUUCCACGAAAAAGGUGGGACAGCCAUGGACUCGUCAUCGACGGCAUCGUCGAAGAUCAGGAUCUUCUCUCGCGCCUCGAACGCAACCUCCUCCUCCUCGUCCCAUGUCGACGACGGCAGCGACAGGGACUGCAGCUGCAGCAGGCGGUUGGCUUCGUCAUCGUCCGCACCGUCUCGCAGCUUCGACAACUCGUCGUCGUGUUCGCGCAAUUGGGAGCUCAUGGUUUCUGUCUCGCAGCUUUCGUGCAUUUUUUUUUGUUUUUUUUAGUUGUGGUGAACUGUUGGAGAUAGUGUUGGAUUCCUUUAUAAUAUUAAUAUAAUAUUAAUUUAUACAAAGUAAAUAAUAUAAUAUUAAUUAUAAAUAAAAAAAAUACUAAUAUUUUAUUGCCAAUUGCCAUGGUUAUUCAGUGCAGAGGUGGAGAUGCAAAAGGCAAUUGCCAGGGGAAUGCACUAUUCAUUAAGGGCAGUUACUGUUCACUAGGUGGAUUAAAUAGUGAAUAGCCUGGGGGGAGGGCUCCUACACUGGAGUUGCUCUUACAUAACUAACCGGCAGCCGUGCCAGAGGCAAUACGUGUAUGGAAUCAUAUACUGAGGAUAUCGUCACUUCUAUGUUACGAUUUGAGGAGAGAAAGGAAGAGUAGGGAAGCCGGCCGGGAGGAAAGGGCAGGCUUCUGCUUUGAAUAAUACCACUUCAGACUUCAGUCCAAUUAUUGUCUUCCUGUUCUGAAAAUUGACAACUCCAUGUGAUGAAAAAACAUCUCAUGUAUUAUUGUACGGUUGAAAAUUGCUGCUUUACACUAUACAUUUAACGUGAUUAGAAAUUCCACGAAAAUUUACAAACAAGACCACAUAGGGAUGUGUCAUAGGCUGAAAAGGAGUAAGGAUGUUUGUACAUAGGCUGAAAAGGAGUAGGAUGUUUGUACGUUCCUUCCCCACAGCAAAACCACAUAGCAAAAGGAUUACAAACACAGCUAACAAAUCAAUAAACACAAAAUCAUCAUUAGGUCAGCGAUUAUAUGAUUAUAUCACAUGCACGUGAAAUAACAGAAAAUUGAUUUUUGGGCUUAAAUCAUAACGGACUUUCCCACAAGAACAUAAAUCCGAAUUUUUUUACCACAUGGGCUAUCUUCUGAAUAUCAUAUCAUCACGAGGACUAUUUAUACAAUUAUAGGUCAAUCUUUUUUAAGGUGAAUAUCACAUGCUAAAACGGAGGAAGAUUAUCUCCUCUCCUAAUCUCUCUCCUAUUCCCCCCUCUCCUACUUGAACGGUUAUGGUUAAGUCAUAUCAACAUUUUAUAUUGAUUUUUUUAUAAAGACAAUAAGAUAAAAAGCAAUGUGUGAGAGAAGAGGAGGGAAGAUGAUGUGAAUAAGAGAGGAGAAAAUCCUACUCCUACUAAAAACAAAAAAUAAUGAUCGACUCAACACCUAAUUGUGCAGAUAUUGGCUAAACCAAACAUUAGAUGUGAAAAAUUAGCAUUUUGCCGAAUAAUAUUCCGAGUGAGCAAAAUAAAGAAAAACAUAGCAAUGGCACACAGAAAAAAAAUAUAAAAGUUGAGGAGCGGGGUGAUAUAAUAUUAGACAUUGCAAUUGUAGGCUCGGACGACUCCAAGGAGAAAAAGGUUGCUGGCACCACUAUAGGAAAAUUACGAAUCAACAUUGCAGAGGUAGCUGUUAGAGAUAUGUCAACAAUAUGUGAUAAAUUUAUAUAUGCUAAUAAAUAAACAGUAUAUGAACAAUAAAAUAAUAUUAAACAGAAAUAUUGAAGAUCGAGGCUUGCGUACCGCAAUGUCCUUGAACAUAAAUUUCGCCCCUACUCAGUGCUUGUAGUUCUACGGACGUCUGCUUCACCAGAAUUCAACGAUCAAGUUAGAAUUCCAGCACCAGAAAACUUAACUUCUGGCGAAUUUUUGUGUGGUUCUCUCAAAAAGGAUAUUUGUGAUUGUAGAAGAAGAAUAUUGAUUUUUCUGUGUCUUAAAUGCCAUACAGAUGGAUGUAUAUAUAGAUGUUCGCAACAAGUAUGAGAAUGGGAUAUGACUGUUGGGAGACAUCUGUUCAGAUAGGGUGCUGUGUUCUCUGCGUUUUUUCAUUAACUUUAGACUUCAUAUGAAAAGAUGAGUCUGUUCAAAUAAAGAAUAAUUUAAUUUAAUUCAAAAUUAAUUAAAGAAUUUAAUUUUCAAUUGAGUCUGUUCAAAUAAAAAAUAAUUUAAUUAAAUUCAAAAUUAAUUAAAAACAAUUAAUUAAAUAAUUUAAUUUGCAAAGUCCCAAGCCCAAUUAACCUCAAGAGUGAGCCCAGUUUUAUUCUUCAAGGCCUAUUACUCUAAUUACUUUCUAUAAGGGACAAAGCCUUAUAAAAUUAGAAAAUCUUUUGGGAAUGGCCAAUGUGGGACAAAAAAAUUUCUACUCAAAAUUUCCAACAGUAACAUGCAUGGUCUUCUCUUAUGCCAUGAAAAAUUCAUGUUGCCUUCAUAUAAUUAACUAAUUAACUAGUUAUUAGUGUUAAUUAUUCUCUAACAUUUCCUUCCUCCAUCGUUUUCUUCUUCUUCAGAUCAGAGGGGUGGAAACCAGGAUUUUGGGAACAAACUCCGGCGACCGGAGGUGCGAACACACCUCUGUGGCUUCGCCAAUGCAAGUCUCGCAAGUCUCGAUAUUAUUUAUGAGGAGUUCAUGAUAAUUACCUUAAAAUGUUAAUAACAAUCCUCUUUCUUAUUCUUUAUGCUAGUAGGUCUGGUACAUCCUACAAUCUUAAAAAUAUGCAUAAAUUCACUCAUAUAGAAUGGGAAAAUGCCAUAUGUCACCAUUUGGAAAUUGGUGAGACAUGAAAAAGUCCUUGAACCUCGCUCCCCCCGCAAGGCAGGCUUAAACUCGCCCGUGAUGAGAGAAGACAUGUCUUUUGUGACAGGAAAUUGGACAAAACCAUCCGUUCUCUUUUUUUGUUAGUAAAAGCAUCCCAUGCAUUCUCUCUUCAUUACACUGACUAUUUCGAACACAAAACAUCAAUACAAGUAAACAGUCAACAUUCUUAUUACAUUAGUAAAACGAAAACUUCUUUCUUUUAUUCAAUAAUUAUUAUGAGUUGUACGUGUAUUGAUCAACCUGUAAGUAGAUACAAACACUAAUAAUACAAUUAGUUAGGAAAAAAAGUCAGUUUUUUUUUUCAAGUUUCUCAACUAACCGGGACCCAAGUAUUCCCUUGGCGUUCUUACAGCAACAAAGAAAGAACAACGAAACACACAGGAACACAAAAAUUGGAGACCUCUUUUUAUCUACUUCCCCACCAUCACAAAUAUUACCUUUUUUUUCUUGUAUGGUUUGGUGGUAGGGAAUGAAACCUAGCUACAUUCACUUCUUCUUAUUUGCAGUUGACUGGUUUUUCCAUGAGUGUAAUACUGUAGCUUGAUGGACGCCAGGCUACAUAAUAUUCGAAAAUAGUCAUUCCUUAUUUGUCUGUCAAUCACAAUCAAUUUGAUGAGUUAAUUUUGCGUACAUCUAAAGUGUGUAUAAUCCUAUAGAGAAUAUUUACAUUAGUUAUAAGGACUCAGCAUUUGAUAUAACUUAAAGGCAACGUGUAUCAACUCAUUCUUCUAGUCAAGAAUAUCAGAGCUUCUUAGAGGGGGAAUAGAUAGGCUCUAAAACCAUGUCUUGGUUUUUUACAGUUCUCUUUCUUGUUACUGCUCUUACAUUUCAUACUCCUUCAGAGGCUAGCCAUGAGAAGAACGAUCCUUCUGCAGUUGUUGUAGGCACUGUCUACUGUGACACAUGUUUCCAAGAGGAUUUCUCACAUACCAGCCAUUUCAUUUCAGGUAAAUUCAUCUCAAAUUUUCAAAAAGUUCUUCAUCAAAUUUAUUUUUGUAUUGUGUAGUCCGGCUAUAAAACAGACAUCCUUUCAAUGAUUUCCGUACACCUUCUCCUCCUUUACACUCAUGUUUUAUUUUGUAAUCUUUAAAUUCGAAUGAUGAAUCAAAGAAAAUCAGAAGAAAGAAAUAAAAAGGGUACAAAAUGAAAAGAAAAAAAAAAGUAAAAUCCAAGAAAAUGACUAAAAACCUUUAUACAAGUAUUUCCUGUAUAUGAGUCAACUAUACAACUAUGAAAAGUAAAUAACAAAUCAAUUACAAAAAAAUCUCGCCUAACUUCUUGCCGGUAAGACUCUGCUUUCAAUCGCGAUUUCUUUCCAACAUACAACGAGUGUAGGGAUAUUAUUUCUCUUGAAUAAAAGUUGGAGGAUAUGUCAUUUGUAUGUGUUGAUAUCAUUGUCGCCAAGUAUGUAUGUAUGUCAUCAGUAACUUCGAUUUUAUUGUUAGUCAACAAAACGUCCCAACAUGUUAUGCAUGCAUUAUCAACAAUAUCAAUAAUCUGGUGGGGUUUCUGUGCAGGGGCAUCUGUUGGUGUGGAGUGCAAAGAUGGGAGUUCAACAAAACCAAGUUUCAAGGCAGAAGUGAAAACAAAUAGCCAUGGACAAAUCAAAGUCCAACUGCCCUUCUCAGUGAGUAAACAUGUCAAGAAAAUUGAAGGAUGCUCCGUGAAACUAAUCAGCAGCAGUGAACCCUACUGUGCUGUGGCAUCAUCAGCUACUUCAUCUUCCCUACAUCUCAAGGCAAGAAAGCAAGGGACCCACAUAUUCUCUGCUGGGUUCUUCUUCACCUUCAAGCCUCCCAAGCAACCCAGCUUAUGCAACCAGAAACCCAGCAUUCAGAAUUCCAAAAAAUUAAAUUCCCAGAAGUUCUCAUUCCCCUCCUACUGAUGAGAUGGCGUUCCCAUCCCCCUCUCAGGUGGACCCCACAAUGCCCGAUCUCCCUCUCAUCCCAAAUGAUCUCCCAGGACUCCCAGGACUACCAGGUCUCCCAGGUCUCCCAGGCCUCCCAGGCACAGGUCUUCCAGGCGUCCCAGGUACAGGUCUUCCAGGACUCCCAGGUCUCCCUGGACUCCCAGGCCUCCCAGGUCUCUCUGGACUCCCAGGCCUCCCAGGCCUCCCAGGUCUCCCAGGACUUCCUGGAACUCCAGGUUUGCCCCAUGUUUGUGGAAAACCUUCAUGUGGGUCCUGCAACUGCAAAACUUCAAAGAAUGGGCAACUAGGUGAUAAUAAAGAAGUGACCAAUCUAGAUUCUCCACCAGCAGUUUCAGCACCAUGAUUCCCGUAAACCUGCCUCCUAUACCUGGUUCCUAUCCUAUUGGGUGCUACCCGUUUAAGUAUAAUAAGCCCAUUUAGGUAUUCUGAGUUGUAGUUUCCUGAACUUCUAUGUAUUUAGGUCUCUUCCUACUCAUCUGAGAAUUAUGAAUGAAAUGUUGAAUGUUUUAGUGUUAUGUACUCUUCCCCUUUUCUCUCUACUUCUCCCUCUUUCUUCUCUUACGAGAAUGGGUCCCAUCUAGUUUCACUUUUUGACCGUCACCGCCACCUCCAACCCUCCCGUUCCUCCCUCCAUUCCCAUUCCCAGUCUCACCUGCGCAUCGGAUGCCCGGAAUCCCCCCAGCUUCUUCUUCAAAACAAAGUAUUCACCUUGAUUUAAGCUAAUUACUAUAUUUAACUACAAAUCGUCUCUAUAAUUACCUUCGAAAUAGUGUUUUACAUGUUUGUUUAAGUUUUUAAUUAUGUAAAAGUUCUUGUAUGGUUGGUUGUGCAAGUAUCGGAACAAUAUAUUUUUACAUAGUAGGGUUUGUAUGUUUGUGCUUUUUGUAAUGAGUAUGCGGUGGACACAAAAUUAUUGUAAGGGUAAUGGUAGUGCUAGGCCGACCAAAAUUUUAAAUUAGAUUUGCAAAUCAAAUUAUGUGUCAUCAAUAGAAAAUAAGUACAUUAAUUAACACUUAAUUAAUAAUCUAAUUCAUCAACAGCCACAUCAUUUGGUUUACAAAAUUUGGUUUAAAAUUUUGGUCUGUGUAAAGAAUCUCUAUUUUUGGUGAGAUUUUGCACUAAUAUUUUCAUAAUACUACCUUGUAUAUAUAAGAUAAUUUUAACUACAAAUCACAGUCUCAUAUAUAUAUAUACAGUUUAUACCAUAAAUUUUGAACCCCAUAUAUGCAUUUCAACUAUUAACAUCAUUCUCCAAAACACAUACAAGGGAAGGAAACAAAGAUGAAAGAAAGUUUGAAGCAAGUGAGUAGGGUUUAUAUACAUAGAAGUAGUUUCAUUCACAAAAUAAGAAAGGUUAAGGUAUUCCCAGUUAAGUGAUUAAUUCAUGUUGUUGGAAGUUAACCAGCUCCUGGAGUCGAGAAGUCGAAGGCAGCAAGGGGCUCCCGAGCAAAGGGUGUUGUCUGCAUCGAAGAAGAAGAAAGAAGAUGAAGGGUUUUAGUCUCCAACGGCUAUUUUUGUUUAAAUGUGGGUGUAAGUGUGUGAGUGACAAGUGUACACUCUAGAUUAAAUCACCCCCCAAAUGAAGGGUUAGGAUGUAAUCUGGAGUAGUAAGACUUAAAUGGUUGUUAAAGUCUCUUGUCAAUCAUUUUUUUAAACAAGUAUGGGUGAUGGCAAUGCACCAUACCCUUGUAAAAUCUCACCUUACUUAAUCAAUCAAGGCUGCUGCAUUUUUGCUAAGCCAGUAUCCAACCUCCUAGUUUUCUCCAAUUUUCUCUGCCAUCCUAAUCAAAAGAAACCGAUUCAAACACUCAAUCAAAAACACAAGAUCAACAAACUUUAUCAUGGCCUCAGAGCUUUGUUACUGAUCUUAAAAAAAAAAAAAAAAAAAAGUCUGGGCGUAAUCUGUGCAAAUAGAGAUUUCUGGGAGUACCAACGUAGUGUCUUCUACAACAACAAUCAACAAACUACCCUGAAAUGAAAGGAUCCAGCAGUAGCAUUGACCUAAAAGCUCCAGUCUUUGAUGGGGAGAAUUAUGAUUUUUGGAGAAUAAGAAUGACAACCAUUUUCAAAUCCUAUGAUCUAUGGGAUAUGGUUCAACACAGGUAUGAACUACCUGAGAUGGAGAUCGAUGCUCUAGAGGAGGAUCUCAUAGAAACACAACUCAAAACACUGAAGCAGAAUCGGAUGGAGAAUGCUAGAGCACUUGGAAUCAUUCAAGGUGCUGUCUCAGACACCAUUUUUCCGAGGAUAGCAAAUGAAGAGACUGCAAAAGGAGCUUGGGAAGUUUUACAGCAAGGGUACAGAGGAGACACUAAAGUUAGAAAGGUAAAACUUCAGUCCCUUAGAAGAGAUUUUGAGUAUACAAGAAUGAGGGAAAAUGAGCUAUUAAAAGACUACUUCACUAGGCUGUUUGAUGUUGUAAACAAGAUGAAAACAUAUGGUGAGGAACUGCCUAAUGAAAGAAUUAUCAAAAAACUGUUGAUUAGUUUGACUAAACCCUAUGAUUCAAUAGUGAGUGUUAUAGAAGAAACCAAAGACGCUGAAACUCUUAGUGUACAAGAUGUGAUGGCAUCCUUAAGAGCUUUUGAUCAAAGGCUCGAGAGGCAUGCUGACUCUGCACUUGAGAAAGCUUUUCAAUCACUCAAUGUUGGAUCUAAUAGUCAAGCCAGUGCAAGCAAUCAGAAACCACAAUGGAAGGGCAAGAACAAGAAAUGGGAAGGAAAAGGGUAUCACAACUCAAGACCUAACUAAGGCAGCAACAUCAAUGCAGGUCCAAGAACCAAGCAACAAUGCAAGCACUGUGAUAAAUUCCAUCUUUGGGAGUGUUGGUUCAAGGACAAGCCUAGAUGCCACAAAUGCAAUAGGUUUGGGCACAUUAUGAAGGACUGCAGAUCAAAGAAUGUGCAACAAGUGAACUGUGCAAAUCAAGUGGAAGAAGAAGCAAAUGUGUUAUGUGCUUUCAAUGCAAAAGUGGAGAGAAACUAUGAAGUAUGGUACAUUGACAGUGGCUGCAGCAACCACAUGACUGCACAUGAGUCAUUAUUCAUUGACAUCGACACAAACUUCACUGGAAAAGUGAAAAUGGGAGAUGGAAACAUUGUCAAAGCCACUGGAAGAGGAACUCUGGUUAUCAACACCAAGAAAGGAAGAAGAUGCAUAAGGGAGGUAAUGCUAGUGCCUGGAUUGGAUGAGAAUCUACUUAGUGUGGGUCAAAUGAUGGAGCAUGGCUAUUUCCUACUCUUUGAGGGAACUGUGGUUGAGAUCUAUGAUGACAAAUCCCUAUCAAACUUGGUGACCAAAGUGGAAGUGAAAAACAGAAGCUUUCCACUUGUGCUGAAGUACUUAGAAGAAAUGGCAAAGAGAGCAAGUGUGACAAGUUCUAUGAAGCUAUGGCACAAGAGACUCGGUCAUUUAAACAUGACAAACUUACAAAAUCUGCAAAAGGAUGAAAUGGUGCAAGGUAUACCAAAGAUGGAUCAAUGCAAUGAAACCUGUGAAGGGUGUGUGUUUGGCAAGCAUCACAGAGAUUCAUUUGAAGCUGGAAAGGCUUGGAGGGCAACAAAGCCACUCGAAUUGAUUCACUCAGAUGUGUGUAGACCAAUGAAAACAACAACAAUCAGUGGAAACAAGUAUUUCCUAACUUUCAUUGAUGACUAUUCACGGAUAUGUUGGGUGUAUUUCAUGAGGUUCAAGUCUGAGGUAUUCACAAUAUUUAAGAAGUUCAAGGCAAUGGUGGAAUUGCAAAGUGGAUACCCAAUCAAAAGACUGAGAAGUGAUAGGAGAGGUGAGUACACCUCACAUGAGUUCAAUGCAUUUUGUGAAGAUGUGGGGUUGGAGAAGCAACUCAUUGUGGCAUAUUCAACACAACAAAGUGGGAUUGCAGAAAGGAAGAAUAGGACUAUAGUCGAAAUGGUUAAGUCUAUGAUGCAUGAGAAGAACAUGCCUUAUAAAUUUUGGGGUGAAGCUGUGAACACCUCAGUGUACCUAUUGAAUAGGUGUCCUACUAAAGCAUUGGAGAAGAAGACUCCAUUUGAAGUGUUCAGUGGAAGGAAGCCUUCUGUGAAGCAUCUGAGAGUGUUUGGCUUAGUGUGCUACACUCUCAUCCCUCACUAACUAAGGCACAAGUUGGAGAAAUCAAGUAACAAGGGUGUUUUUGUAGGCUAUGGUACCAGUGAGAAAGGAUACAGAGUUUAUAAUGUGUUGACUUAGAAGAUAAUCCUAUCAAGGGAUGUUAUCUUUGAUGAAAACUCAAUGUGGAACUAGGAUACAAUGGUAGAGGAAAAGGACAGUGUCUCUCUACAAAUUGACCUAGGCAAAAGGCAAACAAGGGAGCCUAUGGAGACCUCAGUUCAAGAAGAAGUCACAGAUAAUGGUGACAUACAAGGGACUCCACAGCAAGCUACUAUGAGUCCACAAUUAAGUCAAUCACAGACAACAACUCCUAGUUCAACUCCAGUAAGGUUGAGAAACCUAGAUAAGAUUUAUGCUACAUGUAAUUAUUGUGUAGUAGAACCAGAAACAUAUGAAGAAGCUGAGAAAGACAAAGCUUGGAAGAAAGCAAUAAAGGAAGAGCUUGAAAUGAUAGAAAAGAAUGACGGAACUUGUAAAUUGACCAAGUGACAAGCUUGUGAUUGGUGUAAAAUGGGAGUACAAAGUGAAGCUAAAUCUAGAUGGCUCUGUGCAAAAGAAGAAGGCCAGGUUAGUGGCCAAAGGUUACUCACAGAAGCCUAGUGUAGACUUCAAUGAAACCUUUGCUCCAGUAGCAAGGUUAGACAUCAUAAGGACCUUAAUAGCCCUAGCAACCAAGAAGGGUUGGAAGCUGCAUCAAUUGGAUGUUAAAUCUGCAUUUCUAAAUGGAGUGCUAGAGGAUGAGGUGUUUGUGGAACAACCUCAAGGGUUCACAAGUCAAGAGUUUCCAGAAAAAGUGUACAAGUUAAGGAAGGCCCUUUAUGGCCUAAAACAAGCUCCAAGAGCUUGGUACAGUGAGAUUGAUUCCUAUUUCACUGAGAAAGGAUUUCAGAAAAGCCCUAGUGAAGCUACACUCUACACCAAGAUAGAAAGCAACAACAAGACACUCAUUGUCUCAAUCUAUGUGGAUGAUGUUGUCUACACUGGAAAUGAUGCUGCAAUGAUGGAAGAGUUCAAAGAAAAGAUGAUGAAGAGGUAUGAAAUGACUGACCUAGGCCUCUUGCAUCAUUUUCUUGGCAUUGGGGUAAUUCAAGAAGUAAGCAGCAUCUUUAUUCAUCAAAAGAAGUAUGCUGAAACUUUGCUUGAGAAAUUUCGUUUGAAGGGUUGCAAACCAGUUUCUACACCCCUAAUUGCAAAUGAGAAGCUUAAGAAUGAGGAUGGAAGUGAACCUGCAGAUGCUAGUCUCUAUAAAAGCAUUGUUGGCAGUCUAUUGUAUCUAACUACAACAAGGCCGGAUCUAAUGUUCUCAGCAAGCCUACUUUCUAGGUUUAUGCAGAAUCCUAGCAAGAUACAUAUGGGCACAGCUAAGAGAGUGCUAAGAUAUGUACAAGGAACUCUUGAUUAUGGGAUCAAAUAUGAGAUAGGAAAGUCAUCUAUUCUAAUUGGAUUCUAUGAUAGUGACUGGGGUGGUAGUGAGGAUGAUAGCAGAAGCACAUCUGGCUAUGCUUUCACUUUCGGAUCAGGGGUAUUUUCAUGGGCCUCUGUGAAGCAACAAAGUGUUGCACUGUCCACAGCCGAGGCAGAGUAUGUGAGUGCAUCAUAAGCUACAGCUCAAGCUAUUUGGCUAAGGUUCAUACUUAAAGAUUUUGGUGAAUUGCAGGUUGAAGCCACACCACUUUUGUGUGACAACACCUCUGCAAUUGCCAUGACUAAAAACCUAGUAUUUCAUCAAAGAACAAAACACAUCAAGAGAAGAUAUCAUUUCAUCAGAGAAGCAUUGCAGGACAACACAAUCAAGCUAAUCUAUUACAGCACAUAAGAUCAGAUCGCAGACAUAUUCACAAAAGCACUACCGAAUGAGAGAUUCAAUUACCUGAGGGGCUUGCUCGGAUUGACUCCCAGAAGCAGUUUAGAAUGGAGUGUUGGAAGCUAACCAGCUCCUGGAGUCGAGGAUUCAAAGGCAGCAAGGGGCUCCCGAGCAAAGGGUGUUGUCUGCAUCGAAGAAGAAGAAAGAAGAUGAAGGGUUUUAGUCUCCAACGGCUAUUUUUGUUUAAAUGUGGGUGUAAGUGUGUGAGUGACAAGUGUACACUCCAGAUUAAAUCACUUAACCCCCAAAUGAAGGGUUAGGAUGUAAUCUGGAGUAAUAAGACUUAAAUGGUUGUUAAAGUCUCUUGUCAAUCAUUUUUUUAAACAAGUAUGGGUGAUGGCAAUGCACCAUACCCUUGUAAAAUCUCACCUUACUUAAUCAAUCAAGGCUGCUAAGCCAGUAUCCAACCUUCUAGUUUUCUCCAUUUUUCUCUGCCAUCCUAAUAAAAAAAAACCGAUUCAAACACUCAAUCAAAAACACAAGAUCAACAAACUUUAUCGCAUGUCUCGUUCAUAGACAGAUAUGAGUACAGCAAUGUAGUACGAUACACUUAUUAGUUCAAUACACAUAUGAUUAUAUCGUAGAAAAAAGACAAAUGCACAAACCCAAAUUGAAGAAAGAAAUGCUCGAGUCUCUUACGCCACUUUGAAACAGAUUCAGUAUAACUGCUCACUAGUCCGGAGAGAAGCAGGGAUUCAGAGAUAAAGAUAAUAUUAUAAUUGAAUAUUAACCAAGGAUGAAAAAGGAUAUACUUGUUUGUUGGGUAACCUUUGCCGAGAGAAGAAAAAUAGAAGUGGGUCGACGGUCAUGCUUUACUAUACGGGCCACUGAGAAACCUAUUAAAAGACCAAUGAAAUGAAGUUAUGAACCGUUUCAUUAAAAGGAGGCCAAUAGCUGUACGGACGACAACGUCUCAGAAUUAGGUCAUCUUCUUCGAGCGCAACGAGCCAUAUCACAUACCCUUUCCUGUUUCCAUCGAGUUCGAUCGACUUCAACUCCUAUUUCUACCGAGUAGCAGGGUAAUGAUUUUGUGACUAGGGUUUUGGGUUCUGGAGAAUAAUUUUGUGACUAGGGUUUAGGGUUUUGGAUUGUUUUCACAAAAUCAUUCUUCACUUUAGCCACCUGCUAUGAUUUUAAUUUAAUGAGUAGCCAAUGUAAAAUUUUAUGCUUAUUUUCAUCAAAUAUUAUUAACAAUUUAAUGCUUAUUUUCUCGGGGAUCUCUCUGUUCUUCCUGGAUCAAAUUUGCCACUUCUUCAAAGCCUUGGUCUCAUUCAUUCUUGCAUCACUGAAAACACUUACAAAGGCCUGAUUAAAAAGGCUCAAGCUUGACUUUCUACUUGGAAAGUGAAUUUGUUAUCUCUUGCUGGUUGGGCUACUCUUGUUCAGUUUGUCACCUUCGUUGUCCCAGUAUAUCCCAUGUAGACAGUGGAAAUUACCAGUUACCAUUUGUGAUCAACUUGACAGGUUGAAUAAGAAUUUCAUCUGCAGCUCCACUCAAUCCAAAACUAAAGUUAACUUGGUUAAAUGGAGCCAGGUUUGCCUUUCGAAGUCUCUUGGUGGGCUUGGGGAUUGAUGCAUGUGGAUAAUGGUAUAUAAUUCUUACAUAACUAACCUGCAGCCCUGCCUGAGUCAAUACGUGUAUGGGGUACAAUAUACAAUUACAUUGAUCUAAACUCCUUGAGAAUCUACUAUAUAUUGCGUUGCAUUGACGAAGGGGUGAAAUUUAAAGAAGCAAAAUUUUAUACUUCUAUCUAUUACAUUUAUGCUUCAGUGCACUGAAAGUCACAAUAUGUUAUCACGAAGAGAGUUUAUGACAAUGGCGGAGUCAGUAUAGGGUCAUUAGUUGUUCUUGACCCUAACAAUUACUUUAAAAACCCUAUGUAUAUUUGUUUGUAUAUUGUAUUUGACACCUAUAAAUAGUUAAGUCAAACUCAAUUACAACGUUCUCCUCCUACAUCUUCUAUUUUCUUCUAUCAUAUUUGUCUUCCUUUUCUCUCUUCUUCUUGUAUGAAAUACUUUAGCUGAAAAGACUUUGUAAUCUUCAACAUUAUUCCAGUAUAUCCUGCAUCCACCCUCAACUAGCCUGUACAAAUAAUAGCAGUUGUCAACAUAUGUUGUCAUAAAAACUUUUGGCACAUGUUGACAGGAAUUGAUAGGUGCUUACUAGGUGCUUGAUGAAAUGGCCCAAUGAAGCUUUUUUUGUUGAUAUUAUGACUUCAUUAUUUGAAAAUUCUAGCUACAUUACUAGUUCAUGAUGAUUAUUUUAAAAUGUUAAUAAUAGCUCUCUUUCUUAUUCUCAAUAGCUCGGCUAAUCCUACAACCUUAAAAUAUGCAUAAAUUCACUCAUAUAGAAUGAGAAAAGGGAGAGAGGAUCCUUGUCGGAUCCUCUAAUCAUAUUCGUUCAUCGUACAUCGUGCGGUUAGUUUUUGUCAGGUACUGUUAUCAAUUUUAUAUAAAAAAAUUUACAAUGAUUUAUAACCGCACGAUGUAUGAUAAACGGAUGUGAUUGAAAAAUCCCUAUAAUCCUUACAAAGAGGAUCCUCCUAGGAGAAAAUGCCAUAUUUCAAGUGUGACGUGUAGAUUAUAGUUCCAAUAAUAAUAGACCACCCAAUCCGAAGAUAAACAAAUUAAAAUAACACUAUUAUCUUAUAUAUUUCAAAUUUGACACCAUUUGAAAAUUGGUGAGACCUGUAAAAGUCCUUAAACCUAGCCCAUGUCACUCCCCCACAAGGCUUAAACUCGCCCGUGAGAAGACAGGACGUCUUGUAACCCGUGAUGACAGCGAAUUGGACAAAAGCAUCAUUUUUUUAAUUCUGUUCGUAAAUCGUGCGAUCAGUUUUUGUUAAAUAUUAUUUAUGUUCAAUUUUAAAUAAAUAUAAUUUAAAAUAAUUUCUGACCAUACGAUGUACGAUGAAAUGACAUGAUUAAAGGAUAUCCAGGAUCCUCACAAAGAAGAUCCGACGAGAAUCAUAUCUCAAUAAUUUCAGACACAACACGUUAAUACAAAUAAACAAGCAACACCGUUUACAUCUUAUUAUAUUAGUAAGAUGAAAACUUCUCAAUUUUAUUCAAUAAAUAUGAAUUAUUUGUACAUCGAUCAAUUUGAGUAGAUACGAACACAAAUAUAGAUAAAUCGAACACUACUGAAUUGCCAUCCAUUUUUAACUGUAUAAAAGAAAAACAUUUCAUCACAAGAUAGUAGUGGACUUUUGGUUGUCGUAGAUAAAACUUGGACAUUCAAGAACCGCCUUACGUUGUAAAAAAUUGCAACACGGACAAAGAAUGAAACGGCACAUGUUUGUGGGUUUGUUAGCAGCUCAAUGCAAAACUUCGUGCAGCCAAUUUGUCAAUUCCAGUGCAAAUCCAUUUGACAGUACUAUUCUGGAGUUGUGCCUUUGUCAUGUGGGGGAAUAUUUCUUGCAUGUGACAAGGUACGUUACGAUUGUGGACAAUACGACUGUAGUUAUGUAAUGAGUAAAAUAUUUUAGACGAGGAUAUAAUUUUGGUGACACCGAAGUGUUUCCCUUUUGUCAGUAGAGAAGUUUUUCACUAAACUUCCAAGCAGUUAUUGGAAAAUGAGAAUUGUUGAAGUAGCCUUAGGUUUCCUCACAAAGCGGAAAUUCAAUUAAGGACAAAAUAAACAGAUUGUGGGUAGGAAAGGAUAUUUAGAUGAAAAAGAAACUUGGUGCAAACAACAACAUGAGUGUACGGAGAAACCCUAAUUUGGAUGUUAUACACAUCAUCACAUUAGUCAAACUUUCUCUCCUUUUACUGGUGACAAUUUAAAGCAAAUUUUAAUAAGAGAAAUGCUAAAGAAAUUCUCUAAAAAAUGAGAUUCUUUAUGAAUUCUUUGUUACCUUAUGUUUUUGACAUAAUAUUUUAUAAUAUUAACACAGAAAUUGAUAUUAAAUUGUGAAGCAGAGAAUUCAUAGAGAGUCUCACUUUAAAGGGAUCUCUGUAGCAUUUCUCUUUUAAUAAUGAUGCUAAUGAUUCAGCUAAGUGUCCUCAUAGAAGUAGAAGACAUCCCCGAGAUUUGGAGUAGAAGCAUUUCCCUUAUUAAUGUCACAUUAUUAUAUCAUGAUAAGAUCUUAAUUAUUCCCUGCUCAAAUACCAUAUUCUGACACCAUGGAAAGUUGCCAUUUUUGUUUUUGUGAGUUUUAGUUUUCACAUGUAUUUAUGUUGUGCGAGACAACCGCAAAUAUAUCACAUUGUAUCUACAACUCUUAUCAAAUCUAAGAUCUAUAAUUAAGAUAUUUCUGUUUAUAUAUAUCUAUGUUUGUAGUCAAUAUGAUAGGAGCUUAUCAUCUGCUUGUAUGCGAUAGAUGCAAAGAGAGAUCAUUGGUUACACGAUAGAAUCUCACAAGAAUGUCAUAUAUACCUGUUUCUUACCAAUAUAGUAGGCGCCCAUGCAUCAUUUGUUUCUGUGUGAAGAGAAAACAUGAAUGCAGCAACCUGUUGUUGACGGUGUACAGCUUCAUCCUCAUGAAAUUUGUGGCCACUCUACUUAUCUCGUGAACCAACGGGGACCCAACUAUUCUCUUUGGCAUUCUUACACCAACAAAGAAACAACCUCAAUAAAUGUAAAAUAAACAAAACACACAGCAACACAAAAAUUAGGGACCUCCUUGUUUCUACUUGCCCACCAUUACAAAUAUUACCCUUUUUUUUCUUGUAUGGUUUGGUGGUAGGAAAUGAAACCUAGCUACAUUCACUUCUUGUGGUUUGCAGUUGACUGGUUUUUCCAUGAGUGAAAUAAUGAAGCUUGAUGGACCGCAGGCUAUAAAUUUCGAAAACAGUCAUUCCUUAUUUGUCUAUCAAUCACGGUUAAUUUAAUGAGUUAAUUUUGCGUACGUAUUGUGAAUUGCAGAAAAUAGUCUAGCAGUGUCCUUUUUUAUGCCUAAAAAAGUGUCUAAUCCUACAGAGAAUAUUUAUAUUAGUUAUAAAGCCUCUGCAAUUGUAUAAAAGGCAGCCUGUAUCAACUCAUUCUUAGAGUCAGGAAUAUGAAAGCUUCUUAGAGGGGGAAAAGAUAGGCUCUAAAACAUGUCUUGGCUUACAGUUAUCUUUCUGGUUAUUACUCUUACAUUUCAUACUCCUUCAGAGGCUAGCCAUGAGAAGAACGAUCCUUCUGCAGUUGUUGUAGGCACUGUCUACUGUGACACAUGUUUCCAAGAGGAUUUCUCACAUACCAGCCAUUUCAUUUCAGGUAAAUUCAUCUCAAAUUUUCAAAAAGUUCGUCAUCAAGUUUCUUUUUAUAUUGUAGUCUGGCUAUAGAACAGACGUUCGUUCAAUGAUUUCCGUACACCCCUUCUCUCUCCCUUCUCUCAUGUUUCUUUUUAAUUUUUAAAUUUGAAUAAAUCAAAGAAAAAUAAAAAAAAAGAAAUAAACAAAGGUGUACAAAAGGAAAAAAUGUAAAAUCCAAUAAAGUGACUGCUGAGAGAUAGAAUUGGCCAGAAUGAAACAUUUCAUUACUGCUGAUUGUAAACCCUUUAUACAGAUAUUUCCUAUGAGAAAAAGUAAAUAACACAAAUCAAUUACAACAAAAUCUCACCUAAUCUAACUUCUUGACCGUAGGAUUCUGCUUUCAAUCACAGUUUAUUUCCAACAGACAACGAGUGUUGGGAUAUUAUUUCUCUUAAAGAAAAGAUGGAGGAUACAUCAGUUGUAUGUGUCGAUAUCAUUGUUGCCAAACAGUUAUAUCAUCAGUAACUUGUCGAUUUCUUUGUCAGUCAACAAAACAUCCCGACAUCUUAUGAAUGCAUUCUCCACAACAUCAAUAAUCUGAUGGGGUUUUUGUGCAGGGGCUUUUGUUGGUGUGGAAUGCAAUGAUGGGAGUUCAACGAAACCAAGUUUUAAGGCACAAGUGAAAACAAAUAGCCAUGGACAAUUCAAAGUCCAUCUGCCCUUCUCAGUGAGCAAACAUGUGAAGAAAAUUGAAGGAUGCUCUGUGAAACUAAUCAGCAGCAGUGAACCCUACUGUGCUGUUGCCUCAUCAGCCACCUCAUCUUCCCUACACCUCAAGGCAAGAAAGCAAGGGACCCACAUAUUCUCUGCUGGUUUCUUCACCUUCAAGCCUCUCAAGCAACCCGGUUUAUGCAACCAGAAACCCAGCAUUCAGAAUUCCAAGAAAUUAAAUUCCCAGAAGUUCUCAUUCCCUCCUACUGAUGAGCUGGCAUUCCCAUCCCCCUCUCAGGCGGAC
rnacentral:lncRNA from 1 species